UCUCUUUUAAAGAAUGUUUAUGUUUGGAUUAGUCUCUUUAGGAUAUGAUCAUUUGUAAUAUUCCACGAUGAUAAAGCUUGACAUGAAAAAGUACUUGUAAACUAAACUAGGGAGACUUACAUUAUAAGAAGUCUCUUUAGAAUAUCGUCUUGAAAUAUUCAAAGAUAAUAUAACAAAAGAACAUAUUUAAAGGAGACUUAACACAAUACAAGCAUUCAUUUAAAAAAAAUUAAGAAACUACAUAGAAAUUAAAACCAAUUCCCGGAACCUUCAGCAAUCAAGUCCUACUUUAGUUCCUGUACUUCAGAAGUUGACUAGGUAUUGAGUAAAAUUUUCCAAGUAGCUUCUUUGUCUCCUCUGAGGAAUGCUUGUCUUGUUCUUAAUCUCCUUAAAUAAAUACCUUUUGCAAUAUUCCAAGCUGAUAUAUAGAAUUUGGUACCGAAAACUACUUCUAAACUAUUUUAUAUACUUAAUUAAAAGAAAAAAAAAGUACUUUGUAUUAUUAUAUGAAAACGAUAAAAUCAAAAUUUUAUUAUUAAUUAAUUAUUUAUGAUCAUCCAAUUAGAAACUGGUGAAGUUUAGGAGAAAGAUCCCAACAAGUUUUAAUUGUAGUUUAUAUUCUAAAAUGUAUGAUAAUUGAAUUCAAAAUAUAUUACUACUUUUAAAAAAUGAUAUUGAACAAAUUUUAAUAUUUAAUAUUUUUUAUUUUUAUAAUGUAAUUUUUUAUAUACAAUUUUUAAAUAUAAUUGUAAAAUAAAAAAAUAAAACAUACAUGAAGCUAGAAAAAGAGAAAAAAUUCCAGUUUCAAGAGACUUAAGGGAAAAUUUUUCUCACGAUUAAUAACAAGUUUUAAUAAAGUUUCAACAAAUUAAUUUGAAAGUAUUAUGGUAAAAAAAUUAAUAAAAUUGAAAUACCGUGGAAAAAAAUUUAAUAUUGAGUUUUUCUGAUUAAUUAAUUGAUUAAUUUUAUCAAUUUGAGCACAUUUGACUUAUAUAAUAAAUUUUUUUAAUUUAUUAAUUUAAAAUUUUAAUUUUAAUUUAAUUAUUUUUAAUAAAAAAUUUUACGAAUUUUAAAUAAUUUUAUCUAAAUUUCUACAAAAAAUCUAUCAAACGACUUCUUUGACCAUCAUUAUGGACAUAAUUCUCAAGUAAUUUUUAAUUUUCUUAAUAUGGUAUCAACGAGGGUCUUUUCUCUAUCAAGCUUUUUCUUUUCCUUUUCCGCGCCUUGUGAUCCGCCACCAUUCUUUCUUAUUGUUCAGCUUUAAUCUUUUGAACAGCUCCCAAUUAAAAUCAAACUAUUUUUUCAUUUAAUCACCAUGUCCCAAUCACUUUUUCUUUUUCUUUUUUUUUUUAUUAUCACCCUCCAUUAUUUUGCUCCCACCAUCAUUCAUUUCACUCCCACCAAUUUUUUAAAUCCCUAAUUUUUCUAUUAAAAAAAUAUAAAUGAUAUAUUUAAAUUUUAUGAAAUAUGUUUAAAUGAAAAUUUUUAUAAUUUUUUAAAAAAUUUAAAUGAAAAUAUUUUAAAAUGCAUAAUUUGAAAAUACAUAUUUUUAUAAUAAUUUUAAAAUAAAUUAUACAUCAAAUCGAAUUUAUAAAAUUUAAUGUCGAUUGACUUAUAAAAUUAAUAGAGCUUAUAUAUAUAUAUAUAUCAAGUAUAAUAAAUAAAUAAAAAUAUAAUAUUUAAUAUUAGUAUUUAUAAUUUUAUUAAAUUUAAUUGAAUCAAGUGAUUCAAUUGAAUUAAAAAUCGAAUUCAAUAACAAAAAAUAAAAUUUAAUAAAAUUAAAUUAAAUUUUAAAUUAAAUUUAAAUUUAAAUUUAAUAAUUUAUCGAUUCAAUUCAAUUUCACUUUAAUCAAGAAAGGAGCCAAAUAUUUAAAGGAGCCAACCUAGCAUCCGAAGAUAUGGAAGAAUCAAUUGCAAAUUUAUGAACUCAUGUUGCAAAACUUAUUGAGAAAUUAAAUUCUGUCAACGAAGAAUUGUCCGAUGAACUUAAAAAUUCCAUGGGACUCCUAUAAUUACAGGAAAUGAAAUUUUCACCACAUAUGUUGACAAAAAAAUGCUGGAAUUAAAGAAUGUAUUAAAGUCUGUGCAAAGGGCAAUAAAAUAAUUGAGGACAAGAGUGAAAAUCAGUACAAACUGAUCAGUCACCACAAAAAGGAGGUACCAAAGGCAUCCAAUGCCAAAGAUAACAGACGUCUCGGCAAGUCCAUCCACGGCGAGGACAAAGCAAGUACAGUUUCUCAGAUUUACAAGAUAAUAUUUAUGUAAAAAACAAAAGUAGUCUGGAUAAAAACAAUCCCUCAGUGCAAAUUUAACUCAGAAGAGAUAUUGCCAACUAAUGUGGAAAGUAGAAUUUCACAGUCGUACCUAUAGUCAGAAAGAAAGAGGUUGUUUCGAGCUAUUUGAACCAUUCAUUUAUAAUGACAUACAGCUGUGAAGAUAAGAGAAUUAAUUAUUUAAAUAUUGUAGAAUCAAUUUUAUCCUAAAAAAAUAAAAAAAAUAAUAUUAUUAAAUAUAAAAAUACAAAAUAUAAAAAAUAAAUACAAAAAAAUAAUACAAAAUAUAAAAAAAAAACAAAAAACAAAAAAAAUUGAGGAUAGCAAUGGUGCCAUCUCGAUAUCAGUGCCAUCAGGCCCAUCACUCAUCCCUUACACAUACUUUGUUCAUCUUAUUCUACUAUCAAAAAAUACAAAAAAAAAAUAAAAGAGAUAUGGGGCUCGUGCUCAUACCCCAUGUCGAGCCCCAUGCCCUUCUCCUCAAACACACACGGUUGAACUCCUAACCAAACAAAAAAAAAAAAGAAAGAAAAAAUGAGGAAGGAUAUUCUGCCAAAAAACAACAAAAAAAAAACAAACAAAAAAUCACAUAGUCCUCCCCGUAGGGAGGAACUCAGCACCGAGCUUCUUGUAAAAAAAAAAAAGAGGUCAAUUUAAAAAAAAAAGAGUCAGAAUACAAAAAAAAAAUCUCACUGAAAUUUUGAAAGUAGAUCAGGGGAAAUAGGGAUUUUUUUUGUGAAAAGGACCUCAGAUCUGAACUCAAGAGGUUGAGAGGAACAUUUUAGUGUUUUUAAAAAAUUUUCGACCAUCGACGACGACGGUCGGUGACUGGCGAACGACGGUGAUGACGGUGGUGAUAGAGGCUGGCCUGCCGACGUUCGGUUGAAGAAGAAACGAAAAAAAAAACAGUCAUUUUUUGUUGGAGAAGAAAGAAAAGUGAUCGAAAAAAAAAAUUGAACCUUUUAUAUAAACGGUGAAAACCAAAACGACGUCGUUUCGAUAAAUGCCCAAAACAACGUCAUUUAGGUCAAAGAGGAUCCGCGGGUUGACUCGAACUCGACUCGGGGUCCGUGCAACUGACCCGCUAAUCUGACUUCUCAACGAUUCUGAAUCGAUUUGAUCAAACUGAACCGAAUCGCUCCCUGGAUCGGCUUAAUCGAACUACUGUUGAACCGAACCUUUUUCGGUCAAAUCAAACCGUCGUUGACUAGUCUGGUUCAGGUAAAAAAAAUUUUUUUUUGAAUUUUUAUAUAUUAUUAUUUUUGUUAUUUAAAAUAUUUUUUUUAUAUAUUUAUGUAUGAUAAGUUUUAAAUUUGUUAGGAUAAGUUUUCUAAUUAUUUUAAUAAUAAUAAAAAUGAGAAUAAGUAAGAUGAUAAUUAAAUAUAUAUAUUAAAAAUGCUUUAAAAAAUAAUAGAAUAAUUAUUAUUAUUUUUCCUACCUAGAUGUUGGAGGGAAUAUAAAAAAAAAUUUUCAAAGAAAUAAUUUCGCCUAGAUGUUGGGAGGUUAUUAUUAAUAAAUUUUCAUAAAAAGAAAUAAUAAGAAGUUUUUAAAUUAAUUUUCAAAAAUUAUUAAAAUCGAACCUACUUCGAAAAUCCGCCUAGAUAUUGAAGAUUUUUUAGAGAUGUUCGCAUUUUCUUAAAAACGAAACCUUAAACGCCAAUUCUUAAUUUUCAAAAUCUUAGGUUUCUAAAACCUCUAAAAAUCUAAAAUCUCUUAAAUCCAAACCCCCCCAAAAUUCGAAAUUCUAAACCUUUAAACUCUUAAAUUCAAACCCUAAAAUCUAAAAUUCUUAAAAUUUAAGCUUUAAAACCCUAUAACCCUUAAAACCAAACCUUCAAAACCUCUACUCAAGCCUUUACUCAAAACCUCCUAAAAUCCUAAGAACACGUGUGAAAAUUUCAUUUGAAGCAAUUUGUUCUCGAAUGCCGCCUAGAUGAUGGGGAAUUUAGUAAAUUUUACUUCGUUAAGUCUUUUUACAUGAUUUUUUAAUUUGCAUUAAUAAUAAGUUUAGUUAAUAACAGUACAACAGUAAAUUAGGAUCUUAAAUAUAAACAAUCGCACCUAAGUUCUACCUAGAUAUUGGAGAGUCGUGGUGGUCUCAUUAUACUUAAAAAUCUAACUUUAAAAUUGCAUCUCAUCUUACAUAAUACUCAUUGGCAUACAUACGUUUGCGUGUUAUCAUUGGUAAUUAUUUACAUUAUUUUAUCUUUAAUUUUUAUUUACUAUUUGAUGAUAAAAUAUUUUAUAAUUAAAAAAUAAAUAAUACCUUUUUUAAAAAAAAACUGUGAUAUUAUAAAAUAAAAUAAAAAUAAUAUUUCGAAGGAAAUAAUUUUUAGUACUCUGUCUAAAUGUUGGAGAGUCACUAACAUUUAUUUUCUAUAAAGAUUGUUAUUUUGUUUUAAGGAUUAUUGUGUUAAAUUUUAAGCAAAAAGAGUUAUUUUAAAUUCUGCAUAGAUAUUGGAGAAUUUUAAUAUAAUUCUUUAACUUAAAGAUUUUCUCAAUAUUUCUAAAUAAAAAUUUUAACAAAAUUUUAUUUUUCCAAAUGAAGGAAAUUAUUGUUAAAUUUCAAAUUAAAACCAUUUUUAUCCAACUCCGAAAAUAGCGCGUAAUUAAAUGAUACCAAUUUAUGGGCGUUGUGGGAGUGCUAAUCCUUCCCCACACGUACCGACUCCCGAACUCAACCUGAUUUUUCGUAGAUCAAAAUUUAUCUUUUUGAUAAAUUUUAAAUCCAUUUUUAUAGUUUUAUUAAAAAGAUAAACUUUUGGGUGGUUAAUCACACCCUAACAAAGAUUGGUGGCGACUCCCCUCAUUUAUUUCGAUUUUAAAACUCUUUCACGUCUGACGGUCCCAAAAUCGUUGCGACAGCUUGACGACUCCGUUGAAAAAUUUUGAGAGUCAAGCCAAAUUUUAGUUAUGCGCUAUUAAUAGCUGUUAGAUUUAAUUGGUUUUAUUUGAUAUUUAAUUUAAUUUUCUUUAUUUUAAUUUUUUAAAAUAUAUACAUACAAGUUAAUAAAUAAAAUAAAUUGCUUGUUAGCUAUUACUUUAUUUUGAUUUUGUGUUUAUGAUUUAUUCAUGUUAUUUUGAUUAAUACAUUACUUUGCAUACACUUUGCAUAUUUGCUCGCAUGCAUGAGCUCUAGACCCGGGCUCUUUCCCUUUUAAGAGAAACUGAAGUAGCUACACUCUCGUGAGGUGAAAACCUCCGCAUUUGCUAAUGAAACACUUUCACUCAUAUUGAACCAUUUUUCGUUAGUAACUUGUAAUGGGUGACGGUAGGGGAACCUUACUAGUCAAUAAUGGACGACGAUGUGAGGAAUAGUCUGGGAACCGUUAGACGCAUAAACCUUAACCCAGCAUAUCGCAAGCCAUAUGAAUCUUGCUGAUCUUUUUAUAAAAAUAACCAAAAAUGGAUGAUAAAUGAAAAGCAUUUUCUUAAAAAUUUUUUUUUUCUUUACAUGUAGUUCAUUCAUUUGGUAAUUGUUCAAAUUUUACAAUUUCAUAAAAUAUUUUAGAAUAAAGUGAUUUUUUUUAAAAGCAUUAUCCAACAAGCCAAAAAAAAAAAAAAAGAAAAAAAAAGGUUUUCAAAAAAAAAAAAAGAUUUUUCUUAAAUUCUUUGUUUAUUGGCCCAAUAAAAAAAUCAAUUUUCAUGUCCUAGUUAUUUUGUUUUUUCCUCUAAAAUUUUUUUUUUAUUUUGUUUCAUCUUUUGCAUUUGAUACAUCAUAAAAAAUAAUACAUGUAUCACAUCCCAUAUGCAUCAUAAAAGGUAAUGUCAGUUUCACUAGGUUGGCAUAAUACAAGCAUUGCAUUCCAUGUAAAAAUAUACACAUGCACUUGAUAGGUUCAUGCAUUCCAUACAAGUAUGCUGUAUUAGUCAUAGGAAUGCAUCUCAUCAUUCAUAUAAACAUGUCAUUGCAUUUCAUGCAUAUAAAUUCAUGAAUGGUAGGGUCAUAUGGAACAAACAUUGCAUUUUAUAUCCCAUUAUCCCUACAACAUAAUAUUCCUUACAUGCACAUUCAUGGUUGAUAAAAAAUUUCAUUUGGGUCAUUUGUACAUAUAAAAAUUCAUUGUCAUAGGCAUAUACGCAUUUCAUGACAUUCUUUAGCUAUCGUAUUCAUGUAUUCAUACUUCGUGUGUCAUUAUUUUUGUGAUAUUCAUUCAAUAAGGGUAGUAAUCUAGAAUUUUUUAUCUAAGUCCUGGAAUAAAAUGUCUGUCUUGGUGGGAAUCAGAGUAACGAAAAUAUGGGAGAACAAUUGGAAGCAAGAAUUAGUGCUUUGGAAUUGAAUCAAGAGGAAUUAUGGCUUGAGCUUUGAGAGAUGAAAUAACAGAUGGCUCAAUUGAUAGAAAUGGUUAAAGGUAGUGAUGGAGUUGAGUUAGUUGCUCUUCAAAUACCGUUGUCACUUUCAUCAAGUCAAGGUCAAUUGGCUCUCAUUAGUUUCAGCACUCUGCCAGAGCAUGCUAAAGCAUUAGGUGAUUUGAACAAUGACCAAGGUUUGGGCGAACUCAAGAGAGGAAUGGGUGAACUGGCCAUGCAAAUGACUGAGAUCAAAAGUUUGACUUUCAAAAAUAAGCCAGCUGGCUUCAAACAACCUCCACAAACUAUCCUGAGUCCAAACUCAUACCCAAAUCCUUCUUAUGACCAUUUUCAACCCUUUUCCAAGUACCUAAGAUUAGGCCCCCAAUUUUCAUGCAACCACAAAGAAUUUCACACCUGAACCCAUAUCCACCAUCUCAUUGUCGUAACGGUUUUGUGUCCGCCCGACGAAUUUGGAAACGAAAUAAAAAUAAUGGAGUCGCCACCAAUCUUUUUUGGCUAGGUGCGAUUGGCCACCUAUUAAAACAUAUCCUUUUAAUGAAAUCUUAAAAUUAAUUAAAAUUUAUUAAAAAGAUAAUUUUACGGUCUGCAAAACAGUCUGGGUUCGGGAGUCGAUUACGUGUGGGGAAGGAUUAGCACCCCCACAACGCCCUGUAGACACCCAAUCAGGUCCGGGCCCGGAUCAAUUGGGCCUGACCCGGAUCAAUUGGGCCUGACCCAGAUCAUUUGGGCCUGGCCCAAAUGGGCAAGGCCCAAUUGAAUUUUUACCCGUAUUUUUUAUUUUUUAUUUUUAUUUUAUUAUUUUUUUUCUCUCUUGUGUAUUUUAUUAUUUAUUAUUAUGUAUUAAUAUAUGUAUAUAUAUAUAUAUAUUUUUUUUCAUUAGAAUAGAUUUAUAUGUAUAUAGUUAUAUAUUUAUUAUUAUUAUAUUAUUAUUCUUAUCUUUUUUUUUAAUUAUCUGUUCUGAUUUUUUCUGAUUUUCAGAUAUUAUUUGAAAAUUUUUUAUCUUUUGAUUUAUCUUUCCAAUUAUCUAGAUUUUUUUUUUUAUUUUAAUUUUUAUUUUGGAGGGCUAGGAUUCAAAGUUGAAGACUCCCACUCUGAAGGGGAAUUCAAUCAGAAGAGUCCAAUUGGAUUCAAAAAUUGAAUUCCCGUCCAAGGAGGAAUUGGGAUUGAUCAGAAACUCCUGAUCAAUCCCUAUAUAAAGCACCUCCUGGAACAGUUCAGAAAGACAGAGAAAACAGAAGCAAAAGCUACUGAUUGAGAGAAUAGGGGUGUUUAGAGAGCUAAGGAAAAGUUUAGGAGUGUUCUGGCAGUGAGAAAAAUUUUUUAGAAAAAUUUGGCGAAAAAAAUUUUCUGGAAAUUUCUGGGAAAUUUCCAGAUUCCGGCGAAAAUUCCGGCGACUUUUGAAUUUUCCGACGACAAUUCCGGCGAACUUUGAAGUUUCCGGCGACAGACCCAGUUUCCGGCGGAGAAUCCCAGAAACCGGCGACCAUCCGGCCAACUUCCGGCCAAUUUUCGGCGAAAUUCCCAGAUUCCGGCGAAUUUUCCAGAAUCCGGCACCGGCGUUCUUCAAAUUCUAGAGAGAAGGCAGAGAAGAAGGGAAGAAGAGAGAGAGAGGGGAGGAACGGUCUGCUGAAAAACGGAGGAAGGUGCCUUUUAUACCCUCCCAAAACGACGUCGUUUUGGCUUUAAGUUAAUAAGAGGAUCCGCGCGUUUUACCGAACCCGACCCGACCCGAGCGUCGACCCGAUUCUGACCCGCGCGUGCCCAGCCCCCCUCCGAGCCGAGCCGAGCCGAGCCGUUCUUCCCGAGCCGCUUCUCCGAGCCGUUUUUUCUUCCUUGAGCCGAGUCGAGCCGCAACCCGAGCCGCUCCAGGUUUUUUUUUUUUUUUUUUUUUUUGACUUUGAUUUUGAUCUUGAUUUUUUUUUCUUUUUUCUUUAAUUAAUCCGACGACGGAGCCUCUACAAGUAAAAACAGUAGUUUUUCUUGCAUACUCCUGAGGUGAGGGAAUUUUCUCAAUUUUCUGCUAAAAGUAUUAGAGUCAAUUGAGAAUAAUUUUCGAUAAUUAAUUACUUGGCUGAUUUUGAUUUUUUUUUUCUUUAAUUAAUCCGACGACGGAGCCUCUGCAAGUGAAACAGUAGUUUUUCUUGCAUACUCCUGAGGUGAGGGAAUUUUCUCAAUUUUCUGCUAAAAGUAUUAGAGUCAAUUGAGAAUAAUUUUCGAUAAUUAAUUACUUGGCUGAUUUUGAUUUUUUUUUUCUUUAAUUAAUCCGACGACGGAGCCUCUGCAAGUGAAACAGUAGUUUUUCUUGCAUACUCCUGAGGUGAGGGAAUUUUCUCAAUUUUCUGCUAAAAGUAUUAGAGUCAAUUGAGAAUAAUUUUUGAUAAUUAAUUACUUGGCUGAUUUUGAUUUUUUUUUCUUUAAUUAAUCCGACGACGGAGCCUCUGCAAGUGAAACAGUAGUUUUUCUUGCAUACUCCUGAGGUGAGGGAAUUUUCUCAAUUUUCUGCUAAAAGUAUUAGAGUCAAUUGAGAAUAAUUUUCAACAACUAACUACUUGGUAAAAUUUUAAGGCUUUUGGAUAACACAAAUUCAAGCUGGUACCAUCUUUUGAUGGGCGUUGUGAGGGUGCUAUAACCUUCCUCACACGUAACCGAACUCCCGAACUCUGUUCUGGUUAAGCAGACCCGAACCUAUUCUUUUAGGGACCCUUAAGCUUAGGUGUUCCCUGAAAGGACAGAUUCCUUAGGUGGCCAAUCACACCUGGAUAAAAAAAAGAUUGGUGGCGACUCCCUAAAGUCAAUGUCUGGCGAUAGAUCCCCGGAUCUAGACGUUAUGACAGCUUGGCGACUCCACUGGGGACCUUGAGAGUCAGGCCAGCAAAUAAUCUGUGUUAUCCAAAAGCCUAAUAAAAUUGAACCUUUUUGUAUAUAUAUGUUAUUGUUCAUUCAUGUUUAUUUACUUUGUUAAUUAUGUCAUUCAUGUGCAUGUGCAUAACAUGAGCUCUAUACCCGAGCUCCGUCCCUCUAGGAGGGAGUAAAGUACCUAUUGCUUUCGUGAGGUCUAAUGCCUCCGUAGUGGCUAGCGAAAUACUCCCACUCAAAUUGAACCUUUUCCGCUUGUAGCCUGUAAUGGGUGAGGAUUAGGGUGCCUUACUAGUCUGUGAUGGACAAGGAUGUAAGGAACAAUUUGAGGACCUUUAGACUCUGACUUUAAGACCACAUGUAGUGAACCUUAAGAGUGCCUAACCCUAGGAUAGAGUCCUUUCUACCCAAUGAUAGAUAUACCUUGAAAUUAGGACACAAAAAAGGUGUUUAUCUAAUCAUUUUGAUUGCUUAACUUUGUGUAUUAUUUUUUGUAAUGUUAUGCAUCAGCAUCACUUUCAUUUCAUUCAUGAAACUAACUAUGUUGUUUGUCUGAUUGUAUGCAUCCGCAUUACUUUCAUGACCAUGUUUUAACACAAUCAUUUGCAUUCAUUUCAUACUAGAUUUCAUUCAGAAAAAUGUACAUUUCAUUUGUAUAUCAAAGCAUCAUACAUAAGGCACAGCAUAACAUUUCUAAUCAUAAGUAUGGUACUCAAGGUCCCAGGAUAGCUCCAUCUAGCGAAAACCCUGCUCAUCCAUACAACACAAGGUCCAGAGCAAGGCAAAUGGAGGAAGAAAGUUCUCAUAGAUUUGAAAAGCUAGAAAAAGCUCAGGAGAAGAUUGAAAAUGAACUUAGCAAAAUUCUGGAGGCCCUCAAUAACAUGAAUAAGGGGAAAGGGUUGAAGGAAAAUACAAGCCAACAAGUUCCCCAUUUACAAGAAGUGGCUGACCCUUUGUACCCUCCAGGUUUUGGCCCACCUCAAGCCCAGUCUGCCCAAGAGGUCCCGCCACAACAUUUCGCCUAUCCUGGAAUGCCAUCAGCUUUCAACCCAGGGCAGUAUAACAGCUAUAUAAAUCCUGUCUUCACUGAAAAGGCAGCAGAACCAAUUCCUGAUCUAGAAGAGAAGGAGAAGGAAAAGAUGAGAGUAGAGGCUGAGGAAAGUUCCAAGAUUAGCAUGCUAGAGCAGAGGCUAAGGGCUGUGGAAGGAUUUAGCUGUUAUGGGUCAGUUGAUGCUGCUGGGCUCUGCUUAGUUCCUGAUGUGGUUAUCCCCUAUAAAUUCAAAGUACCGAAAUUUGAAAAAUAUGACGGUACAAAGUGCCCUAAAACCCACAUCACCAUGUAUUGCAGGAAGAUGGCAGCUCAUGCACAUGAUGAAAAACUCUUGAUGCAUGUCUUUCAGGAUAGUCUUACUGGUUCUGCUGCCAGGUGGUAUGUUCAGUUGGAUAGAACCCACAUUCGCUCCUGGAACGAUAUGGCUCAUGACUUCAUCAGCCAAUAUCGACACAUCAUCGAUUUGGCCCCUGAUCGUUUAUCUUUGCAAAACUUGGAGAAAAAGUCAAAUGAGUCUUUUAAAGAAUACGCCCAGAGAUGGAGGGAUAUUGCUUCACAGGUACAACCUCCACUGACAGAGAAAGAGACCACAGUGCUGUUUGUUAGCACUUUAAAACCUCCCUAUUAUGAAAAGAUGAUAGGGAAUGCAACAAAGAAUUUUGCUGACAUGGUAAUCUCUGGAGAAAUUAUUGAAAGUGCCAUAAAAAAUGGCAAGUUGAGAGGAGGAGAAACCAAGAAGACAUCAGAAAAGAAAGAAGCUGAAGCUCAAGCUGUGAGCUUUGAUAGACAACAAUUCAGGGGUUAUCAACCCUAUCCAUCCCAAGGUUACUCUUCAUACUAUCCUGCUGUGAAUAAUACCUCAUCCUACCCAUACCAGCUAGCUCCACAACCAUCUUAUUCAUCCACUUACCGCCUUAACAUUCAAGCUCCUGUAAGAACUCAAAUUCGUCCUACUCACCCAGCAAGUGGUUCACGAGAACAAAGAACUACUCGAGAAAAACCUGUAUUUGAUCCAAUCCCUAUGACUUAUACAGAGUUAUAUCGAGAGCUUUAUAAUAGCCACUUGAUUGCCCCCAGCCAUGUGGAACCUCUUAAACCACCCUACCCAAAGUGGUAUGAUCCUACAGCCCACUGCGACUAUCACUAUGGAAUUACUGGCCAUUCUACUGAAAAUUGCACUGCUUUAAAGUAUAAGGUGCAACGGUUGAUCAAUGAUGGAAUGGUAAGUUUUGAUCAAGGAAAAGCAACAACAUUCAAUGUUAACACCCUAAGUGAAAGUUAAGAACAGAAAGGAUCUGGAGAGUCACAAUGAAUUGAGGGGCAAGACGUCAAUGGGGAUUUCUUCACCUGAUCAUAUAGGGGGCUAAUUUUUAAUGGAGAUAAGGCGGGUUGAAAGUUUUUUUGUCACUUUAAGAUUUCUUUUCAAGUAAUGUUGGAUUUCUUUUUGCAAUAUGACUUUACUUGUUAUCAUUUUAAUAAAGGCAAGUCAAUGCAUUUCAUUACAUUUUUCUCUUUCAUUUGACCAUUAUUCCAUACCCUGCUACCUUUCAUAACUUCACAUUCCCAUUCUUAAAUUUCAGAUGAUGAAUAUUUAGACAAUGAUAACAAUAAUUCUAGGAUUUAAUUUUGAGAACUCAUCCACAUUAAUAUGAGAAGAUGAUUUGAACAGAAGUAAGCUAUUACUGGAGGAGAAACAGAUAUGUCUUGAAGAUGUGUAAUCUUUUAUACAGAUUCAUGAGCUUUGUUCAAUAGAUGAUGUUCAAGAAAGGUAUUCACAAUUGAGAUGAAAAAUGGCCACCUUUCUUUUACCAUUGGAAAAACCAUUUAUUGCUACCCCUUUGAGCCAAUCAUGAUUUUUUUUCUUGAAGAACCCCAACCAAGGAUCACCCUCUACACUGGAGGGUAAUUUUUGAAAAAAAAAAAAAAAAAAAAGAAAAAAAAAAAAACACCACAAAAGGUCUCAAAAAUGAAAAAAAAAAGAAAAACAAAUGCCACACAUGACUUGGGGCAAAGUAAUGAGAAUCCUUUGUGUGAUGAAAGAAAAAAGUAGUGAAAUGAUGUGGGGGCAAAAUGCCAAGCUGCAUCAAAUGAUCCUUUGGUUUUGAACCUUUUUAAUACAUGUUUUGAGCCUAUUAUAUCCAUUUCUUUUAUGACCCUUCCCCUUGGCCUACGUUACAACCUUGAAAAGUCCAUUUGGAUCAAGUGUGAAUACUCAACUUGAAUGAUCAUAUGUUGAGCGAAUGUAUGCUCAUGAUGAAGCAAUGAAAUCAUGCUACAUUGCUCUAAAGUUGGAUGUAUGAAAGAUAUCAACAAUGGAUGAAAAAUGAGAAAAAAAGAAGAUGAUGAAAAAAAAGAAAAAAAUAGAAAAAAAAGGAAAAAAUGAGAAAAUGAAAAAAAGAGAUUCAAAUUGAAAACCUGAAAGGGUGAUCUUGGUAGAAAAAAAGAUCCAGGGCAAAUGGCUCACAUGAAUGAAAGGUCAAAGACAUCUGAAGAUCCCUCAAAGACUGGGGCAAAGUUCGACAAGCUCAAGAUGACUUCAACUGUAAAUGGAAUGAGUUUUUGAAAAAGAAUCCUAGAUUAAUGUUGAGAAUUGUCUGAAUAUUCAUCAUUUGGACAUACCAUCCAUCUCAAUGACAUCCAAUUUAUUUUCCUUUCCCAUUUGUUUUGUACCAAAACAGAUCUUCAUUGAUUAUCUUUACCAUAAUUCACCUUGCGUUCUCUCAUUGUUUCACCCCUAGAAUGAAUUGAGAAAAUGCUUGAUUGCAUGGUAUUUGUCAAGAAUUGAAAUGAUAAUGAAUGAAUGAAUAUGCGCUUAAAAGAGUCUUGCAUUCAUUUGAAAAGAAAUCUAAGAUGAUGAAGAAAUGGUAGAAACCUAAAAGAGAUGAUUUAGAAGGAUGUAUGAUGUGACCAAAUAGAGAAUAUGAUGGGGCAAAUCUUGAAAAGCGAUACAACCAAGUGAUGAGUACAAGGAUGAAUUGGUCGAAUGGUGGGAACAAUCAGUGGACAGAAUUUGUUUUGGAAUGAUUGAUGCUGAGACAAGGACCCAGUGAUGGUGGAUGAAAUUUGUUUUGAAAUUUGCUAGUGCUGAGAAAUUCAUGGAUGAUGGUCAAGGGAUGAUCGAUUGAUGAAGCUUAUUCCGGAGUAUUGAGAAACUGAACAAGGAAGAAUGUGAGUGGAAAAGACAAUUGAGAGCUACACUGGUUCAAUCUUAGAAGAGCAGUGCAAUUGGAUCCUGAAAAAUCAAAGGGCUUGACACCCAAGAAAUAAAAAAAAAGAGAGCUUGAGAAACUUGAGUACCAUACAUUGAACAUGAAUUAAUUGGUCAACAUUUGCAUAGCAUGCAUUGAAAUUCAUAUGCAUUUGCACAGCAUACACUACUUUCAGGAGAAUAUAGUGUAUAAAUUCAAGAAGCAGGGGUGUUCCAACAUCCCACAUGGAGGAGACAGAUAUGAAAAGACUUUGCAAGUUUGAGAAGAAACUUGUCAGGUAAGUUCCUAAUCCUUGAAAUAGGAUGUCUUUUGGUAUCAGGGUUGAUUUAUAAGACCUUUGGGCAUAAUCUCCUGAAAUCCCUUCAAACACAGCUUUCAACUCCUUUGGACAUGAUUGUCAAGGAGCCUAUUAAUUUCCAAAGUUCCGUUGCCUCUGUUUAGAGGAGCAAUUUAUCUUUUCAAAGUCGUGGUGCCUCUGUUGAGAGGAGCAAUUUAUUUUUUCAAAGUCGUGGUGCCUCUGUUGAGAGGAGCAAUUUACUUUUCAAAGUCGUGGUGCCUCUGUUGAGAGGAGCAAUUUAUUUUUUCAAAGUCGUGGUGCCUCUGUUGAGAGGAGCAAUUUAUUUUUUCAAAGUCGUGGUGCCUCUGUUGAGAGGAGCAAUUUACUUUCCAAAGUCGUGGUGCCUCUGUUGAGAGGAGCAAUUUACUUUUCAAAGUCGUGGUGCCUCUGUUGAGAGGAGCAAUUUAAUUUCCAAAGUUCCGUUGCCUCUGUUUAGAGGAGCAAUUUACUUUUCAAAGUCGUGGUGCCUCUGUUGAGAGGAGCAAAUUUAAUUUCCAAAGUUCCGUUGCCUCUGUUUAGAGGAGCAAUUUAUUUUUCCAAAGUCGUGGUACCUCUGUUGAGAGGAGCAAUUUACUUUUCAAAGUCGUGGUGCCUCUGUUGAAGAGGAGCAAUUUACUUUCCAAAGUCGUCGGUGCCUCUGUUGAGAGGAGCAAUCUACUUUUCAAAGUCGUGGUACCUCUGUUGAGAGGAGCAAUUUACUUUCAAAAGUCGUUGAGUCUCUGUUUAGAGGAGCUUCGGCAAAAAAAAAACAAAAAAAACAAAAAAAAACAAAAAAAACAAAAAAAAAUCAAAAAAAUCAAAAAAAAAUCAAAAAAAUAAAAAACAAAAUAAAAAAAAUCAAAAAUAAAAAUGUUGAGUUGAGUCUUGAUUGGGUGUCUACGUCUUUGCGCAAUUUCUGUUUCACAGAAAAUGUGCAAAGAGGGGCAGCUGUAGACACCCAAUUGGGUCCGGGCCCAGAUCAAUUGGGCCUGGCCCAAAUGGGUAAGGCCCAUUUCAAUCCUGUAUAUUUUUUUCUUUUGUAUUUUAUGUAUUCUAUUAUUAUUAUUAUUAUGUAUAUCUUUAUUCAUUUAUUUAUUUUUAUUCAGAUUAGAUUUAUAUGUAUAUUAUUUAUAUAGUUAUAUAUUUAUUAUUAUUAUUAUUAUUAUUAUUUUUGUAAGAUAUUUUUGAAUUUAUCUUAUUUUAUUAUUAUUUUUUUUAAAUAUCUGUUCUGAUUUUUUCCUGAUUAUCAGAUAUUUUUUUUACUAUAAUAUCUUUUUAUUUAUCUGUUCUAAUUAUCUAUUAUUUUUUAUAUUUAUUUGAUUUUUUUUUUUGGAAGGUUGAGAUUGAAGCUGAAGAAUCCUACUGGGAGUGGGGAUUCAAUCUAAAGAGUCCAAUUGGAUUCAAAGACUGAAUCCCCGUCCAAGGAGGAGUUGGGAUUGAUCAGAAACUCCUGAUCAACCCCUAUAUAAAGGACCCUUUGGAACAGUUCAAGAACACACAGAAAACAGUCAGCUAGAGCUACUGAUUUGAGAAGCAAAGGCGUAGGGAAGAGUAUAGAAGGCUAGGAAAAGGUUUAGGAGAGUUCCAGAAAUUAUCAGAAAUUUUUUUGGGGAUUUUUCGAGAUUUUUUUUUUCUGGGAGUUUCUGGAAAAUUCCAGUUUCCGGUUGAAUUUUCCGGCCAACCUUGAAGUUUCCGGCUAAAAUUCCGGCCAACAUUGAAGUUUCCGGCGAACUGCCCAGUUUCCGACGAAGAAUCCCAGAAACCGGCAAAGAAUCCCAGAAACCGGUGAAUUUUCGGCCAACUUCCGGCGAAAAAACCCAGAUUCCGACGAAAAUUUCCAGAAUCCGGUGAAUCUUCCACCGGAGUUCUUCGGUUUUUUAGAGAGAAGGGAGAGAAAAAGGAAGGAAGAGAGAGAGGGGAGAGGAGCGUUCUGCCGAAAAACGGAGGAAGGUGCCUUUUAUACCCUCCCAAAACGACGUCGUUUUGGCUUUAAGUUAAUCAGAGGAUCCGCGCGUUUUACCGAACCCGACCCGACCCGAGCGUCGACCCGAUUCUGACCCGCGCGUGCCCAGCCCCCCUCCGAGCCGAGCCGAGCCGAGCCGUUCUUCCCGAGCCGCUUCUCCGAGCCGUUUUCUCUUCCUUGAGCCGAGCCGAGCCGAGCCGCAACCCGAAGCCGCUCCAGGUUUUUUUUUUUUUUUUUUUUUUAUUUGACUUUUGAUUUGAUCUUGAUUUUUUUUCUUUUUUUCUUUAAUUAAUCGACGACGGAGCCUCUACAAGUGAAACAGUAGUUUUUCUUGCAUACUCUUGAGGUGAGGGAAUUUUUUCAAUUUUCUGCUAAAAGUAUUAGAGUCAAUUGAGAAUAAUUUUCAAUAAUUAAUUGGAUGAUUUUGUAUUUUUUUAAUAAAUCCGACGACGGAACCUCUGCAAGUGAAACAGUAGUUUUUCUUGCAUACUCUUGAGGUGAGGAAAUUUUCUCAAUUUUCUGCUAAAAGUAUUAGAGUUAAUUGAGAAUAAUUUCCAAUAAUUAAUUGGAUGAUUUUGUUUUUUCUUUAAUAAAUCCGACGACGGAGCCCCUGCAAGUGAAACAGUAGUUUUUCUUGCAUACUCCUGAGGUGAGGGAAUUUUCUCAAUUUUCUGCUAAAAGUAUUAGAGUCAAUUGAGAAUAAUUUCCAACAACUAAUUACUUGGUAAAAUUUUAAGGCUUUUGGAUAACACAAAUUUAAGCUGGUACCAUCUUUUGAUGGGCGUUGUGAGGGUGCUAUAACCUUCCUCACACGUAACCGAACUCCCGAACUCUGUUCUGGUUAAGCAGACCCGAACCUAUUCUUUUAGGGACCCUUAAGCUUAGGUGUUCCCUAAAAGGACAGAUUCCUUAGGUGGCCAAUCACACCUGGAUAAAAAAAGAUUGGUGGCGACUCCCUAAAGUCAAUGUCUAGCGAUAGAUCCCCGGAUCUAGACAUUAUGACAAGCAUUUUGUUGAAGGAAUGUUAAUAUAUAGUUCUUUUUCUUGCCCCUCUCCUUUUAUUGCUCUGAGAACUAUAAACAAAUAAUUUAAUAAAUAAUUUAAUAAUUAAAUAAUUACACACAACUUAUUAAACCUGAGAUUAAUUGAAGGCAACUCAAUGUAAAGCACUCCUUCUCAAUAAUCGUGCUUUAAGCAACCAGAAAACUGAAUGUAGUACAUUACCUCAUUUUCUACCUAAAGCAUUCUAUAUCCGCUCUCUUUCAAAGACUACAGCACUUCCCAAACCUUGCCUGCUAAAACACUGAAAGAGGAGGAGGAAAUUUUUUAAAAAAUAUGUGAGAAAAGUUCAGUAUCACUAUCCUAAUUUGAUGUAUGAGAUGCUAAAAUAAGCCAUAAAAAAGCGAAGAGGCAUACAUAAAAUUUCUAUAAUGGAAUAAAUGGAACUUGUAAAGUUUUCACAAGUGCACCUAAGGACCUGGUUAGCAUGCUUGGUUGGAUAAGUAAAACAGCUAUUAAAUAAGUUAGAGCAAAAAAAGGGGUCUCAGAAAGAUAAAGGCAAGAACCUUGACAUUGGCAGAAAAUAGCACAAGAGAAGAACCAAUUUAUGGCAAUGAAAUGUGCUACAAGUUCGUGUGUGAAACAAAAUUUCUAAUUUGGUCCAUCAGAAACAAAUGGUUGUUAAUAGGUUGAAAAUUAAGGAAAACAUGGUAUUGAUGACCUCAAGAAAGUUUAAAAUAUACCCAAAUUUGCACUGAUUUACAGAACUUCUGAGAAAAGAAAUGAAAGGAAAUGCAGAUACAGUNNNNNNNNNNNNNNNNNNNNNNNNNNNNNNNNNNNNNNNNNNNNNNNNNNNNNNNNNNNNNNNNNNNNNNNNNNNNNNNNNNNNNNNNNNNNNNNNNNNNNNNNNNNNNNNNNNNNNNNNNNNNNNNNNNNNNNNNNNNNNNNNNNNNNNNNNNNNNNNNNNNNNNNNNNNNNNNNNNNNNNNNNNNNNNNNNNNNNNNNNNNNNNNNNNNNNNNNNNNNNNNNNNNNNNNNNNNNNNNNNNNNNNNNNNNNNNNNNNNNNNNNNNNNNNNNNNNNNNNNNNNNNNNNNNNNNNNNNNNNNNNNNNNNNNNNNNNNNNNNNNNNNNNNNNNNNNNNNNNNNNNNNNNNNNNNNNNNNNNNNNNNNNNNNNNNNNNNNNNNNNNNNNNNNNNNNNNNNNNNNNNNNNNNNNNNNNNNNNNNNNNNNNNNNNNNNNNNNNNNNNNNNNNNNNNNNNNNNNNNNNNNNNNNNNNNNNNNNNNNNNNNNNNNNNNNNNNNNNNNNNNNNNNNNNNNNNNNNNNNNNNNNNNNNNNNNNNNNNNNNNNNNNNNNNNNNNNNNNNNNNNNNNNNNNNNNNNNNNNNNNNNNNNNNNNNNNNNNNNNNNNNNNNNNNNNNNNNNNNNNNNNNNNNNNNNNNNNNNNNNNNNNNNNNNNNNNNNNNNNNNNNNNNNNNNNNNNNNNNNNNNNNNNNNNNNNNNNNNNNNNNNNNNNNNNNNNNNNNNNNNNNNNNNNNNNNNNNNNNNNNNNNNNNNNNNNNNNNNNNNNNNNNNNNNNNNNNNNNNNNNNNNNNNNNNNNNNNNNNNNNNNNNNNNNNNNNNNNNNNNNNNNNNNNNNNNNNNNNNNNNNNNNNNNNNNNNNNNNNNNNNNNNNNNNNNNNNNNNNNNNNNNNNNNNNNNNNNNNNNNNNNNNNNNNNNNNNNNNNNNNNNNNNNNNNNNNNNNNNNNNNNNNNNNNNNNNNNNNNNNNNNNNNNNNNNNNNNNNNNNNNNNNNNNNNNNNNNNNNNUGUUUUAAGUGGGUGUCGAAAAUCAAGUCGAGAAAAAAAAAAAGCUAGAAAAAGCAUAGAGAAAAAAGGAGAAGAAAAAGUUGGUUAAACGGAGUUGAUCCGUGAUCCGAUUGAGUUAGAAACCUUAUCAGGAGAUUUAUGUUCAGAGUUCUACAUUCUGAACGGUGAAGAUCGGGUUUAAAGCUCUUUAGGAACAAUCCAUGGUGUAUUUAUUGAGUCACUUAUAGUGAGAUUUCUCCAAUUAUUUUUUCUAGUUGUUGAUUAGCUUUAGUUUUAGCUAAAGAAGAACUUUAUAUACUUAUUAUUUGAUAGUGAAGAUUUUUCUGGUGAUCAAUGAUUUUUUUCCUCUACAUUGAAGAGGUUUUCACGUAAAUCUUGAUGUAUUUUAUUUUUUAUAUUUUUUAAUUAUUGAUUGUUAUCUAUUAUUUUUAUAUUAUUGUGAUUAUUACGGAACACUUCCUUCGAUGCCUUAAAACCUGAGGAAAAAUUGUGUUUCUGUACAAUGUAAGAUAUUCAUACCUUCAGUAGUCCUAUUAAAGAAAAAGGCCAAACCAUGCAGCUUUCUGCUACAGCUGGACUAACAUUAUGAAACUGAUUUGAUACUUUACGACAUACUGGAAAUAAGAAAACCAAUAACCUAGAUGUACAAGCCACAGCAACCAGUGAAAUUAAAUAUGGGUUGUACCAUUUGGAUCUCCAUGCUCCUCGUCCAACUCCCCAUUCCCUAUAGAACUUCUAAUUCAUCUUGUUGGUUUGUCCUGCAAAAGAUAUAAUAAGAAUGUUAUCUUUUAGACAAAGAUAAUUGUAAAACUUGAAGCAAAUACAAAUCUUUAUACCACAAUGAAAACAAUUAACAAAAACAACAUUUAGGACAUUAAAUUCAUUCAUCUAGUUUCUGCCAUUUAGUUUCAAUUAAUUCACUGAUUGAGAAUAAAUCUAAUUCAUCAAGGUCAGUCCCAUCACAUAAGUACGUUUAAGCCACACAUGCGUUUGAAUUUUUUCAAUUUGUACAGUCUCAACCAGAAACAGCGCAGUGGUAAUGAGCAACUCAAUUGUUACAAGCUUACAUAAGAUGUGGAGCAGUACAUACAUAAUAAUAUAUACUAACAGGGUAACUUAAAAUGGGUAUUAUUAGAGAGCUUAUCCAUCAUAAAGCAGCAGCAAUUACUCAACAAACUAAAAAAUAGCCCAAGGAAACCAUGGCUGAUUUAGACUAUGCAUCAGACACAAACUUCAGCCCAUCAUACAUUACCUAGAUUGUACAACUAGGAUGACAAACCAUUCAGAUCUAAAAAAAUCAGAUUAGUAGAUAAUCCAAGAAAAAAAUGAAAGAAAACUAGAAUCUUGCAACUAGAUAACAGCUGACGAAUAAAUCGACAAAAUUAGAUAGAUAUGUUAGCUUCUUACAGGUGUAGUUCGAAAGUUUCAAAUAUGUAAUAUUUGGUAAAAAAAAAGGAACAGUCGAAUCAUUUUCAUUGGUGAGCAAUAAACUUGUCUAACUUUAUGAUGUUAGGAAUAGUAAAUGAAAGCUGUUUAAGCGUCUCAAAAGGGGUUUCUUUUAUAUACUUCUAUGUAAAAUGAAAGCUAUGAGUGAUCAGCUUUCUAUUAUAUCUCUGGUGCGAAUUUCAGAAUCAAUACCUUUGCAGUAGGAUUGCACACAAUUUAACACGGAUGGGGACUCAUCCCAACCUUACCUCGAACUCUAUCCACUUCUAUCCCUACUAUAUCCUCCACAGUUUAUUUAUUAAUUAAAUUUGUAAGUUUCCCUGGCUGAAUCAAACAGAUAAUUUAGUCACAAAUUAUGCUUCAAAAAUUUAUGUAGCUAGAAAGAAAACUGAAAGGAUUAAAUGGGACGAAAUGAACGAAAUUUCUCUUCAACAUUGAAACUAUAAGCACAAUAACAGUAUAAUUAUAAAAACCAAGUAGUAUUUCAGCAUCUUAUGAAGAAUAUAAGCACGGAAGAAACCAUAGCAACAAUCAAAUAAGGAUAAAACACAAACACAAACAUGCAAUAAAAAUGCGACGUCAUACGGAUACGAAUAAAACAAAACUAAUUUUAAAAAAAGAGACAUAGAUGUGAUAAGACACGAUAAUAAAAUUUUUUAUAUAAUUUUAUGUUAAAAUACUCAAUAUAUAUGUAAAUAUCAAUUUUUAAUGUUUCUUUUUUUUCUCAAUUUAAAAUUUUAUUUUAUAAUAUAUAAAAUUUCUUAAUUACAUAAGAAAAAAUUUAUUUUUAAAUACAUACAAGAUAUUAAUUAUUUCAAAAUGAUGAAAUAACAAUAUAACUCAAACGACGAAAUUAUUUUUUUAUUUUAUGAUUUUAAAGGAGAUAAAGUUUUACAUUAAAAAAUAAAAAUAAAAAAAGCUGAAAUCGAACCAUAACGAAAUUAUAUAUAUAAUUUUUUAAGAAGAGCGACAAGUUAUAUUAUUUUUUAAUUUCAUUUUUUUUCUUUAGUACGAAUUGAUCAGCCACCAAAAACGUGAGGUAGGAAAUGUCAAAUCUUGAGACAGAGAGGCAUCCAAUGCCAAUAAAAUCUAAAAAGAAGAAAGCGACAUGUGAAAAAGAAUGGAGUUUGGGUAAAAGCCAUCCCUCAUUCUAAAUUUAGCUCAGAAUAGAUAUUGACAACUCGUGAAGAGAGUAGAAUUUCACAGUCGUACCUAUUGUCAGAAAGAAAAUGAAGUUUGCCGCUUAUUUAUAAUGACAUACAGCUGUUAAGAUAAGGGAAAAUCGAUUAUUUAAAUAUCUUAUGUAAGAAAUGAUGUAAAAAGUUUUAUUUUAAAUGGUUAUAUUAAUUUAAAAUUUAAUUUAAUUAAUUUAUAAAACUAUUUUUAAAAAAUAACACUCAAAACAUUUUUUUAAUUUCAAACGACAGCUUUGUUUAUAUUUGGAAUUUAUACGGUUAAUUUUUUUGUGAAAAAAAUUUAAAAAUAGAAGAAAUUAUUUAAAGUUAGCCGCUAAUCUAUAAAAAAAAUUACGAAUCAUUUAAAAUUUUUUGAAUUUACAAAUUAUCUAUCAGUAAAAAAUUAUAAAAAUUUAAAUUUAAAUAUUUUAUAUUUAUAUUUUAAAUUUUAAUCACUUAUAUGAACAUCUAUUUUAUAUUAAUACAGUUAAUUUAUAUUUACAUAUAACUCGAUUGUGACAAUUUUAUUAAAAUAAUAUAAUCAAAAUGUACUUCUUUUCAUUUCAUUUGUAAAAUCAAAAGAAAAGUUUUUUGCCAAUUAAAUUAAUUUUUAAUCAAUUUUUAACACCUUAAUAUUCAUUUAAAUUUUUUCAUAUUUUUAAUAUAAUAUAAUUAAAUUUAUCAUAUCAUUAAUUAAAUUUAAAUAUUAAUUUUAAUAAAAUUCAUUUAAUAUAAUUUUUUAAUUCACAAUUAUAAUAAUUUUUUAAUUAUAAUUAUAAUAAUUUUUAUUUUUAUUUUUAAUUUUACUAUAAUAAAUCCUAUUAUCCAUCCAAAUAAAAGUUUUAUUUUCUUUAUAUCAUAACGUUACUUUUUUUAAUAACUUAUUUUAGAAGGCAAGUCCUUUCAAGCUCUUUCCUAUGAUCCAUAACGGAUCACAAUUUUCUAUAUGUAGAAUAAAAGUGAAUAUGCAAUAAUUACAAUAAAAAGUUAAUAGUGAAAAAAAUUAAAAAUUGAUUUAAAAUCAUGAUGUUAAAUUUAGUUUCAAUCAAUUUUUUAUUAAAUUUAGUUCAAAUUUAGAUAUUAAAUGUAUAUAUUAAAUUUAGAUUGAAUUUAAAAUUUUAAUAUGAAAAACAAAAAAAAAUAACCAAAUCAAAUUAUAUAUAUUUAUUAAUUUUUAUAUAUAUUUAAAAUUUUUAUAAAAUAAAGAUAAUUCUUUAUAUAAAUUUAUUAAAAUAUAUUAAAAAUUAGAUUAAAAUAAUAUAUAAAAAUUUUAAAUUUAAAAAUUAAUAAAUCAAAUCGAAUUAGUAAAAUUUAAUUUUGAUCAGAUUAAUUCUAAAAAAAAAAUAAAUUAAAAUUCAGAUCAAAUUUUAAAAAUUUUUAAUAUUAUGCAUUCUAAAAAAAUAAACUAAAUCCAAUCAAAUCUAAAUUGUUAUCACUCCUAAAAAAAAUUAUUAUUACCAAAAAAAAAAUUUCACGCUAUUCCUUUAUAUAAAAUCCUUUAUUUGAAAUUGAAGUGCACGUUUGGUCAAAUUACCAGCUACUUUAUUUCUUAUCCUUUGAGAAGUUUACUAAGUAUAGAGUGAAAAUUUUCAAGCAAUUUCGACCAAAAAACCUUUUUUUCAAGUAAUUCCUUAAUUUGUCUCUUUUAAAGAAUGUUUAUGUUUGGUUUAGUCUCUUUAGGAUAUGAUCAUUUGUAAUAUUCCACGAUGAUAAAGCUAGAAAUGAAAAAGUACUUGUAAACUAAACUAGGAAGACUUACAUUAUAAGAAGUCUCUUUAGAAUAUCGUCUUGAAAUAUUCAAAGAUAAUAUUACAAAAGAACAUAUUUAAAGGAGACUUAACACAAUACAAGCAUUCAUUUAAAAAAAAUUAAGAAACUACAUAGAAAUUAAAACCAAUUCCCGGAACCUUCAGCAAUCAAAUCCUACUUUAGUUCCUGUACUUCAGAAGUUUACUAGGUAUUGAGUAAAAUUUUCCAAGUAGCUUCUUUGUCUCCUUUGAAGAAUGCUUUUCUUGUUCUUAAUCUCCUUAAAUAAAUACCUUUUGCAAUAUUCCAAGCUAAUAUAUAGAAUUUGGUACCGAAAACUACUUCUAAACUAUUACGGGAAAUGAAAUUUUCACCACAUAUGUUGACAAAAAAAUGCUGGAAUUAAAGAAUGUAUUAAAGUCUGUGCAAAGGGCAAUAAAAUAAUUGAGGACAGGAGUGAAAAUCAGUACAAACUGAUGAGUCACCACAAAAAGGAGGUACCAAAAGAUCCAAUGCCAAAGAUAACAGACGUCUCAGCAAGUCAAUCCAGGGCGAGGACAAAGCAAGUACAGUUUCUCAGAUUUACAAGAUAAUAUUUAUGUAAAAAACAAAAGUAGUCUGGAUAAAAACAAUCCCUCAGUGCAAAUUUAACUCAGAAGAGAUAUUGCCAACUAAUGAGGAAAGUAGAAUUUCACAGUCCUACCUAUCGUCAGAAAGAAAAAGGUUGUUUGGAGCUAUUUGAACCAUUCAUUUAUAAUCACAUACAGCUGUGAAGCUAAGAGAACUAAUUAUUUAAAUAUCUGAUGUAAGUAAUAAUAUAAAAAAUUUUCUUUUAAACGAGGAUAUUAAUUCAAAAUUUAAUUUAAUUAAUUUAUAAAAUUAUUUUAAAAAAAUAAUAUUUAUAACAUUUUUUAGUUCAAACUUAAACUUUGCUUAUAAAAAAACCACUGUUUGUAUUUUGAAUUUAUGCAGUUACUUAUUUUUGUUGAAAAAAAAUUAAAAAUUAAAAAGAUUAAUUUAUUUUUAAAAUUAAGAUAAAUCAUCAAUUUAUAAGAAGAUUUAUAAAAUUUGUAAAUAUUUUUAAAUUUACAAAUUAUCAUUCAAUAUAUCAUAAAAAUUUCAAUUUGAAUAUUUUAUAUUCAAACCUUAAAUUUUAAUUUCAAACCAAUUUUUUUGAAAUUUAUUCAAUUAAUUUAUAUUAACAUAUACCUCCGGUUAUAACAAUUUGAAUAAAAAAAAAAUCAAAAUGUACUUCUUUCAAAUUUAUUUACAGAAUCAAAAGGAAAGUUUUUGCCAACUGAAUUAAUUUUUAAUCAAUUUUUAACACCUUACUUUUUUAAUAUCGUAAUGUUAUUGUUUUUAAUAAUUUAUUUUGGAAGGCAAGUCCCUUUAGACUCUUUCCCAUGAUUCGUCCUUGGUCACAAUUUUUAUAUGUAAAAUAAAAGUGAAUACUUAAUAAUUACAAUAAAAAAGUUAGGGCUGAAAAAAUUAAAAAUUAAUUUAAAAUUAUAAUAAUUAAAUUGAUUUAGAUUAUUUUUUAUUUAAUUUAAAUCAAAUUUAAUUAUUAAAUAUAUAUAUUAAAUUUAGAUCGAAUUUAAAUCUAAAUAUAAGAUCUAACUUGAUCUCAAUUUAAAAAAAAAAAAAAACUUUUGACCUUAUCUAAAAUUUUUAAAAACCCGCACGUAUUGAAUUGAAGCAAAUCAAAAAUUCAUGAGAUAAAAGGUUGUUUUGGCAACCCUACAUCCAUAGAUUUUUUUCUUACAACAUUUAUCUAAUUAAAAAAAUAUUAAAAACGUAAUAGAAAAGAAAUGACAGGAAAAAUAAGUUAAAUAGAGAAACAACGUAAUAAUUUUAUUAAUAUAAUACAUAUAUAAUUAUAAAUUAAAAUAAAUAAUAAAAUAUAUAUCUGAACUAAAUAAAAUACUCUAAACUUGCAUCUAACUUAACGAUGAUUUUUGAAAAUACCUCAAGGUGAUCCCAAAUUUUAAAAGAACAUAUUUAUUGGAUCCAAAGGAAUCAAAACCUAUUACGUUAGGAAUAGAAUUGUAACCAUAUUUGGCUGCAGGAUUAUUUUAAUUUUUUUAAAGUUAUAUUUCGAAUAUGUGAGAAUUAAAUUUUUCAUGUCAUGUUUUAAAGGAAGACAACAUAUAGAUAAAUAUAAGAGUAUUUAUUUUUUAUUAUAAAUCAUAAAUUAAUUAUAUAUAAAAAUAUGUCUUUUAUUAAAUUAAAAUAUUAAAUAAUAUCUUUAUUGAUAUAAUAUAUAUAAAUAAAAAUUAAAUAAAUAAUAACAAAUAUUCUUUAUAUAUCUUUAAAAGUGUCGGAUAGAGCGCCUCAAACAUUAUUUUAUCUUGACUCAAGUUGUUUAAAAAAAUAAAACUUAGCUCAAUUUUUAUUUAAAGAAAAAAAAAUGAAUGAUUGGAUUAUGACGAAUUAAAAUCUAUAUCCAAGUUCAUUUUUCUUUCUUGAUGCUUUUCGUCUUUGACUAUCUUUGUUUGAUUAUUAGACAAAAAUUAUUGUAAUGCCCAACUUUUUUUUUUGUAUUUUUUUCCUUUCAUUAUAAGUUUGAUUAAUACUGUAGCAUGGAGAAAUCAAAGAAAUACAAAUGGUAAAGAAACUAUAAAAGUGAGGAUAAUCACACAAUUCGCAUUUACUAAAAUUAUUAUUAUUAUUAUUAUUAUUAUUAUUAUUAUUAUUAUUAUUACAUCCAUGUUUUGAAUGAUUUUUUAAAUUUUCGUGCAAUAAUAAAAAACUUGCCAUAUUAUUUUUAUUUAAUUAUAUUUUUCUCUCUUCCACCCACAUAUGGCAUGAAGGUAAGAAAAGCUAUUAGUGUUAAAUGUGUACGAUUAGAUAAAACAAGAACCAGCAACAACUCUGAACAUUUAAAGAUUUAUAUUUGACGCAUUAUGUGUAUAAAUGUUAUAUAUUAGAAGUGAAUCACACAAUGAUAUUUUAUAAAAAAUUAAUUUUAAAUAUAUAUUUAAAAUUAAGUGUAUUUGUUUUUUAUGAUUUUAAAAUUUUAAAAUUAAUUUUUUUGAAGUGUCAUACAUAAAUAAAUAUAGUUCUAUAUAAUGAUAAUGUAUCAAAUAUAAAUUCAAUAUCUUGUUUUUAUUAUUGACUUUUACGAACCCGAUAAAGAAAAAGAGUUUCCAUCCAAGGUCAGGUUUUCUCUUGUCUAUCAUUUUUCCAUUGAAAUAUAACUAAAUUUCCUUAGGUAUUUUAGUUUUGAGAUAAAAACUAUUGUACCCAUAAUUUGACUUAAUUGUUUGGUGCAUUAUCCUCCAUUUAAAAAACAAGAUUUGAAUAUCCGCUCCCCAAUUAAAAAAAAAAAACUACUUCUGUAAAAACAGAAUUUAUUAUAUUUUAUAUAAGGAAAAAAUUAAUAGAACAAUAAAAAAGUAUAAAUUCUUUUUUUGGUUAAAUAACUCCUAAAGUAAUUGUAGGUUGUUUAAUUUUCGUAGAUGUAUGGGCACAAUUCCAUCAGAAUUUAAAAUCUUUUAGUUUUUUUGUUUUUCUUUUGUAACCAAUAUAUAUAUAUAUAUAUAUAUUUGAAAGGAUUCAUUUGCAUUGAUAUAAAACUUUGUAGUUUUACACAUUUUUUAAUUAUUAAUUUCAAUAAAUCUAAAAAAAGAAAGACAUAAUUCAAAAAAAGAAAAAUGAUUUAAUCUCAUCAUUAGAUUUAUUAAAAUCAAUAUUAGAAACUAGUGUAAAAUUAAAAAUUUUUAUACUAUAAUGAUAACUCAAAAAGAGAAAAAAUGAUUGAAUCGCAUCCCCUAAAUUUAUUAAAAUCAAUGAUUAAAAAAUUAUGAAAAUUAAAAAAUUUUAAACUAGAGUAAAUUAAUUCCUUAUAUAUAUAUAUAUAUAUGAGUAGGAAUUAAUUUAUAAUAAUGUAAUUCUUAUACUUUUUUGGAACAUUUAAAUCAAAAUUAUUAUAUUUAAAAACAUUAUUUUAAUUCAAAUGAGAGUCAAAUUUACGAAACAAUACAUGUGCAUGCGGGAUGGUUAUCAUGCACGAAUCUGCAGCUUAUUGUUUGUUUCCUGAAAUGUUUGGACACAUUUAUCGGCUAAAGUCUGUAUAAGGGAACACUCUUCAUCCAGAUUUUCACAAGUUGGUCAAAUAUUGAGUGGAUUACUCUAAAUUAGAAAUUUUCAAUGGGAUUGUCACUUUUCUUUGUUCUUCUAUUCCUUCCUAGCUUCAUCCUCUUCUUUCUCCAAAAACAUAGAAACAAAAAUGCUGCCAAGUUUCUUCAUCCCCCUGGCCCACCUGGUCUUCCCUUGAUCGGCAGCUUACUCCAGCUUAAUAGCUCAGCGGCUACUCAUAUUUAUCUUUGGGAGCUCUCUCAAAAAUAUGGUCCUUUAAUGUCCUUGCAACUUGGUCAUAGACAAACUCUAGUAAUUUCUUCGGCAAACAUGGCCAAAGAGAUCAUGAAAACCCAUGACCUCGAUUUUUGUAGCAGGCCUACUUUAUGUGGCCAGCAAAAGUUAUCUUAUAAUGGCUUAGAUUUGGUUUUUUCACCUUAUAAUUCUUAUUGGAGAGAGAUUAGGAAAAUAUGCGUCGUCCAUCUCUUUAACCCUAAUAGAGUGUUACUUCAUCGUCCCAUUCGAGAAGAUGAAGUUGCUCAAAUGAUCGAAAAGGUAUCCAAAGCAUCAGUCGGUUCGAAACCAAUCAAUUUGAGUGAGGCAUUGAUGUGUCUUACGAGUAGAAUAAUUUAUAGAGUAAGUUUCGGCAAGAGAUAUGAAGAAGGAACUGAAAGAUGUAGAUUCGAUGCGUUGCUUAAGGAAACUCAGGCCAUGCUUGGGAGCUUCUUCUUUUCUGAUUAUAUCCCUUUCAUGGGUUGGGUCGAUAGACUCUCCGGUUUCCUUGGUCGUCUAGAAAAAAAUUUCAAAGACUUUGAUACCUUUUAUCAAGAACUCAUUGAUGAACAUCUUGAUCCAAAUCGGCCAAAACCCAAGCAAAAGGAUUUUCUUGAUGUUUUACUACAAAUAUGGAAGGAUCGUGUGUUUCAAGUUGAUCUCACUUUCGAUCACAUAAAAGCUGUGCUGAUGGUAAUCGAUCUUCACUCAAAACUUAUUUUAGUUAUUUUUUAGUAAAUUUUAUUCAUAUCACGAUUUCUUAAAAAAUGUUUCGUGUUCAUCAUUAACCUAAAAAUCUCCCUUGACAUUUUAAAAUUGUUUCAAAUUUCAUUUUUUUUGGCAGUCAAAUGUUAGAAGCUUGAUGCAAUUAGGCACUUCUGUUCCAUGUGAAUGUUCAAAUGAUCAAUCAAUCCACAAUUUAAAUACACAUGGCACUAAUUGUCUGUUAAAUAUUGUCAAGAAUUUAAUGUCACAUUAAUUGAUGGAGGAGGAAGCAUGUAUUUGGAAUAAUUUAAAAGAUCACGGAUGGAAAUUCGAAAUUUAAUUAAGUUGAUUUACAUAAUUAUUUAUUACAAAUUUGAGAUUUAAAUUUCAGUAUAUAAUUUAACCUUUUUUCUCAUUUUCAAACUACAGCCCUCUUUAAAAAAAAAGAAAAAGAAAAACAGAAUUAGUAAUGAUAAACAUGAAAGUUUUAGUUUAAGGCUGAAAUGAAACAAUAUAUUUAAAAAGUCUCAAAUAAAAUGUACUCAUUUAUUCAGGGUUAUCAUUAAUUUUCUAACUUCCUAGUAGGAGUACGAUUGUUACCCAUUUUGUUUUCUUUUUAUGUAGAAUGUAUUUGUUGGUGGGACCGACACCAGUGCUGCAACCGUGAUUUGGGCAAUGACCUUCCUAAUGAAGAAUCCUAGGUCUAUGAAAAAAGUUCAAGAGGAAAUCAGAAAUCUCAAUGGAAACAAAGGUUUCGUAGAUGAAGAUGAUAUUCAAGGUUUGCCAUAUCUUAAAGCUGUGAUAAAAGAAACAUUCAGAUUGCAACCAACGGCUCCAUUAUUAGUGCCACGAGAAACAAUUGGGAAGUGCAAUAUAGCCGGGUAUGAAAUACCUGCCAAAACACUAGUUUUCGUGAAUGCAUGGGCAGUAGGAAGAGAUCCUGAAGCUUGGGAAAACCCUGGAGAGUUCUAUCCUGAGAGAUUCAUUGGCAGCUCCAUCGACUUCAAGGGACAUGACUUUGGGCUCAUACCAUUUGGUGCUGGAAGAAGGAGCUGUCCUGGAAUACAUAUGGGAGUUGCAACUGUAGAGCUUGCCCUUGCCAAUCUGCUUUGCAAAUUUGAUUGGGAAAUGCCGGUUGGGACGGACAAGGAUGACUUAGACUUUGAUGUGAUACCUGGUCUUGCUAUGCACAAAAAAAAUGCUCUUUUCCUUGUAGCUAGGAAGUUUAAUGUUUGAUUCGAUGCAUGUAAGGUUAAAUUAGUUUGCUACUUGCUAUGGUUUGGAGUGUUUCAAUUACAUUUUGUGUUUUGAGUGUAUUUUAUGAUAAAAUCAAUGUCCACAUGUGUUGGUUAUGAAGAGUUAUGGUCUCAUAGACUUGAUUUUGUGGAAGUUAUUACAGAAUUUUGAAGUAGUUAAACCACAACCAAAAAAAUACAAAUUGAGAUUAGAUUUAUUAAUAAAAACCAAAUUUAACCAAUUGAUAUAUUUAAAACAAAAUUCUAUCUAUUUAUUAGGAGUUACAAUUUUGUGACUAUGAUUAAGUCACGUAAAAAUUCCAUUGUAACUUCCACCAAACUGAAUCAAUGGGAUAAAAACUCUUGAAUGAUAAUUUUUUUCUUACAUAAUAUAAUCUACUCUCCUAAUUUGAUUCAAAUUAAAUGAUAAUAUUCUAAAUUGUACUAAGUUUCAGGCACAAGGGCAAGUGUUUUGUUAAUAAUGAAAAUUUUCAAGCAUAUGAUUACUUUAUAUAUAUAUAUAUAAUAAGAUAUAGAAGUUGUCUGAUAAAAUAUGCUAACGUAGAUGCUUAUGUCAAUAAUUUAUUUUCAUGAUACAUAAGAUAACUAAAAUUAUGUAAUUUAUGAAAUUUUAUAAAUACCUAAUUUUAUUUAAUAAUUUGUGAGCGUGUUUAAAAGUUCAAUUGAAUUUAUCUAGGUUCUAAUUGCAUCAGAUUAUUUAUAUAGAUGUUUAGAUUUAAAAGAUCCGUAAUUUAAUUUAUUUGAGCUUGAAAACCCGAAACCCAAUGUAUAACCCAACAUUCGAGGACCCAAGUUUUUAUAUUAAUUAAGUUUUAUUCAUUUAAUUUUAAAAAGUAAAUAAAAAGGAGGAAAAUUGAAAUAAAAAAUUGGUGGCAGUGAUGUGAUGCUGCCGUGAAUGGCACCAUCCGAAGAGAGCGGCUGGCUGUCGAUUUCAUGCUGCCAGCCUCCCUGCAGCUUCACUCUUCCCUCCCGUGAUCACCUUGUUCAGGGUCAUGGUGGCUAAUCCACCAUCCUAAGCAACCAAAUUAGAGCUUAACAGGAAAAUCAAAAUUUUUAAUUAAAGUGGAAGUUUGAAAACCAAGAACGCAGAAGAUAGGAUAGCAAAAAUUAUGUAAUUUAUGAAAUUCAAAUAAAAGAUCAAAUAUUUAAAUUUGAAAUUUUAAAAUUUUUAAAAUUAUGAAACUUACCAAAGACAUAGUGGAAUAAGAGACAAUCUUUUUAAAUUAUUACUAUAAUUUUUUCCGUUAAAUUUAAUUUGUUUUUUAAUAUUUUAUAUUCAAAAUUAUAUGCAUUUUUUUUAUCAAAAUUAUAUCCAAUUAAAUAUAUAAUAAUAAGAUAUAUUUCUCUUAUUAUGAAAUUUUAAAAUUUUUAAAAUUAUGAAACUUACCAAAGACAUAGUGGAAUAAGAGACAAAUCUUUUUAAAUUAUUACUAUAAUUUUUUCCAUUAAAUUUAAUUUGUUUUUUAAUAUUUUAUAUUCAAAAUUAUAUGCAUUUUUUUAUCAAAAUUAUAUCCAAUUAAAUAUAUAAUAAGAUAUAUUUCCUAGCAAAAAUCUUUUUAAAAAAUUAAUUACAUUAAUUACAUGAAUCUUAAUUAUAUAUUUGAAUAUUUAUGGCUUAUGGAAGAGAGGUUUGUACUUAUUUGUGUUUGUGUAUUAUCACUUUGUGAUUUGAUUGAUAGAUUAUAUGCAUUCACUUUGAUACAAAUGAUAAAAUCCAAUCUUGGGGUAUGAGUUAGAAAUUGAUUGAGUCCAUCUGUUUUAUGCUGCAUCUACCAACUAUGGUUGUCUUGAGAGGUCAUUUGAUCUAUUAGGCUAUAGUUGUGGUAGUAAAAAGCUGAAAUUGCUUCGUGUCCUGAAACUGAACUUCACUUCUAUCAUCCAGACUAGUAUAACUAACUGCCCAUCAUCUUUCUAAGGGGUAAAAAUUCCAGACACUUGUUUUUUAUUUUUAUUAAGUUGUUCUUAUGAUUUAUUUUACAGGCAAUGUUUGGAAUCCUACGAAGCAUAGACACGGACAUGUUUACGAUGUAAUAUGUAUAUGGUGACAUCAUGACAAUUUGUAAAAAUUAAGGAUGCGAAUAUGGCAAGAUAGAUAAUAAAAAAGAGUAUUUUUUAUAUAUUUAAUCAUAUAUUAAAAAUAUAUAAUAGAUAUCAGGUUGAUUUUCAUCUUUUUCCUUUUUUUUCAUCGCAUCCGAUCAAGUUCGAUAUGUAAUGUAUUCUGACAUGGCCCGCUGGUACGUAUGUCGAAAGCAUUAAAGUGUUACAAAUGUAACACAAAUAUGCAAGAGGUUCAAACGUAUCCUUACUUCAUAAUUGAAAUCUAACCCAUCCAUGACAAAGUUUUACCAUGUAUAUUUAGAAGUUUGAGUGCUUCCCGUUUUUCCUGCCAAUUUAUUUUAUGUUCUGUUAAUAGAAGUUAUAAGUUUCGGUUUACAGGCAUUCGGUUUAUAAAAAUGAUAUGUUUCAGUUCACAGGCAUUUGGAUAGGUUACAUUAUUUGUGGAGACAACAUAACUUUCCAGUAUUUAAAUAUUUAUGGUUUCUUUUUGUUUCAAGUUCUGGUAACCCAGUUCUUGUACUGAAACAGAAUGUGAGCAGGGAAAAUAAAGAGAGAAUGAAAAUUACUAACAGAAAACAAAAGUUCUGACGCAAUGGAAAAAUUCUAAGCUUGUAAGGGAUGGUUUUCCUCCAUUAUUGAGCAUGAUACAUGCUAGAAUUGUGAUCCACUGUAGCCAGUUGACAAAUACUGAUAUCCCGACUUAAGAUGUGCAGUUGUUUGAACAUAACAAUAAUUAUGAGUCGCAUAAAAAAAUCAAGCUACAAAAAUUGCCUAAAAUAAAGCUGUGAUGUUUUUUGCAUUCAUUUUGAAGGAAGAACAACGCAGGUUUUGCAUAAUUUAUGAGACAAUAUUUGGAGUAGCAUGCUGAUUCAGUUUAGACUCCUUAAAGAAACACAGGCCUUUUUCUCAGGCUCGAUUCACAUGAAGAAGUUGAUCUGAAUUCUGCGGAAUAAAUUGAGCAUAGUUAUUUAUAAGCUUCUGCAGAAUAAAUGGAUGCUUGAGUUUGUGUUCUUUUAUGUCAAGACAUAGGACAUCCCCCUGAUUUGAUGAUUGAAAUGAGCUCCUCAAACCAAUACUUGUGCUUAGCAGCUCGAACACAUUGUCUCGAUCAACGUAGAUGUUUCUUCAUGCCGACCCAGAAUGCUUAUAAGGAUCUAAGAAGCAUAUAAAAAUGUUUAGUGCCUACUAUAAAUAGUUAAAAAUUCAUACAUAAAGGCAAACGGUUCUCAAAGCAAGCAUAAAAGAAAACCACAUGAAGCUCUGUCGCUUUACAUUGUUUAUCAUAAAACCUCAUGUUCGUCAAAAGCUCAAUCCAGGCAAAGAUUUUCAUUUGUGGCUCCAACAAGCUGAAAGAAACUAUCAUCGGAUAAAACAAAGACUUUUGAUCAAUGUUUUAUGGAUCGGAUAUGUUAUGGCAUCAAUAUGAAGAAUUGUGCUAGAGUGGAAUGAACUUCUAAACAUUAUUGCACAACAGAAUAAUAUUACAACGAAUUUUAACACUGUUACAUUUCGAAUAUCAAUUUUGCAUUUAUAGAAGGCCCUCGCUCAGCCAAUUUUACCUGCUUGAUGCAGUUCUUACCCUAUCUUAUCAUUUAUGCUUGCACCACUGACACGGACAAAGAUUUCUGCUGUAGGUAAGGAGCUGCUGCCCUAAGAACUUCGAAACCACCAAUGAAUUGAAUUGAAGUUAUUUCGUCCUGUCAGACAAGUUCCACAACAUCAGAUUUUUGUUUUGAAGCAUUUGGGAUAAAAAUGGUAGUACCAAAAAGGGGAGAAAAAAAAGGAAAGGAAUCCUAACAAGGCUGGAAAUUUUCAUUAUGCUAAGUAUUAUGAUUUCUUAUAAUAUAUGGUUUCUGAUCAUAAACAAGGAACCUAUAUACUCAAAGAGUAUGAUAUAUGGGUUAUGAAUGGUGGAACACGAUUCACGGAUUUGGAAUGUUCAAGGCACUUAUUGCUGGUUCUGGAAGAGCACCUUAUGCAGUUUAAAAGACAAAAUUAUGGUAAAUUAAACAUAAAAUAUAAAAGAUUUUCCUUCACUAUAAAAGAAGAACCUUUCAAAAUGAUUUCAGAACCCUGGAAAUAACUAAUUUUUUUGGCAGUCUGUGUAUAGUUGUAACAUUACCACUUUCAUAGGAAACAAUGUUUCCCUUGAGGGAAUUUUGGCGCCACUGACACUGUCCUCACUCCCAAGUCUGGCAAUAAAUCUUUAAUAUCUCAUCAUUUAAAAGAAAUUGAGUUCUCAAUGGGUUUGAGGCAGAGAUUUUGGGACUGACUCAUUCAGGCUACCAUAUGGUCAAUUUGACAGCAAUGAAGGCAAUGCAUGCUUCAGCUAAGUAAACAGCAUUCUUCUUUUUCAGGUCUUUCCAUCUGCUUUUGCAAACCACUUUGUGUGCUCCUAUGAAGGCACCACUCACUAGCCUCUGAAACUAUUCUUGAAUGAUUCUGCAAAAAGAAAAAAAAAAUCAGAAGUCAAUGAAACAAAAUGAUUAAUAGAUAUAAACAUUUCACACAUCUGUUCUGUUCUGUUCUUGAAAUUGUCCUAUAGGGAAUUUUUACCAGAAGACUGAAAGAAAUACGUUUCAUAGACUACAAAAAAGAAUUUUCUAAAAUUUUCUAACUUUUAGUAAACAAUCCAAUGCCAUAGUCUUUUCUGUGACCAAACAUAGGUAUGGCAGAAAGGAAGUACACGUAAAGAACAGCCAAAGACAUGAGGAUAUCAUGAAUGAGUCAUUAACACAAGAAAAAAAAAUAUAGAAAUCAGCUGAUAAGACCUACUCAUUCUGAAACUAUUCUUAAAUUUUCUUUUAAAAUGGUAGCAAAACAUUGAAUCUAUGUAUCAAACCUGGAGAGAACCAUCUGCAAGUUCCAAUAACUUCUAAAUUAAACCAUUAUACUCCAUGAUGGAAGGAAGAACUUCUUUCUCAAUUCUGCAAAUAUAGAUUACACUACAAUCAAAAGUUUUGCAUAAAAGAGAUUCACUCGUUUCUAACAAAUGAGCUUCAAAAAUACCUGUCCCCAAUUUAAUAACCAGGAUUUUAUCAAUAGUUAAACUUAAAAGGUUAAAGUCUGAAUUUGAUUCCUUUACUACCUCAAUCCUAUCGGUUUAGUCUAACUUCAAUUUUAAUGAAUUUAGUCCAUGUAGUUUUGUUAAACAUAGAUUUUUUUAUAUAUAUUUCAUUUCAUUCUAAAACAAAAAGUUGUGUAAUGGAUUGAACUAAUGAAUAUUUUAUUAUGAAAUAAAAAAAUAAUAAUAAUCAAGAAUAUAAAUCACUUGAGCACUUGAUUUAAUAGUAUGUUAAUGUUCUUCAAAUAAGUAGCAUAUAACCGCAAAGUUGACAUAUACCUGAUUUCUGGGCGUUCCUUCCGGUAACAAAUUAGCAAUUAGAAUGCAAGGAAUGUGGGCUAUUUGGGGCCACUCUUGUCCUUCAUCCUCCUUGCAUCGUUCUCUUAGCAGUGGACAGUCAACAAUAUCUAGUUGCAAAAGUGAGUCAAACAUCUCCUUUUCCGGAAGGAAUUUUAUCCCGGGGCAGCUUCGGAUUUCCAAUGAUUCAAGAAAUUUGAGAUUUUGAAAGCCUUUGGAGGAUAGAGUUUCCAGGUUUGGAAAACCGAAGAUGGUGAGGGAGGUGAGAGUGCGGGGCAGAAGCAUUUCCUCACAUGGGAAAGACACCACAUCUAGAGAAGCACCGUUGAUGGACAAAUGUUUAAGGCAGGUGAGUUUGUGCAAACCGCACUCGAUCACUGACUUGCAAAUAUUGGGUUGCCACAUUGUAACUGAAGUGAGAUUGGCAGGGAACCCCUCUUCCGGAAAUGAUGUCACACUUGGACAAUCAAAUAUGAACAAUUCUCGCAUAGAGACGAUGUUGUGGAUGCAGUUAGGUAAGGCAUGGAGUUUUUCACACCGAGAAAGGCUAAGAUAUCUGAGCUUGUUUGAUUCACGAGGCAAAGAUCUCAAAUUAUCACAACUGCAGAUAAUUAUCGAUUCAAGGGAACAGUUCUCUUCAAUUUCUUGAGCUAUGGACUCUAGUGCUCUGCAUCUCCUUAUAUCGAGGUAUUUAAGCCCCACAGGUAACUUGCCAUUGGAUGACAAGGAUGUCAACUUUUCACAACCAUAAAUGUCAACAUGUUGAAGCCUAAUAGGUAACUCGGCCCUUGAGGAUAAAGAUAUCAGAGACUUACAAUUUUCAAUCACCAAGUGCUUUAGAAGAGGCGUGCUGUUGAUGUUGUUAUUUACUCCAUCCAGCAAGUACUGCAAAUUCUCACACUCCUUAAUGGUUAAACGUCUUACGUUUGGAGGCAAGUUUCCAUUUGAAAUUGAAAUCAAUCUUGGGCAUCCUUCAAUUCGUAGCACCGUAAGGGAUCUGUAGCUGUGUAGGCUUUCUGCUAGCCUUUCUAGCCUUUCACAACAGUGUAUGCUCAAAUGUUCAAUAUGGCAAGGGAUUCCUAACUGCAUAUACUCUUCCUUUUCGUCCUCUGCCCCUAUGGAAACAAGUCUUGAGCAAUUAUGAAUUUCCAAAAAGCGAAUAGGCCUCAAAUGUGUUGAGGGUCCUUCCUGGUUCUGCCAUGAAGAAAUUAGCUCCUCACAUCCACGUAUAUAAAGACGUUCAGCUUUUGUCAACCCUAACAUCAUCCCCUCCAUUGGGGAAGUGAAUUUUGAAAUGUCUGAAAGAGAGACUCUUUCAAUGAAUGAGCCAGAAUUUGCACAACUUGUAGACGCCACCUCUUGGCACCCAUUAAUUUCCAAGUCAGACAACUUUGGAAGGCUUGAGAGUGAAACUACCAACUGCUCACAUUCUUGAAUCACAAGUUCCUCCAAUGAAGGAAGACAACCAGGUAGACUUCUCAGUUGUUGACACAAAUUAAUCUUUAGCUUCUUCAAGGAAGGAAGACGAUUAGGUAAACUUCCUAACAACUUGGGGCAAUUUGAAAUGAUGAGCUCAUGAAGGUGUUGGAAACUCCUUACAUUUUCAUCAACUUCACAGGGAUCCCAUUCCUCCGAUUCUGGCAGGUCCUGAAAACGUAAUCUCUCUAGUGACGGAAAUGCAUUAAUCGACAGAUCCUUUCCAAAAAAAUUAGCACCCACAUUUUUUACCUUACUCAUCCUCUGGAUAAGAAGUGAUUUUAGCGACGGUAAUCUUCCAACAGCUGGUAAUAAUGUGCAAUUUGGACAGUAACACAGAUCCAGAAUCGAUAGCUUUUCAAAUGAAGGAUCUCCGAACCAAUUUGGGAAUGUUUCACCUCCAUAACAUUCGAUGGUAAGCCUUUCAAGCAUUUUUGGAGGUUGGAGUGAAUCCAACACGUCCUUGUGAAUUUCUUCGCCGGUGAAAUUAUAACUCCACUCCAAAGCUAAAUCACGAAGGUUCGACUUAUAACAUAACCCAGCCACCCAUGCAUCUUGAGCUUUGACAACAUUCUGCAAUUCUGAAAUAACAAGUCCACCCUUAAGAUUAGACAAAUUCUCCAUCUCCCUUAUCUGACGGCCAUUGUCUUGACUGACAACAAAAUUUGUCAAUGUUUGGAGAUUGGUUAGUUCACCGAUUCCCAUUGGCAUCAUUUUUAUUGAAUCUGAACCUCUAAUGUCAAGAUGCCUUAGGUUAAUUAAAAAUCUCAUUUCAGAAGGAAACUCUUCAAGACGAGAACACCCCCGCAACAGCAGGGUCUCUAAAUUGUAAAGCUUGCACAUUGAAUUCGGCAGAGUUUUGAUUUGAGUGUAAGAAAAAUUUAGAUAACGUAGAUGCACCAAAUCUCCAAUAAUAUUGGGAAACUCCGUCAGGUAGCACCCUUGUAAAGAAAACACCCUUAAGUAUUUAAAUUCUGGCAACAACUCACUGAGAACUUGAUUAGAGAUAUACCUCCACCCUUCGGGCAUCUUCAACGGUAGGAAGGUUCUUAAACCCUUCUUUCCGUAAAAGACUUGGAACUUUUUAAUUCUGUCUUUCCUACCGCCAAUGUAAGAUGAAUGGCGAGCAUGACUGGAAACGUUCAAUGCCUUGUCAUCCUCCACUCUGAAGCAUAUAUCUUUGGCAACUGAUUGAGCCAAAUCAUUAAUCAGAUCAUGCAUCAUAUAUCGAGACUCAUCCUUGUUGGAUAUUUCAAAAAAUGACCUUUGUACAAGUUCUUGAAAGUACUCAUGACCCAAAUCUUCAUUUUGCUUUGUAGCUUCCACUCGCAGAAAGCCUUCUGCCAUCCAUAACAAGACUAUUUCUUCCUCGGUAAAUUCAUAGUCUUUGGGGAGUAUGGCACAGUAAGCAAAACAUCGCUUUAGAUCUGCAGGAAGAUGAUGAGAGCUUAAUCGUAAAGCUGGAAAUAUGUUACUCCUCUCUUCUGGUAAAUUCCAAAUCUCACUUUUUAGUAUCUCUUCCCAUUUACCAAUGUCCACCUUAUUGCGCAAAAGGCCUCCAAUGGUCUUAGCUGCCAAGGGCAAACCCUUGCACCUUUUCGCAAUCUGUACAACAAAUUCUCCUAAGUUUGGAUGCCCACUAAAAUCUUUUGCUCCUAAUGCAUGCUGAGUUAAUAUAGAAAUGCAAUCAUCAUCUGACAACGUUGGCAGCUUAUAAUCUGGGAUAGUACCCACCAUUGAUGAAACAGUUUUAUCACGUGUUGUCACAACAGUCGUAGUUCCUACGCCAAAAGGGGAUAUUAGACGACUCCAAUCAUCAUAGUUUUGAUGCCAAAAAUCUUCCAAAAUCAGAGGUAGUUUUUUCUCCACCAGCUUCUUCUUCAAUUCUGUUUGAAGCUUAUUCAAAUAAUCUCCAGCAUUAGAAGAUUCAGAACUAACAGAUCGCAAAAUUGAUUUCGUUAUCUCCUCCAUCUUAAAGUCUUCAGAAACACAGACCCAUGCUUUAAGAUCAAAACGAUUAUCUACACGACUAUCAUUGUAGACAAGCUGAGCAAGCGUUGUUUUGCCAAUCCCUCCCAUGCCAACGAUGGGAAUCACAGAAGCUCCAAAAAUAUUGCUAUUAUCACUCCCAAAAUCAAUUCAAGGAUUGCUUCCUAGUCUUUUUCCGACCGCAGAUUUGAGUUUCAUUCACCAAGCAAGUGGUUGAUCGCCAUUCCGAUGCUCUUUUUGGCCUCCCACCACCACUUUUAGUCAAAGCCAAGACACUUUUUUGUGCUUCUAAAUUUUGAAAUCUAGCAGUGAUUUCUUUUAUCUUGGACAUCAUUUCCUUAUUAAAUGAUAAAUGACUGCUGAACCUGGUAACGCAAGUAUGAACGAGCUUUUGUACCUUACUGGCGCUGUGAUCUUGAUGUUCCCUCUUUAACUUGAGUCGCAAAGCUUCUGUAGCAAACUCAUCCAAUAUGUCAUCCGCAUCGUAUGCCAAGUCUUGAAGCUGGACCAACCAACUUUUCACAUGCCGGUCCUUCUCUGCAUCAUCUAGCACUGCAUGAAUAUUGCGCAAAGUCUUUUCCAACUUCUUGAGUUCCUCGCAAACUUCCUUCUCAGUUACAAAGUUGAGAAACUCAGAAGAGGCCAACUUACUAAACAACCCUUCAAAGAAAACAGAUAAAGCAGCUUCAACGACGGACAUGGCUCUUGACCUGCAAAAACACAGAGAUUAUGUGUAAAAACUUGAAACAGAUGAGGGAAAAAAAAGGUGGUGCAUCUAAAAAGAAAGAGAUGCUCAAUCAGUAAUUUAUGAAGGGCAAUGGGUAGUAGGCUUUACUCUACACCAUUCUUAUCAGAUGAACUAAUUUUACUAUCUAACCAUACAUAACUUCUUUCAAAGGCCUUAUCUUUAUUAACCAAUCCCACAAUUAACCUUUCAAGCAAACCUUUGCCUUCAAACAAUUCCACUUACUCUCGUCUCUUUAUCUAUUAUCCAACCAAUGAGUAACUAAAGAUGACCAAGAAACAAUCAAGAAAAAUUUUCAUUCUAAUUCCUGAUCUUUUGCCUUUACUAGUAAAACAUCAGUACAUUACCCUAUGCCUUUGAAAAUAACUCUAAAUCCAUCAGUAGAGAGUUGUGAUCCAAAUAAUAAAUGCAAUUAUCAUAUGAGAUACAACCAAUUGAAAGAAAGGAUUUAAGCACAUAUCAAUAGUUGCCCCUUCACUCAAAGAACUUAUAGAACAAUGGAAAUAUGCUUUGAUAUAGAUUAAAUUUCCAUUAUGAAAUUUGAGGAUGUGGAUUGUCAUCUCAAACAUUCAAUUUGUAGAAACAUUACAUAUUUUUUAAAGUUUGCAUUUUAAUGUUAUAGGCAAUAAAUCAUUAGUUCUCUUAAUUUUGUUUGUAAUUGUUCAAAUAUAAAUUCCCGCAUAACUUAUUUCCCAAAUGAAUUCUAAGCCUAAAGCCUCCAAAUUUUCAUUCAACACACCUCAAGCAAUUCUCUUGUCCCUCUUUGACAAACUCAAUUCUAAACCUUCUCCAAAAUUUUUCUUUAAAUCUAGAGGAAAUCUCAUCAUCUCUCCGAUUUCGAACGUCCAAAACACCUCCCUUAUCCAUCCAUAACCACCGAAGUAGCCUAAAACCUCACUUAAAGCUUCCAACUUAUUACAAACCUCUAUCUAACUUUUCACGAAAACCCUGAAGAACCUAAAUCCACAUCACUUGCCACAUCACUAGGCAUAUCAUCCAAACCACGUCAUCUCAACCAUAUCAUCUUUCCAAAUCCAACCAAAACUCUAUCUAAAAGGUCAAAGUCCAACCUGUUGGACUAAAAGCCUUCAAUCCAAUCACACCAGCGAAAGCGAAAUCAAACAAUAAAUCAAACACAUAAGAGACAACAAUUUAACGUGGUUCGAUUCAACUGACCUACAUCCACGGAUGAGAAACAAGAUCAACUAGUUGUAGAGAAUUACAAACAUACAUCAUAUCAUCAACCUCACUCAACAAUCAAUACUCAAUAAGACACUCUCAAUCUCCUCUAGUCCUAUGGAGUAUUCUCAACCCAAAUAAACACAAACCCAAACCCUUGUGCACCCUUUCAACAUAACCAAACACAUACCCAUAUGCUCCCAUACAUCAUACCUAUGUGGACCCUCUCAAUCUCCUCUAGUCCACUAAACACAAACCCAAAUCCUUGUCCACCCUUUCAACAUAACCAAACACAUACCCAUAUGCUCCCGUACAUUAUACCUAUGUGGACCCUCUCAAUCUCCUCUAGUCCACUCACAAACAAACAUACACACCCAUAAGACGUAGAGCCCCAAUACUUCUAUGGGGUGUCUAUCCCACAAAAUCCUACAACUCUCUUACAUCUUUUUUCUCAUACCUAACCCUGUAGAGACUUCGUAUAUUUAUAACCAUACAAACUUGCCCAUUAAGAAUCCCUCUCCUCUUAGAAUUCUUUUUCUGUAAGUCAAACUUGCCUAUUAAGAAUCCCUUUCCUUUUAGAAUUCUUCUCUUGCAAGUUAAACUUACCUAUUAAGAAUCCUCUUUCUCUUGGAAUUCUUCAUUUGCAAGUCUUCUUGUCCAUCAAGCAAUAUCUGACAAAUCUCAAAUAAAUUUUUAACAAAUCUCAAACAAAUCUCUUACGGGAUUUGAGUCAAUAUUCUCAACAAUCUCCACCUUGACUCAAAUUCCAUCAAUCAUCUGUCUUUAUGCUAGACAUGCUUGGCUCCACCUGCAAUGGAACUCUUACAAUCAUCUUCUCUUCUCUUGUGUCUUCACGCUUCAUACAAACCAAUCCUCAAUCUUCAAAACUUGAACUUGAACUCUUUUCCUGAAUCGAGCUUCUCUGGACUUGCUUCUUCCCAUGUCUCAAAUCUCUUAUAGGAUUUGAGUCAAUAUUCCCAACACAACCAAAACUCUGUCCAAAAAGUCCAAUCAAAUCAAAACUCUACUCAAAGAGUUUAAGUCCAACCAAAACUUAACCUUAAAAGUUAUUGUUUCACCAAAGUGCUCUAAAAGAGUCCCAACACCCAAAUUUUGUUUGAAGAGUUCUUACCAAUCUAAAAUUCUUUCAAAGGGCUUGAUCUAGCUAAAGCUUGGUCUUAACCCGAAAAGUUCUAAUCAAGAUAAAACACAGCUACAUUAAACCCAACUCACAAGCUCAGACCUAUAGUUGUCUUAUUGGAUCUUGUAUUAAGACAAUCUACUCAGGUAUAAUUCCUAAAAUCUUUAGGCAUCUUAGACUUCUCAUUAAAUUAUGUGCAAGUGACAUAUCCUCCAUGAUCAAAUAUCAUGUAGUCUUAGGAAUGCAUAAUGCAUACCAUUUAGUUAUAAUUAGGAUUUUUUUUUUUUGGGUUAUAGACGGUGAAAAUUUUUACAAUGUAAACUCAUGUCUAGCAUGUGAUGUAAAAUCUUGCCAUAUAGAUUAGGCAUAAAACGGAAUGUUCUAAAUAUGCCCUCGAGGCAUAUUCUUGUACUAUCAUCUAAGUAUGUCAUUUAUACUAGAUCACAUUACAUGUUUCUUUAGUUAGUCUUUAUUGUCUUUGUAAUAUAAUGGGAUGAACUACUUAAUUUAAUACAAUUGUUCGAUAACACAUUAUUUGCAUUAUUUAAUGAUUGAUAAAGAACUCAAGGUUAUCAACCCACAGGUAUUUUUCUAGAUGCAUGCAUUAGAUGUAUGCAUGACUGCACGUAACAUAUAAUUUCUUUAUACAAAUUGCUUGUCAUCAAGAAUAAAAAGGAAAGGCAUGCUCUUUAAUCCAUAAGCAAGUCAGGAUGUUGGUUUGAAAUGGAUAAGUAAAUGCUAGGUUUAUCCCUAAUAAGGUUUAGAGCUUUAAUUCUUCUAAUAUCUUGUUUACUAUUUUCGAACUAAGCUUUUUGAUAAAUACGAUUGUGAUAUUGAAAUCAGUAUUGAUUCCUGAAAUAUAAAUAAAUCGAUUAAUGACUCAUUAUCAAUCUUAGUUUUCAACACUAAGAAGAGUACUAGAGGUGAAACCCACAUCACUCACACCUUUGUUUAAAGGAGCAUUAAAAAAUAAAAUAAAAUAAAUAAAAUUUUAAAGUUCUUCAGACAAACCAAACCUCAAUGUAAUAAUUGUUUAUAUGUCUUCACACAAUUUCUAUUUCACAAAAAAUAUACGAUGAUAGACAAUUGUAAACACACCAUUUAGUCCAAGGAUGAAAUUUUAAGAAAUUCAAAAGUGUGCAAUUUUCUAAAAAAUUUCUAAAUGAGAAUUUUUCUAAAUUUCAUCGAAGUGUUGGAGAAUUUAGAAAAUUAUUUCAAUAUUACGAAUUUUCAUUUAUUUCUAAAAAUAAAAAUGAAAAAAAUUAAAUUGAUAGAAAAUUAAUUGUUAAAAUAAAAAAGGGAUAAAAGAGUUGAGAAUGUAAUUGAUAAUUGUAUAUGCAUUUUAUCACAUAAUGCUUAAUAAAUUUUGAAAUAAGUGGGGAAUUUGACUAAUGAAACUUUUAAGAAAUUUGUGAGCGUAAAAUUUUCUUAAAAUUUUCUAUGUGAGUAAACAAUUUAAAAAAUUAGAAUGUCAAAGAUUUUCAUUUUAUUUCCAAAAUAACAGAAUUAAAGGAAAAUAUUAAAAUUAAUUUAAAAUGUUUUAAAAAUAAAAAUGAAUUAUUUUUAUAAAAUAUUUAAUUAAUCUAAUGAGGAAACCUCUUGAAAAAAACAGAAUUAUUUUCUUGAAAACUAUUGAAGGGAAAAAAUUAUUUAGAGGUUCAAUGAAAAUGUUGAAGAAAAUUUAAGAAAAUUUUUAUAUUUAAAUAAUAAAAAAAGCAAUAAAAAUAUUAAAAAUAGAGAUGAAUUUAAUUAAGGCUGUUAAAGAUAAUAUAAUAUUAAUUAAUAUCAUCCUUUGAAUGAUCACUAUGAGAAUGUUAAUACUAUCCCUAUAAACUUAAUUCUGUAAUGUAAACCAAAACCUAUUCUUUUAAGAUUUUUUAGUUAAACUUAAAGUCAUUAAAAAAAAUAGAUUUAAUUAAGUAACAAAUCACACUUAAUUAAAAAUUUCUUGAUAAUUACUUCAUUGAUAUUUAAUGGUCAAAUUCACAGAUUUGCACAUUACAGAUAUAAUCAUUAUUGGUUUAAUAAUUAUAAUACUACCUACUAAUAGAAAAGAGAAUUUCUUAAUACAAGAGAUGGGAAAAGUGAUUGUUUUGAUCACUAAUGAUUUUGUAACAAGAAGAUUUGCAUCUCAUGAAUCACAUUGGGGUCAAUAGUUAUCAUUUCUCCAUUUCAUGGGUAAAAAUUCUAUCCAAUGAGUUUUAUUUUUUUCAAAAUAAAUGUGUUUGAUAUGAUUCUCAUGCUGAUUUUUUACUCUCAAAAUUAUUUUAUCCAAAGUAAAGAGAUUUGGAAGUGUUAAUAACGUUAGCAUCAAUUUUUAUAAUAAGCUCAUAAAUACUCUUCUCCUUCAAGGUCACUCUUUGGUAGUCUAGUUCUCCAACCUUCAAAGGACAUAAAGGACAGAACUAAUCAUCAAUUCCAUGACUCAAAUACUAAUGUCAACAAAAUGAUUUUAAUUUCUUCAGUCUCACAAAUCCAACCCUUUGGUCAUUGGCUUAGUGUGAAUUCUAUAUAAAAACAUAUAGCAAACUAAAAUAAAAUUCUUCAAUUCAAAUCGAGAAGAAGCAAAAAGAAAGACAGAAAAAGAACCUAAUGAAGAGGAAAAAUAGCCUUUCAAACAAGAGAAAUUUUACCAUUAAAUCCUAAAUUUCUUGGCACACUAGUUAAGUCCGAAAACUUAGAAGAUUGUAUUCCAAUAGCUCCUCUUCUGGUAGCAAUGAUACCUGAUAUUUACUAAAAAUUUAAACGUAAUAGUCAGAGAUAAGUAUUCAAAGCAUAGAGCAAAAUAUAUAUUUAGCAAGCAUUACAAAAUAAAACAGUAACAAAAACAUGAUGAGGAGGAAAAAAUCUUCUCACACAAAGGAAAUUCUGUUGUUUAACUCCUAAAUCUCCUGCUAUAAUGAACCCUAAAACUCUUUAAAGUUAAAGUUCAAAAACUCAAAAGAUUGUGUUGCCAAUAGCUCAUCUUUGUUGCAAUAAUACCUAGUAUAAAUUAGAAAUUUAAACGUAAUGGUCAAAGACAGGUAUAUAAAAGAUGAAGCAACAUAAAAGUUUAGUAAGCUUACACAAUAAAGCAGUAACAAUAACCUAAUGAUGAGGAAAAAGGAACUUUUCACAUAAAGGAAAUUCUGCCAUUAACUCCUAAAUCUCCUGCCAUAAUGAACCCUAAAACUUUUCCAAGUUAAUUCCUAAAACUCAGAAGAUCGUAUUGCCAACAGCUCUUCUUCUUGUAAUAAUACCUAAUAUAAACUAGAAAUUGAAACAUAAUAAUCACAGAUAGGUAUUCAAAGCAUGAAGCAAAAUAUAUGUUCAACAAGUAUUACAAAAUAAAACAAUAACUAGACCUACCUUCGUUAACAAAAUGGAAGUACCAUGCAAAUGGACAACAUAGCCAAAUAUGGAUGAAAUAUAUAUUCAAAAAUAAAUUUAUAAGUAUUAAAAAACAAACAAAAUUUAUUGUUAUAAGGAAACCAAGUUUUAUUGUUGCUAAUUCAUUUGCUCUCGUGCUUCAUUGUGAGAUUUAUUGAUUUCUAAAUUUUUAUAAGUAAAUAGGUACAAGGAUUAAUAUACUAAAAUAAAGUAUAAUCGAUUUCUCUUUUUGCAUAUUGUUUUUGUUUAGAUUUUUUUUUCCCUAUAAUGGGAAACAACUUCAAUUAUGACAUAUAAUACACUUUAAAACAGGAAUACGAACAUGCAAUAAAGAAGCGAUGCUACACAAACACGAAUAAGACAAUAAAAUAAUUUUAAAAAAAGACAUGGAUAUGAAUAAUAAAAUUUUUUUAUAUAUUUUAUGUUAAAAUACUCAAUGUAUGUGUAAAUAUCAAUUUUUAAUAUUUCAUUUUUCAAUUUAAAAUUAUAUUUUAUAAUAAAUAAAAUAUUCUUAAUUAUAUAAGAAAAAAAUUAUUUUUAAAUAUAUAAAAGAUAUUAAUUAUUUCAAAAUGAUGAAAUAUCAAUAUAGCUCAAACAAUGAAAUAAUGUAUAUAAUCUUUCAGGAAAUGCGACAAGUUAUAUUACUUUCUAAUUUUAUUUUAUUUUUUUUUACUUUUUGGUUUAUAAAAAAAAGUCAAAAAUCAUGUUUGGUCUUCUAAAACAUGCCUUACCGAUUUUUGCAUUUCUUCUUUUUCUUGCUUUUUUUUUUUUUUUUUGUUAUUUUCCUGCUUUCUUUCCCUGCUCAACCGCUCUAUCAUCAUCACUGCUAUCGGUUGUUGCCCAUCGAUAUUGAAAAAUUAUUAAAAAAUUAUAGGUAAAUGCAUCUACUCUUUUUUUUCUUAUCUAACAAGAUUUUCAAAAAAAAAAAAACGGAAAGUUAAAUCUAAAAAAAAACUUGUCGAGAUGGUGCGCAACUAGAUUUUUAUUUUUUUUUAUCGUGUCCUAGCUUGGUUAGUAUGUAUUUUACUGUAUCGAUGAUAUGUUCGUGUCAAACACGAAUACAACAUUGAUACAGAAAGAGUAGCCGCAUGUCCGCGCUUUAUAGACAAACAGUGGGUGACGCCAUGAGACGUGGGACUAGAUCGCUCCCUUCUUCUUUCUCUCCUCCUCUACUCUGUCAUUACAGGUGCUGCUAUUCUUUUAGCUCACAUAUCACUUUUAAUGAGUUAGAGCAUUAGAGUCAUCUAAUCGAUGAUCAAUUUAAAUUUUUUUAUAACAAAUAUAUGAUUUCUAUUUUAAUAUUUUAUUCACUUCAACAAAAGCAAAACACCUCUUUAAAACAAUUUUAGAAAAUUUUGCGACAUUUAGAACUUUGAAAAAAUAAAACCUCUCCUCGAAGCGAAACUUUAAAUUAUGAUAUGAUAUAUAAUUUUUAAUAAGAUUUAAUUUGUUUCGUGAAAAAUAUUUUUUAUAUUUUUAAAUGUAUAUUUAAUGAAAAAUUGAUUAAUAAACGAAAAAUAAUUUAUUAAUAAAUAAAUAAUAAAUUACUUUUGAAAAUUAUCUUAUAAAUUUAAAAAAUAUAUAUUUAAAAAUAUUUAUUAAUAUAAUAUUAUUUAUAAAUAAUAUUAUAUUAAUAAAUAAUAUAAUACCAUAUCAAUAAAUAUUAUUAUAUUAAUAAAUAUUAUUAUAACAUAUUAAUAAAUAACAUAUUAUUAAUAUAAUAAUAUAAUAAAUAUUUAAAAAUAAUGUAUUAAUAUAUUAAUAAAUAAUAUAAAAAAUAAAUAGUUUUAUUUUAAAUAUUUUAUAUUAAUGUAAUAUUUUAAUAUUAAGUAUUAUUAUUAAAAUAUAAUUAUUUUUUAAUAUUAAUAAUUUUAAUAACAAAUAAUUUUUAAUAUUUUAAUAAUUAUAUUAAUAUUAAUUAAAAAUAAAAUUAAAAAACAAAAAUAUAUUUCACUAAUUUAUUCAAACAAAAAAAGUUUUUCUUUCAAUUAAAAAAUAUAAAUUAUUUUCAAAAAUUAUUUUUCAAAAAUUAUUAUUUGCAAAACAAUAGGAGCCUAAAUCGAUAAAAAAAAAACCAUAAAUAAAAGAAGUUGGUAACUAGAGAAAUUCCAACGUACCAUUGAAAGUAUCAAUUAAAUACAAAAAAAUUAAUAACUAGCAAUUAUCUUGUAAAUGGAAAGUAUCACAUGCUUUCAAGCAAGUUUUACUAUUAUACCAAGAAAAAAAUAUAUUAUUUUAAAAUAAAUUGUGAAUGAAAAGGAAAAAGCAUUCAUGAAGCCAGAAAAAGAGAGAAGAGAUUACAGUUUCAAGAGGCUUAAGAGAAUUUUUCUCACGAUCGCCAGUGAAGAUAGAUGGAUCGACAGGGAAAUGGUGAAAUAUGGAAGAACAAGUAAAGUCUCCGGCUUAUGGAGGAUUUGGGUGGAGAAGGUAGAAAAAACAAGAGCUAAGGAAAGAAAACGAUAAGGCAAAGAAAGUUAGAGGAAGUUUGUUGCUCAGAGACUUAGAUGGCCGUCUUUGGAAUUUAAUAAAAAGUUUUAAUAAAGUUUCAACAAAUUAAUUUGAAAGUGUUAUGAUAAAAAAAAUAAUAAAAUUGAAAUACAGUGAAAAAAAUUUAAUAUUGAGUUUUUGGGAUUAAUUAAUUGAUUAAUUUUAUCAAAUUGAGCACAUUUGACCUAUAUAAUAAAAUUUUCUAAUUUAAAUUUUUAUUUAACUAUUUUUAAUAAAAAGUUUUACAAAUUUUAAAUAAUUUUAUCUAAAUUUUUUUCAAAGACUCUAUCAAAUUAUCUGACUUCUUUGAUCACAAUUAUGGACAUUUAUUGCCAACUAAUGAAGAAAGUAGAAUUUCACAGUCGUACCAAACCUAUAGUCAGAAAGAGAAAGGUGGUUUAGCGCUAACCACUUAUUUAUAAUGACAUACAACUGUGAAGAUAAGAGAGAAUCAAUUAUUUAAAUAUCUGAUGUAAGCAAUGAUGUAAAAAGUUCUCUUUUAAACGAAGAUAUUAAUUCGUAAUUUAAUUUAAUUAAUUUAUAAAAUUAUUUUUAAAAAAUAAUAUUUAUAUAUUUUUUUAGUUCAAACUAUAACUUUCUUUAUACAAAAAUUACUGUUUAUAUUUUGAAUUUAUACAAUUAAUUUUUAUGGUAGAAAAAAUUUUAAAAUAAAAAAAAUUAUUUUAUUUUUAAGAUCAAAAUAAAUUGUUAAUUUAUAAAGAAAUUUACUAAAUUUCUUAAAUUUUUUGAAUUCAUUGAUUGUCUAUUAAUAAAAGAUCAUGGGAAUUUGAAUCCAAUACUUUACAUUUAAAUUUUAAAUCUUAAUCAUUUAUAUUAAUUUUAUUGACAUUUAUAGAGUUAAUUUGUAUUUACAUAUAGCUCCAGUUGCAACAAUUUCAUUAAAACAAAAAAGGAAAGUCUCUGUCAACUGAAUUAAUUUAUAAUCAAUUUUUAACAGCUUCUCUUUUUUAAUGUAUAAUGUUACUUUUUUUAAUAACUUACUUUUUUUUAAUAACAGUUUCCAUGAUCCAUCUCGGGUCACAAUUUUUAUCUAAAAUAAAAGUGAAUAAAUAAGAAUUAUAAUUAAAAAGUAAGAGGUGAGAAAAAAAUUAAAAAAAUUAAAAAUUGAUUUGAAUUUAUAGUAUUUGAUUUGGUUUGGAUAAAUUUUUUUUUUAUUUAGUUUGAAAUAAAUUUAGAUAUUAAUUAUAUUUAUUAAAUUUGGAUUAAAUUUUAAAUCAAAAUAUAAAAAUUAAAAAAAAUGAUUUAAAUUAAAUUAAAUUAAAUAUUUUUAUUAAUUUUUAUACAUGUUUUAAAUUUUUUAUAAAAUAAAAAUAAUCAUUCUAUAUAUAAAUCUAUUUAAAUAUAUUAAAAAUUAUAUUCAAAUAAUAUAUAAAAAUAAAAAAUUUAAAUUUAAAAACUAAUAAAUCAAAUUUUUUAAAAAUUAGUGAUUUAUAUUCAAAUUGAAUUUUAAAAAUUUAUAAUAUUAUAUAAUAUUUUAAAAAAUCAAAUUUAAUUCGAUCCUAUUCAAGCUGACAUUACUAUAAAAAAAGUUAUUAUGAAAAAACAAAAUCCAUGCUAUUGCUAUAUAUAAAAUUCUCUAUUUGAAAUUAAAAUGUAUGUCUGGCCGAAUUGUGAGCUACUUUAUUUAUUAUCCUCUAAGAAGUUUACUAAGUAUAAAGUGAAAAUUUUCAUAUAAUUUCGACCAAAAACAAUUUUUUUAAAGUAAUUUUUUAAUCUGUUUCCUUUAAAAAAUGUCAUGUGUUUUGUUUAGUCUCUUUAUUUUAUGAUUUUUUCUAAUAUUCCCCUAUUAUAAAGUUUGAUAUGAAAAGUACUUGUAAACUAAACUAAAGAGACUUACAUUCUAAGAAGUCUCUUUAGAAUAUCAUCUUGAAAUAUUCAAAGAUAGUAUUGCAAAAGAUCAUAUUAUUACUUUUUAAAAAACUGAUAUUUAAUAAAUUUAAAUUUUACUAUUUAAUUUUUAUAAUUUUUUUAUUUUUAUAGUGUCAUUUCUUUAAUAUAAAAUAAUCACACUAAUUGCAUAUUGCUUGGAGUGUAACAACCCCAUUCUAAUAUACUAUAUUUUAAGGGUAUACUAUAGACAAUCACUUUUGGAUUUUUUUUCGUGGUGGGUUUUAGAUAAGGUUAGUAUAAUUUAAUAAAUAAAAGUGAAAUUUCAAUCAUGGUAAAAUUUUAAGAUUAAAAGUUUAAAAUUUAAAAAAUCAAGAUUAGGGAUUUGAUUUUUGAAUGGGGGAUAAACGAAUCAGAUGAAAGGGAAUUUGAUUUUCAAAACCCUCAUUUAACCUAGUACUCGGCCUUAUAUAAAUUCCAGCAAUCACAUAGAAAGGGACACAGAGGAAAAAAGGAAAGAAAACAAGAGUGAUUCAAGUAAAAAAUUUUUUGAAAAGUUUUCAAGGAAUUUGUAGUUUAAUUGGUUUUUUUGAGAUUUUUUUUUAAUUUUCUAAGAAUUUUUUGAAAAUUUUCAAAAUUAGAUGAAUUUUCUGGUGAAAUUCAAGUUUUUCAAUGACUUUUUCUACUAAAAACUAAGUUUCUGGCGAUAAAACCUAAAAACCAACAAAAAUUUCACCUAUGUUCUUUGCGUCUAGAGAGAGACACAGAGAAAAUUGAAUGGAAGAAAGAGAAAAGGGAAGGAGCAUCUAAGAAAAAGAAAAUUUUUUGCCUUUUAUACCCGAGCAAAACGACGUCGUUUUGAGAUACCAGAAGCAUAUAGGAUUCGCACGUUGCCCUAGGUCUGACUCGACCCGUAGCGCAUCAACCCGUUUCCCGCUUCACUCAACCUCUGGCGAGCCGUUAAGCUGAGCCACACACUAAGCCGAUCUAGCCGUGUCCCUUUUUGGAGCUACAUCUCAGCUGAACCUAGCUGAGCCGUGCUAAGGUUUCAUUCAUUUAGUUUUAUUAUUUAUUUGUUUAUUAACAUUAUUAUUAGUAUUAUUUUUGUUUAUCUAUUUAUUGAUCAAAUUAAAAUAAUUUAUUUACUUAAUUAAAUAUCCUUAAAUUUUCAAUGAUUUUUAAAAAAUAAAAAACUUCAAAAACAUGUUUUUGAAGAAAAGUUGAAAGUAUUAAUUUUUCUUGAAACUAAAGAUUUCAAAAAAAUAUUUUUGAGGAAAAGUUGAAAGUAUCAAUUUUUCUUGCAAAUAAAGAUUUCAAAAAGGGAUUUUUGAGAAAAAGUUGAAAGUAUCAAUUUUUCUUGAAAAUAAAAAUUUCAAAAAAAUAAUUUUAAGGAAAAGUUAAAAGUAUCAAUUUUUCUUAAAAAUAAAAAUUUCAAAAAAAUAAUUUUAAGAAAGAGUUGAAAAUAUCAAUUUUUCUUAAAAAUAAAAUUUUCAAAAAAUAUAUUUUGCAGGGAAAGUUAGAAGUAUCAAUUUUUCUUUAAAAUAAAACUUUCAAGAAAUGUUUGUUUGAGAAAAAGUUGAAAGUCCCGAUAUUUCUUGAAAAUUUUUAGUGUAAAAUAAUUCGACGUCGAAGCCUCUGUAAGAGAAAUUAUAAUUUUCUUAUAUACUCUUGAGAUGAGAGAAUUUUCUUAAUUUUCUACCAAAAGUAUUAGAGUCAAUUAAAAACAAAUUUCGAUAAUUAAUUACUUGGUAAAGUUUUAAGGCUUAAUGGAUAACAUGAAAUCGAGCUAGUACCAUCUUUUGAUGGGUGUUGUGGGGGCGCUAUAACUUUACUCACAAGUAACCAUACUCCGAGACCUAGUUUUAGUUUCGUAGGCAUUGAAUCUACCUUUUAAAGAUACCUAAGUCAAACUUAAGAUUUCUCUUUAAAAAGGGAUAGAAUUAGUCAGAUGACCAAUUGCACCUAAAUAAAAAAGAUUAGUGGCGACUCUUCAAGUCAAUGUCUAGCAAUAGAUCCCCAGAUCUAGAUGUUAUAAUAGUUUGAUGACUCCACUGGGAAUAAGUCGAGAGUUAGGCCAAUAAAUAAAUUUGUGUUAUCCAAAAAGCCUAAUAAAACUUAAUUCUUUGUAAGGAUUUUUUUUUUCAUUCAUUUUAUUUAUUUAUGUUGCUAACUAUGUCAUUCAUAUUCAUAUGCAUAACAUGGGCUCUAUACCUGAGUUUUGUUCCUCUAGGAAAGAGUAAAGUAUCUAUGUUUUUGUGAAGUUCUAAAACCUUCGCAGUGACUAGAGAAAUACUCUCACUCAAAUUGAAUUUUUUUUGCUUUAGCCUGUAAUGGGUGAGAAUUAUGGUGCCUUACUAGUCUUUGAUAGACAAGGAUGUACGAAGCAAUUUGAGAACCUUUAGACUAUCAACUUUAAACCAUAUAUAGUAAGCAUGAGGAACCUAAUCCAUAGUUAGAGCCUUACCUUUUCUUUCCAUAGAAAAAUCCAAUAGCUAAGUUACAUUUUUGCAAUGAUUGAUUUUUCUUGAGUGGAAAUUAACUGUUGUUGUCAUGUUCUAUGAAUUGUCAUGAUAAGAUGCAUGUUAGUUAAUUUUUUCUUUUUUCAUAUAUUUUCUUUCACUUAAAGUAAAAUAACAUUGGGCUGCAUAUAUUUUUGGCAUUCAUUUCACAUAUGUUAGCUUGAAAUCGUAUUGAGAUUAUUUUUAUAGUCUUUCUUUCAUGACAUGAGCAUGUAAUAAUGCAAGCAUCUUAAUUUAUGGUAAUCAAAGGUUCAAAGAUAGCUUGACCGUUGGCAAAUUCAAGUUAACCUACACGUUACCCGUAUAAUACUCGAUCAUGAGCAAGAUAAAUGGAACAAGAACAAAAUACUCGUAUGGACAAGAUCGAGAAGGCUCAGGAAAAGAUAAAAGAAGAGUUGACCAAGAUGAUGAAAAUGUUAAAAAAAUUAGAUAAGGGUAAAAUAAUAGAAGAAACCCAUAAUUUGAAUGAAAGACAAGAUAUUGUGGAUCUUUUAUACCCUCCUAGGUUCAGUCCAAACCAAGGUCAAUCUUUUUAGGAGACAUAAGCCCCACACAUACCAUUUUUUAGGCUUGGGGCAUAUGCUUACACCUAUCCUGAAGCACCAUAUUAUAGUUAUACUAACCCCACAUUUAGGGUAAAGAUAGCAGACCCAAUUAAAGUUCCUGAUUUUGAUGAUCCUAAAGAGAAAGAAAGAUUGAAAAUGAAGACUUCUAAGGUCAUGGAAGACCUGAGCAUGCAAAAAAUGAACCUUUUAGAAUAGAGAGUGCAAGCUAUCUAAGGAAUGGAUUAUUUUGGCUCUGUAGAUGCAGCUAAACUAUGCUUAGUUCUAGAUGUGGUCUUUUCACCAAAAUUUAACGUCCUCGAAUUUGAAAAAUAUGAUGGGAUAAAAUGCUUGAUAACUCAUGUUACCAUGUAUUACCAUAAAAUGGCUACUCAUGCUCAUGAUAAGAAGCUAUUGAUGUAUGUGUUUUAAGAUAGUCUCACUAGCUCAGUCAUGAGGUUGUAUGUCUAGUUAGACUGAACUCGUAUCCAGUCCUGAAAUAAUUUGACAAAGGCAUUCAUCACCCAAUUCGACAUAUUAUAAACUUAGCUCAAGAUCAUCUAUCUCUACAAAGUAUGAAAAAAAAUCUUCUAAAACUUUCAAAGAGUAUGCACAGAGGUGAAAAGAUGUAGCUGCUCAAGUUCAAUUACCUCUCAUUGAAAAAAAAAUGAUCAUCUUAUUUGUAAUUACUCUGAAGCCUUCAUAUUAUGAGAAAAUAAUUGGAAAUGCCACUAAAAAUUUUAUCGAUAUGGUGAUCUCCAGGGAAAUGAUAGAGAAUACAAUUGAGAGUGGCAAGCUUGAGGAGGGAGAGACCUCAAAUAUAAAGAAAGGUGGGAUGUCCAAAAGAAAAUAAAGUGAAGCUCAAGCUGUGAGUUUUGAAGGACAGCAGUUCAAAAGUUAUGCCUCAUACCCACAGCCAGUAUAUCUUAUCUAUUAUCCAGCUAUUAAUCAUGUUACACCAGUAUCUUACUAUCCUAUUCCACACCCAGUCUUUCUACCAACUUUUCAAACACCUACGUAUAGGCCUAGUCCUAUUACUACACUAGAUUCAAUGCUUAAUAACCAAGUGGAUGGUUUAAAGAGAUCCCAAAAUAAUUAAGAAAGAACACAUAUUGACCCCAUCCCCAUGACUUACAUUGAGUUAUUCUCAAAAUUGGUUAAAAAUAACUUAGUAUCUCAUGUUAUUCUAGAACCAUUAAAGCUACCUUAUCCUUAAUAAUAUGAUGCUAAUGCCACAUGUGAUUACCAUAAUAGGAAUGUGGGCCAUUCUAUAGAAACUUGCCUUGCUUUCAAGCAUAAGGUGUAAAGUUUGAUCCAAAAAAGCUUGGUAAGUUUCGAUGAAUGAGAAAAAUUAGAUGGUAGUAAAAAUCCUUUACUUGAUCAUACGGAGGCAUAGUUUUGGCAAGACAAGGAUGUUGGUACUGGCUAAAAGUUGCUUGGAUUUUUUUUAGAGAAAUGCUAAGAUUUCUUUUAUGUAAUAAGAUUUCACUUUUUAUUAUUUUAAUAAAAGGCAAGUUGAUGCAUUUCAUUACAUUUUUUCUUCCAUGCAAGUCAUUAUUUUUGUUACCUUUCAUACCCAUUUUAUCCAUAUUCUCAAAUUUCAAAUGGUGAAUGCUUGGACAAUGAUAAAUAAUAAUUCAAGGAUUUAAUUUUGAAAACUCAUUCAUAUUGAUAUGUAGAUAUUAUUUAAGCAAAAAAGGUAAUUUGUGAGCAGAUAUCAUUCAUGAAAAAUAUACAUGUCUUGAAGGCAUCUAAUUAGUUUGUCUUUGUUCAAAAUAUGAUCUUCAAAAAAGGCAUUUAAGAUAAAAAAUGAUCAUCUUUUUUUACCAUUUAAAAAAUCAUUCAUUACUAUCCCUUUUGAGCCUGUUAUGAUUUUUUUUUCCUAAAGAACCCUGACCAAAGAUCACCUUUCACACUAAGAGCAAUUUUUUUAAAAGAAAAUGAGGCAAAAGAUCGUAAAGGGUCUCAAAUUGAAAGAAAGAUAAAGAAAAAAAAGAAGAAAAAGAAAAUGAAUGUCACACAUGAUUCAGGGUAAAAUAGUGAGAAUCAUUUUGUGAAGAAUAAGAUAAAUGAAAAAAAAGUAGUGAAAUGAUGAGAAAUGGGGCAAAAUACCAAAUUGCAUCAAAUGAUGAGAAAUGAUCAUUUAGUUUUAAACCCUUUAAACACAUGUUUUAAGUCUAUUUUAUCCAUUUCUUUCAUGACCCCUCACCAUGGCCUACAUUACAACCUUUAAAAGUCUAUUUGGAUCAAAUAUAAAUGCUCGAAUUGAAUGAUCAUAUGUUAGACUAAGGCAUACUUGUGAUGGAAUGACAGAAUUAUGCUUUAUUACUCUAGAGAUUGAAGUGAAAAAGAUAUCAAUGAUGGGUGAAAGAAUGAAAGAAAGGAAAAAGAAUGAAAAAAGAAAGAAAAAUGAGAAAAAAAAGAAAAUGAAAAAAAUGAAAGGAUAAGAAAAAUAAAAAAUAAAAAAUGAAAGAUGAAAAUGGAGAAAAAAGGAAAACUUGAAUUAAAAACCCAAAAUGGUGAUUUGGGUAGAAAGUCAUUUAAGCUGAAAACCAAAAUAAUAGCUCAAUAUAUAUAAAAGAUCAAUCUCAUCUGAAGAUGUUUUAAAAUUAGGGCAAAGUGUGAGGCUUCAAAAUGAUUUUAAAGGUCAAUGGAAUGAGUUUUUGAAAAAGAAUCCAUGAUUAAUGUUAGAAAUUAUUUGAAUAUUCAUUAUUUGGAUAUUAUUAUACCAUUUAAAUACUUACCCUAGUGACAUGCUUUGAAUUUGUUUUUUGAUCCAUUUAUUUUUAUACCAGACUUGUUCUUGUAUUGAUUCCCUUUUCUCUUAAUUCACCUUACCCUCAUUCAUUUUUGCAUCUCCAAAAUAAAUUAAGAAAAUAUAUGAUUGUAUUGUGCUUGUCAUGAAUUGAAAUGAUAAUCAAUGAAUGACAAUAUUCAUAAAAGAUUCUUUGAAAGGAAAUUCAAGAUGACAGGGAAAACAAUGAAAAAAUGAAAACUAUGAAGGAAGGCUAAGAAGUUGAUUUGAAAAGACAAAUGUGGUACCCAAGUGGUGAAUAUAGUGAUGGAUCAACCACUAUAAUAUGUGAGUUGUGAUCAAAUACUGAAAAUAACAUGGAUCAGUUAGCGAAAUUGAUGAAUUGAUUUUGAAAAUGUUACUACUGAGAAGUUAAAAAAGAAAUGUGAAAUGAUGGAGUCUUGAGAACCUUAUUACCAUAAUCAAUUAGAAUGUCAUGGUGUUGAUUUUAGUGACAUUUGCAUUAUAUUGCAUUUGCAUCAUGGUUUAAUCAUGCAUUUUUAUCAUGUAGUGAACAUGUGAAUCAUGGUUUAGAGUAUGGCAUCUGCAUUGUUGUAAGAAAUUGGGUUGUUGCAUUGGCAUCAUUAAGAAAGCAAUUGUAUCUCUAAUAAUUUAAAUAAGAAUAUUUGAGUUUUAAAAUUUUUUUGAUAUGAAUACUCAAAGUUUUUGAAUCAGAAUCUUGAAAAUUUUGAAUGAAAUUCUAAAAUUUUUGAAUGAGAACCUUUGAAAUUCUAGUUGUGAAUCUUUAGAAGUUUUUUCAACUUAUGAAUCUAAAAACUUUGUGAAUCUCAAAUUCUUGCGAAUCUGAAGGUCUUACAAAUCUUCAAUUCUUACGAAUCUGAAAACUUUACGAAUAUUGAAUUCUUGCGAAUUUAAAAAUUUUACGAUUGUUCAAUUCUUACGAAUCUGAAGGUUUUGCGACUCUUCAAUUCUUGCAAAUCUGAAAACUUUGUGAAUAUUCAAUUCUUAUGAAUCUGAAAAUUUUACAAAUCUUCAAUUCUUGCGAAUCUAAAAACUUUGCGAAUCUCUAAUUCUUACAAAUUUGAAAGCUGUGCGAAUCUUCAAUUCUUACGAAUCUGAAAACUUUGUGAAUCUCCAAUUCUUGCAAAUCUAAAAACUUAGUGAAUCUCUAAUUCUUGUGAAUCUAAAAGCUUUGUGAAUCUCCAAUUCUUGAGAAUCUGAAAGUUUUUACGAAUCUUCAAUUCUUGCAAAUCUGAAUGUCUUGCCAAUCUCCAAAACUUGUGAAUCUGAAUGUUUUACGAAUAUCUAAAACUUACGAAUUUGAAAUUCUUGCAAAUUUUUGAAUCCUGCGAAUCUUUGAAUUGCAAACUUUUGAAUUUCAAAUUUGUGAUUUUUUUGAGCUCAAUUGCGAAUCUUUGAUGUCAACUUGCAUUGGGAAUCUUCGAUAAUGAAAUUUUUGAAUGCUUCAAAUUGUGAACCUUUAAAGUUUUGAAAUUUCGCAAUUGCUGUAAAGAUAGACUUUGAUUCAAUCCAAGUCAUCUUGUUUUCGAAUUUUGACAUAUGCCUAAUUUUUCUUUGGCUCAGUCCAAGUUAUUCAUUUCAGACUUCGAUUCAAUCCAAGUCGUUUUGUCUUUGGAUUUUGACUUAUGUCAAAUCUUUCUUCAGCUCAAUCAAGUUAUUCAUUUCAUAUUACGGUUCAGUUCAGGUUAUUUUAUGUUGGAUUUUGACUUGUUUUAGAUCCAUUUUCAGGUCAUUCCAUUUCAAACUCGAUCCAAUCUAUGCUAAAGUGUUGUCUUUCUUAAAUAAGGUCAUGAUGGGUGUCUACGUUUUUGCAUAAUCUCUGUUUCAUAGAAAAUAUACAAAGAAGGGCAACUGUAGACACCCACUUUUGGAUUUAGUUCCCGAUGAGUUUUAGAUAAGGUUAGUAUAAUUUAAUAAAUAAAAGUAAAAUUUCAAUCAUGGUAAAACUCUAAGAUUAAGAGUUUAAAAUUUGAAAAACAAGAUCAAGGAUUUGGUUUUUGAAUGGGGGAUAAACAAAUUGAAUGAAAGGGAAUUUGAUUUUCAAAACCCUCAUUUAACCUAGUACCCUGCCCUAUAUAAAUCCCAGUAAUCACAUAAAAAGGGACACAGAAGAAAUAAGGAAAGAAAACAAGAGUGAUUCGAGUAAAAUUUUUUUAGAAAAGCUUUUGAGGAAUUUGUGGUUUAAUUGGUUUUUUUGUUUUUUUUUUUUAAUUUUAUGGGAAUUUUUUAGAAAUUUCCAAAAUUAGAUGAAUUUUUUUGGUGAAAUUCAAGUUUUUCAAUGACUUUUUCGACAAAAAACCUAGUUUUCGGUGAUAAAACCCAAAAACUGAUGAGAAUUUCAUCGGUGUUCUCUAGACGCAGAGAAAAUUGAAGGGAAAAGAGAGAAAAGGGAAGAAGCAUAUGAGAAAAAAAAUUUUCUACCUUUUAUUCCCGGGUGAAACGACACCAUUUUGAGAAGCCAAAAGUAGAUAGGAUCCGUGUAUCGCCCCAAGUUCGACCUGACCCGUAACGCAUCAACCAAUUUCUCAUUUUACUCAACCUUUGACGAGCCGCUAAGUCGAACUGCACAUUGAGCUGGUCUAGUGGUGUCCCUCUUUGGAGCUGUGUCUCAACUGAACCCAGCCGAGCCAUGCCAAGGUUUUAUUCAUUUAGUUUUAUUAUUUAUUUGUUUAUUAACAUUAUUAUUAGUAUUAUUUUUGCUUAUCUAUUUAUUGAUCAAAUUAAAAUCUUUUAUUUACUUAAUUAAACAUCCUUAAAUUUUCAAUGAUUUUUAAAAAAUUAAAAGCUUCAAAGAAAUUUUUUGAAGAAAAGUUGAAAGUAUCAAUUUUUCUUGAAAAUAAAGAUUUCAAAAAGGGAUUUUUGAGAAAAAGUUGAAAGUAUCAAUUUUUCUUGAAAAUAAAGAAUUCAAAAAAAUAUUUUUGAGAAAAAGUUGAAAUUAUCAGUAUUUCUUGAAAAUAAAAAUUUUAAAAAAAUAAUUUUAAGGAAAAGUUGAAAGUAUCAAUUUUUUUUAAAUAAAAUUUUCAAAAAAUAUAUUUUGGAGGGAAAGUUGGAAGUAUCAAUUUUCCUUUAAAAUAAAACUUUCAAGAAAUGUUUGUUUGAGCAAAAGUUGAAAGUCCUAAUAUUUCUUGAAAAUUUUUAGUAUAAAAUAAUUCGACGACGGAGCCUCUGCAAGAGAAAUAGUAGUUUUCUUGUAUACUCUUGAGAUGAGAGAAUUUUUUAAAUUUUCUUCCAAAAGUAUUGGAGUCAAUUAAAAAAUUUUUCAAUAAUUAAUUACUUGGUAAAGUUUUAAGGCUUAAUGGAUAACAUAAAAUCAAGCUAAUACCAUCUUUCGAUAGGUGUUGUGGGGGUGCUAUAACCUUAUUCACAUAUAACCGUACUCUCGAACCUAAUUCUAGUUUCAUAGGCAUUGAAUCUACCUUUUAAAGAUACCUAAGUCAAAUUUAAGAUUUCUUUUAAAAAGGGAUAGAUUCGGUGAAGUGGGCAAUCGCACCUAAAUAAAAAAAGAUUAGUGAUAACUCAUCAAGUCAAUGUCAAGCGAUAGAUCCCCAGAUCUAGACGUUAUGACAUAUACAAGAAAACUAAAGCCUAUAAGAUGGAAAACAACUUAGGUUAUGUUUUGUAAAAAAAUGAAAGAAUAUGUGUUGACAUAUAAUUGCUGUGAAUUGACCUUACUUUAAUUGUGAGUAGGGAUAUAAUUGAUCAAGUUCAAAUUGAUAUAGUAUUAAACUCAAGUUCAAGCUUGAUUUCAAAUUUAAAGCUCAAAAUUAAACUCGAACUUGAUCAAGUUUUAUCUUUUUAGCUUGAAUUCAAUUCAAGAUAGAAAUUAAGCUAUUCGAGCUUACUCGAUUAGGUUGAUUAACAUGUAAAAAUAAGCUUGAUUCUUAGAUUCGAUAAAAAUUCAAUUAUUUGUACUGCGAAGUCGAGUGUAAAAUAUUUUAUCAAUUAAAAUAAUUAAAAUUUAUUAAAAUAUAAAAGCUAGAUUAGGCUUACGAGUAACUCGAGUCAUGCAUAAAAAUGCUUGAACUCGAUUCAAUUGAUAAGUUAAGUUACUCAAGUUUUAGCUCGACUCGAUAAUAAGAAGUCGAAUUUAAGUUUUAUUCGAAUCGAAUUCAAGAAACUUACGAGUACCAAUAUAUCAUUUACACUCCUAAUUGUGAGUGGCUUCAUCGCCUCUUCCUUAAGCAGUCCUUGACAAAUGGCACAUCAAGAAUACUGAUAUUCUCUACUUUUUACGCUAUUUGAUUAAAAAAAAAGAAAAAAAAAAAGAAAAACACUUUUACUUAUAACAUAUUAAUUUGAUAGUAAAAGUUGUUUAGUGGCAUAUAAAUUAUAUUAACCACAGAGUGACAAGGCCCAUAGAUUAUAAUUAUAUAUUUAUAUUCUAAAUUGAAUUAUUGUGGAUGACUAACAAAGGAUUUAAAAAUUUUUAAGUUUAAUUCAUUUGAUUUUCUUUUAUGCAAUUAUUUUAUGAGAUUAAGUUUAAUAAAUCAAAUUCACACUUUAAUUUUUAUAAAUUUUUUAUUUUCAAAUUGUAUUUUUUUUACUAAAAAAAUCACAUUAUUUGGCCUUUAGACUCCAACAACUCACCACUAUAAAAAAUAAAAAAAAAUUAAUGGCAUAAUCAUUCAAGAAUUCAUUUUGAAGAUGAGAAACAAAAUUCGCACUAACAUUUGGUGCUACUUGAUAUUAAGAAGUCCAAGAAAUUCCAAAACCAAUCAUUAUUUAAUAACUUGUAAUAAUUAAUAGUGAAAAGUAAAAAUAAAGUAAAUUCUUAUAUAAAUUCAUAAAUAUUCCCUCCAUCCCAAAUUGCUUUAUGGUAUUGAACUUCAGGAAUUUUUUUUAAAAUUUGAUUUUAAUGUAUUUAAUAUUAAAAUAAAUUUUUUAUAAAAUUAAAGUUUCAUGAUUUUUAAUAUUAAAAAUAAAAAAAUUUUAAAUAUAAAAAAAUAAAUAUUUUAAAUAUUCUAAAAAAUAGAAUAUAAUUUUAAGAUAUUACAAAAAGAAAAUAUGGAUAAAGAAAGUGAAACAGAAAAAGUAUGUAAUAAUUCUAAUAGAAAAUUUUUUACAUAUAAAAUAAUUAUUCUUUAAUACCUUCUAAUUAUUUUAUUAAUUAAUAUAUCAAUAAUUAUGUUAUUAUUUUUAUUAAAAAACUUGUAACUAUUUUAUUAAUCAAUAUAUCAAUAAUUAUGUUAUUUUUUUUAUUAAAAAACUUUCAAGUCUUUAAUGAUAUUUUUUCUUUCAUUUCAAAGUCACAAAUGUUUUUGACGCAUUUGUUUCAUCGCUAGUUUCAGUCUUAUCUAUCAACUCUCAAUAUCAUCGUUGAAUGAUCAAUCUCAAUAUCACCACUGUAUUCAAUUUCUCUACAGUGAAUUUCGUUGCUAUGCUGAAUAAGAUCUAAGGGGCUUAGGUUGUGACUUUCGCAACUAUUACCUUAUUCUUAUUGGUAGGAUUGAAAAUAUAAAAAUAAAAAAGUCGAUUGAAAUUAUAUUAUUUGAUUCAAUUUAAAUGAGUUUUUUUGUUGUAUUCGUUUCAGCUUCUAAUCUUGAAUGCUUUUGUUCGAUUUGGUUUUUGAUUCAUGGAGUAAAAUUUGAAAUUAUUCAAAUAAAAUUAUAUUUUAUUAAAUUUUACAUUAUUUUUUAAUUUUUAAAAAUUAUUUUAUUUGUAAAUAGAUGUAAAUAAAUAUAAAAUAAUAUUAAAAAUUAUAUAAAAUCUAUAAAAUUUUUUAUUCAUCAUUAUAUGCAUAUUUUUUCUCCAUCAAUUUAAUUGUAAUAUUUUAUUAUUAAGCUUUUUCUAAAUUAAACAAUAAUAUUUUUAUUUAUUUUCAUAUAUAUAUUAUACUCUUUUUAAGAUCAAUUUUAGUAUUUCAUAUCUAGCUAGAACCCUAAUUAAUUUUAAUACAAGUAUCUAUGAUUUUUUUUUAAAUGUUUAACUAUAUAUAAGUAAAAUCAAAUACUUACCAUUAAACUACGAUUUUAGUUCAACUAUUUAGAAUUGCUAUAGAAAGUGUUUUUUUACCCCUAACUUCUAGUUUCUACUAAAUUAGUUUAUUUAUUUUAAACACAAAAUGAGACAUAUUUUUCACUUAAAAAUAAUUUUGCUUUUUUAAAAUUAUAGAAUUCAAUUAAAUAAAUAUACAAGACUUAAUUAUGCUAAUUUUAUACUAAAAAAAUAGCAACUAAUACAAUAUAAUAAACAUACUAAAGUUUUAAUCGAUCUUAAAUAUGAAUCCCAAAGAUGACUGAUAGAAAUUGAUAGGUUACAAAAAUAUUCAAAUCCAAUUGAACACAUAACAAUAAUAUAUGUUUCCUAGCAAAAAAAUUAAUUACAUUAAUUACAUUAAUCUUAAUUAUAUCUUUGAAUAUAUAUGGCUUAUGGAAUAGGGGUUUGUACUUGUGUUUGUGUAUUAUCACUUUAUGGUUUAAUUGAUAGAUUAUAUGCAUUCACUUUGACAAAAUGAUAAAAUCCAAACUUGGGGUAUGAUUGUAUUGUUAUAAUCAAAAUGAUAAUUAAUUAGAAAAUGAUUGAGUCCAUCUGUUUUUUGCAGUUGGUUGUCUUGAGAGGUCAUUUUAUCUAUUAGGCAAUAGUUGUGGUAAUAAAAAGCUGACAAUGCCUUGUGUCCUGAAACUGAAUUUCACUUAUAUCAUCCAGACUAGUAUAACUAACUUUUCCUUCCUCUUUCUAAAGGGUAAAAAAUCCAUACAUUUAUUCUUGAUUUUUAUUAAGUUGUUCUUAUGAUUUAUUUCACAGGCAAUGCUUGGAUCUUAUGCAGGGACAUGUUUACGAUACGUUACGGAUAAAACAACAUCAUGAUAAUUUCUAAAAUAUAAGAAUAGGACUACAGCAAGGCAUGAUAAUAAAAAAAUAUCUUUUAUAUAUUGUAAUCGUCAGUUAAGAAUACAUGAUAAAUAUUGGGAUGAUUUUUAAAAAUCAAUUACCUUUAUAAAGAAAAACUAAUGUAAAUAUGGCAAUAAAAGAACAUAGAAUGCCGUUACCCGCAUGGAAAUUUUCUUUUUCUUCUUUCUUAAUCUUUGCCGUAUCUGGUCAAAUUCAAUAGUAUUCCAACAUGUUCUGGUAUGUAUGUCAGAAGCGUUAAAGUGUCGAACACGAAUACAGCAGGAGUACGCAAGAAGUUCAAACGCAAGAGGUAUAAAGUAUUACCUUGUACAUUUAGAAGUUGAGUGCUUCCUGUGUUUUCUGUCAUUUUAUUUUAUGUCCACUUGAUGAAAGUGAUAAGUUUCGGUUUACAGGCAUUCGGUUUAUAAAAAUGAUAUAUUUCGGUUCACAGGCAUUCGGAUAGGUUGCACGACUUGUGAGACAACAUAACUUUCCAGCAUUUAAAUAUUUAUGGUUUCUUUUUGUUUCAAGUUUUGAUACUCAAUGACAUUUUAGAACCCAGUUCUGUGCUGAAACAGAACGUGAACAUGAAAAAUAAAGAGAGAAAAUGAAAAUUACCAACAGCAAACAAAAGUUUAGAUACAAUGGAAAAAUUUUAAGCUUAUUAAGGGAAGGUUUUCCUCCAUAAUUGAGCAUGACAAAUGCUAGAAUUGUGAUCCAUUGUGGCCAGUUGACAAAUACUGAUAUCCCGACUUAAGAUGUUCAGUUGUUUGAACAUAGCAAUAAUUGUGAGUUGCAUCAGAAAUCCAAGCUCCAAAAAUUGCCUAGAAUACGCUGUGAUGUUUUUUGCGUUCAUUUUGAAGGAAUUACUAUGCAGGAUUUGCAUAAUAUAUGAGACUGUUACUGGAGAAGGUUGAUGAUUCAAUUUAGACUCCUUACGGAAACACUGGCCUUUUUUGCAAGCUCGUUUCACAUGAAGAAGUUGAGCUGAAAUUCUGUAGAAUAAAUUAAGAAUAGUUACUUGGAAGCUUCCGCAGAAUAAAUGGAUGCUUGAGUUUGUGUUCUUUUAUGUCAAGACAGUACAUACCCCUGAUUUGAUGAUUGAAAUGAGCUCCUCAAACCAAACUCGAGCUUAGCAGCUGAAACACUUUGUCUCGAUCAGCGUAGAUGUUUCUUUAUGCCGAGCCAGAAUGCUUAUAAAGAUCAAAGAAGCAUACCAAAAUGUUUAGUCACUACUAUAAAUAGUUAAAACUUCAUACAUAAAGGCAAACAGUUUUCAAAGCAAGUAUAAAAGAAAAACACAUUAAGAUGCAUUGCUUUACAUCUUCAAAAGCUCAAUCCAGGCAAAGAUUUUAACUUGUGGCUCCACCGAGCUGAAAGAAAUGAUCAUCGGAAAAACAAAGGUUGCUGAUCAAUGUUUUACUGAAAGGAUAUGUUAUGCAUCAAUAUGAAGAAUUGAGCUACAAUGGAAUGAAACUUCCAAGCAUUAAUGCACAACAGAAUAAUAUUACAAAGAAUUUUAACACGUACAUUUAGAAUAUCAAUUUGGCUUUUACAGAAGGUCCCAGCUCAGCCAAUUUUACCUGCUUGAUAAAGUUCUUACCUUAUCUUAUCAUUUAUGCUUGCACCGCUGACAUGGAGGAGAAAAAAGAUUUCUGUGGUAGGAAAGGAGCUGCUGCCAGAACAACUUGGAAACCACCAAUGAAUUGAAGUUAUUUCAUCCUGUCAGAUAAGUUCCACAAUAUCAGAUUUUUGUUUUGAAGCAUUUGGGAUAAAAAUGGUAGUACCAAAGAAGGGUAGAAUAAAAAAAGAGAAAGCAAUCCUAACAAGCUUGGAAGUUUUCAUUAUGCUAAGAAUGAUGAUUUCUUUUAAUAUAUGGCUUCUGAUCAUAAACAACGAAUCUAUAUACUCAAAGAGUAUGAUAUAGGGAUUAUGGAGGGUGGAAUAUGGUUCAAGGAUUCGGAAUGUCCAAGGCAAUUAUUGCUGGCUCCGGAAGAGCACCUUAUUCAGAGUAAAAGACACAAAUAUUAUACAUAAAACAUAAAGUACAAAUGAUUUUCCUUCGCUAUAAAAGGAGAACGUUUUGCAAAGAUAUCAGAACCCUGGAAAUAAGUAAAUAACUAAGUAAUAACUUACCACUUUCAUAGGAAACAAUGUUUCCCUUGGGGGAAUUUUUGCGUCACUGACACUGUCCUCACUCCUAAGUCUGGCAAUAAAUCUUUAAUAUCUCAUCAUUUAUAAGAAAUUGAGUUCUCAAUGGGAUUGAGGCAGGGAUUUUGGUAUUGACUCAUUCAGGCUGCCAUAUGGUCAAUUUGACAGCAGUGAAGGUAAUCCAUGCUUCUGCUGAGUAAACAGCAUUCAUCUUUUUCAGGUCUUUCCAUCUGCUUUUGCAAACCACUUUGUGUGCUCCUAUAAAGGCACUACUCACUGGCCUCUGCAACUUCCAACUGACUGAAACCAAAAUUAGAUAUCAAAUUAAUCUUCACGCAUAUAAGAAAAUAACAAGCAUUUAAUAAUUGAAACCAUUCUUGAAUGAUUCUACAAAAGAAAAAAAAAAUCAGAAGUCAAUGAAACAAAAUGAUUAAUAGAUAUAAACAUUUAACACAUCUGUUCUGUUCUUGAAAUUGUCCUAUAGGAAAUUUUUAUCAGAAGACUGAAAGAAAUAUGUUUAGACUAUAAAAAUGAAUUUUCUAAAAUUUUCUAACUUUUAGUAAACAAUCCAAUGCCAUAGUUACUCAUUCUUCUCUGUGAAAAAUCAUAGGUAAGGCAGAAAGGAAGUACACAUAAUGAACAGCCAAAUACAUGAGGAUAUCAUGAAUGAUUCAUGAACACAAGAAAAAUAUAUAUAUACAGAAAUCAGCUAUAAGACCUACUCAUUCUGGAACUAUUCUUAAAUUUUCUUUUAAAAUGGCAGCAAAACAUUGAAUCUAUGUAUCAAACCUGCAGAGAACCAUGUGCAAGUUCCAAUAACUUCUAAAUUAAACCAUUACACUCCAUGAUGGAAGGAAGAACCUCAUUCUCAAUUCUGCAAAUCUAGAUUACACUACAAUUAAAAGUUUUGUAUAAAUGAGAUUCACUCGUUUCUAACAAAUGAGCUUCAAAAAUACCUGUCCUCAAUUUAAUAAGCAGGAUUUCAUCAAUGGUUAAAAGGUUAAAGUCUGAAUUUGAUUCCUUUACUACCUCAAUCCUAUCGGUUUAGUCCAACUUCAAUUUUAAUGAAUUUAGUCCAUGUAUUUUUAUUAAAAGUAGACUUUUCUUUUAUAUAUUUUCCAUUUCAUUGUAAAACAAGAAGCUAUGUGUGGAAUGGAUUGAACUAAUGAACAUUUUAUUAUGAUAUAAAAAAUAUAAAUCACUUGAGCACUUGAUUUAAUAGUACGUUAAUGUUCUUCAAAUAAGUAGCAUAUAAUUGCAAAGUGACAUAUACCUGAUUUCUUGGCGUUUCUUCCGGUGACAAAUUAACCAAUUAGAAUGCAACGUAUGUGGGCUAUUUUGGGCCACUCUUGUCCUUCAUCCUUCUUGCAUCGUUCUCUUAGCAAUGGACAGUUAAUAAUAUAUAGAUGAAAAAGUGAGUCAAACAUCUCCCCUUCUGGGAGGAAUUUGAGCCUGGGGCAUCCUCGGAUAUCCAAUGAUUCAAGAAAUUUGAGAUUUUGAAAGCCCUUGGAGGAUAGAGUUUCUAGGUUUGGAAAACCGAAGAUGGUGAGGGAGGUGAGAGUGCGAGGCAGAAGCAUUUCCUCACAUGGGAAUGACACCACAUCUACAGAAGCACCGUUGAUGUACAAAUGUUUAAGGGAGGUGAGUUUGUGCAAACCCCACGCAAUCACUGACUUGCAAAUAUUGGGUUGCGAGAUUUUAAGUGAAGUGAGAUUGGGAGGGAACCCCUCUUCUGGAAAUGAUAUCACCCGUGGACAAUCCAAUAUGAACAAUUCUCGCAUAGAGACGAUAUUGUGGAUGCAGUUGGGUAAGGCCUGUAGUUUUUCACACCUAGAAAGGUGAAGCUUUCUGAGUUUAGUGGUAAAUGACCCACUUCCAGGGAAGGAAAUCAAACUUGGACAACCCCAAAUAACAAUCUCCCCAAGAUGGUUGAGCUUGUUUAAUCCAUGAGGCAAAGAUCUGAAAUUAUUGCAACUGCCGAUAGUUAUUAAUUCAAGGGAAGAGUUCUCUUCAAUUUCUUGAGCUAUGGACUCUAGUACUCGGCAAUUAUUAAUAGUGAGGUAUUUAAGCCCCAUAGGUAACUCGCCCCUUGAGGAUAAAGAUAUCAGAGACUUACAAUUUUCAAUUACCAAGUGCUCUAGAAGAGGCCUGCUGUUGAUGUUGUUAUUUACUCCACCCAGCAAGUACUGCAAAUUCUCACACUCCUUAAUGGUUAAACGUCUUAAAUUUGGAGGCAAGUUUCCAUUUGAAAUUGAAAUCAAUCUUGGGCAUCCUUCAAUUUGUAGCUCCCUAAGGGAUCUGUAGCUGUGUAGGUUUUCUGAUAGCCUUUCUAGCCUUACACAACGAUGUAUGCUCAAAUGUUCAAUACGGCAAGGGAUUCCUAACUGCCUAUGCUCAUCCUUUCCGUCCUCUGCACCUAUGGAAACUGUUGAACAAUUGUCAAUUUCCAAAAAGGGAAGACGCCUCAAAUGUGUUGAGGGUCCUUCCUGGUUCUGCCAUGAAGAAAUUAGCUCCUCACAUCCAUGUAUAUAAAGACGUUCUGCUUUUAUCAACCCUAACAUCAUCCCCUCCAUUGGAGAAGUGAAUUUUGAAAUGUCUGAAAGAGAGACUUUUUCAAUGAAUGAGCCAGAUUUUGUACAACUUGUAGACGCCACCUCUUGGCACCCAUAAAUUUCCAAGUCAGACAACUUUGGAAGGCUUGAGAGUGAAACUACCAACUGCUCACAUUCUUCAAUCACAAGUUUCUCCAAUGAAGGAAGACAACAAGGUAGACUUCUCAGUUGUUGACACAAAUUAAUCUCUAGCUUCUUCAAGGAAGGAAGACGAUUAGGUAAACUUCUCAGUUGUAGACACCAAAUAAUCUCUAGCUUCUUCAAGGAAGGAAGACAACUAGGUAAACUUCUCAGUUGAUCACACAUAUUAAUCUCUAGCUUCUUCAAGGAAGUAAGACGAUUAGGUAAACUUCCUGACAACUUGGGGCAAUUUGAAAUGAUGAGCUCAUGGAGGUGUUGGAAACUCCUUACAUUUUCAUCAACUUCACAGGGAUCCCAUUCCUCCCACUCUGGCAUGUCCUUAAAACGUAAUUUCUCUAGUGACGGAAAUGCAUUAAUCGACAGAUCCUUUCCAAAAAAAUUAGCACCCACAUUUUUUAUCUUACUCAUCCUCUGGAUAGAAAGCGAUUUUAUCGACGGUAAUCUUCCAACAGGUGGUAAUAAUGUGCAAUUUGGACAGUCAUACAGAUUCAGAAUCGAUAGCUUUUCAAAUGAGGGAUCUCCAAUCCAAUUUGGGAAUGUUUCACCUCCAUAACAUUCGAUGGUGAGCCUUUCAAGCAUUUUAGGAGGUUGGAGUGAAUCCAACACGUCCUUGUGAAUUUCUUUUCCUGCGACAUUAUAACUCCACUCCAAAGCUAAAUCACGAAGGUUCGACUUAUGACGUAACCCAGCCAUCCAUGCAUCUUGAGCUUCGACAACAUUCUGCAAUUCUGUAAUAAAAAGUUCACCCUUAAGAUUAGACAAAUUCUUCAUCUCGCUAAUCGGACGACCAUUGUCUUGACUCACAACAAAAUUUGUCAAUGUUUGGAGAUUGGUUAGUUCACCGAUUCCCAUUGGCAUCGUUUUUAUUGAAUCUGCACCUGCUAUGUCAAGAUGCCUUAGGUUAAUUAAAAAUCCCAUUUCAGAAGGAAGCUCUUCAAGACUAGAACAGCCCCGCAACAGCAAGGUCUCUAAAUUGUAAAGCUUGCAUAUUGAAUCCGGCAGAAUUUUGAUUAGAGUGUAAGAAAAAUUUAGAUAACGCAGAUGCACCAAAUCUCCAAUAAUAUUGGGAAUCUCCGUCAGGUAGAAACCUUGUAAAGAAAACACCCUUAAGUAUUUAAAUUCUGGCAACAACUCACUGAGAACUUGAUUAGAGAAAUUCAUCCACCCUCCAGGCAUCUUCAACGGUAGGAAGGUUCUUAAAUUCUUUCUUUUAAAGACUUGGAAAUUUUUAAUUCUGUCUUUCCCACCAACAAUGCAAGAUAAAUGGCGAGGAUGACGGGAAACGUUCAAUGCCUUGUCAUCCUCCACUCUGAAGCAUAUAUCUUUGGCAACUGAUUGAGCCAAAUCAUUAAUCAGGUCAUGCAUUAUAUAUCGAGACUCAUUCUUGCUGGAUACUUCAAAAAAUGACCUCCGUACAAGUUCUUGAAAGUACUCAUGACCCAAAUCUUCAUUUCGCUUUGUAGCUUCCACUCGCAGAAAGCCUUCUGCCAUCCAUAAUAGGACUAUUUCUUCCUCGGAAAAUUCAUAGCCUUUGGGAAGUAUGGCACAGUAAGCAAAACAUCGCUUUAGGUCUGCAGGAAGAUGAUGAUAGCUUAAUCGUAAAGCUGGAAUUAUGCUACUCCUCUCUUCUGGUAAAUUCCAAAUCUCACUUCUUAGUAUCUUUUCCCAUUCACCAACGUCCAGCUUAUUGCGCAAAAGGCCUCCAAUGGUCUUAGCUGCUAAGGGCAAUCCCUUGCACCUCUUCACAAUCUGUACACCAUAUUCUUUUAAGUUCGGAUGCCCACUAAAAUCUUUUGCUCCUAAUGCAUGUUGAGUUAAUAUAGAAAUGCAAUCACCAUCUGACAACUCUGGCAGCUUGUAACCUAGGAUAGUACUCACCAUUAAUGAAACACUUUGACCACGAGUUGUCACAACAAUCGUAGCUCCUAUGCCAAAAGGGGAUAUUAGACGAGUCCAAUCAUCAUAGUUUUCAUGCCAAAGAUCAUCCAAAAUCAGAAGUAGUUUUUUUCCCUCCAGCUUCUUCUUCAAUUUUAUUUGAAGGUUAUUCAAAUCAUCUCCAACAUUAAAAGAUUCAGGACUAACUGAUUGUAAGAUUGAUUUCGUUAUCUCCUCCAUCUUAAAGUCAUCAGAAACACAUACCCAUGCUUGAAAAUCAAAAUGCUUAACUACACGACUAUCAUUGUAGACAAGCUGAGCAAGCGUUGUUUUGCCAAUCCCUCCUUUGCCAAUGAUGGGAAUCACAGAAAAUUUAUUGCUAUCAUCACUCCCAAAAAUCAAAUCAAGGAUUGUUUCCUUGUCUUUUUCCCGACCGUAGACUUGAGUUUCAUUCACCAAACAAGUGGUUGAUCGCCAUUCCCAUGUUCUCCUGGGCCUCCCACCACCAUUUUUAGUCAGAGCCAAGAGACUUAUACCUGCUUCUAAAACUUGAAAUCUAGCAGUGAUCUCUUUUAUCUCGGACAUCAUUUCCUUAUUAAAUGAUAAAUUAUGACCCCUGAACCAGGUAAAGCAAGCAUCAACAAGCUUUUGUAACUUCCUUGGGCGGUGAUCUUGAUGUUCCCUUGUUAACUUGAGUCUCAAAGCUUCAGUAGCAAACUUAUCCAAUAUGUCAUCCACAUCGUAUGCCAAGUCUUGGAGGUGGACCAACCAACUCUUCACACGCCCAUCAUUCAUUUCCUUCUCCUCGGCAUCAUUUAGAACUGCGUGAAUAUUGCGCAGUGUCUUUUCCAUCUUGUUGAGCUCCUCGCAAACUUCCUUCUCAGUUACAAAGUUGAGAAACUCAGAGGAGGCCAAAUUACUAAACAACCCUUCAAAGAACACAGAUAAAGCAGCUUCAACGAUGGACAUGGCUUUUGACCUGCAAAAACACAGAGAUUAUGUGUAAAAAUGAUAUAGGGAUAAACUCAAAAAGACUGGAACUAGAAGUAGAACACAACCAACAACCCCACCAGUACUGAACCCCAUCUUGGUAUAUUUCUUUGUGGCUUAUAUCUCCGCGUUAAUUUUUUCUAAUACUCCUAUUACUAAUUAAGAAAGUUAAUUAAUUAUUCCAAUCAGACUAUUUGUUAGACUAUAGAUGAAAAUUGGAAUAUCGGAAAACUUAAACAAUGUAUUUAUUUUUUUCAAGUGUUUUAGAAAUUAAAACCAAAACCGUGAUUUGCAACUUGCAAGUUGUUUUUAAAAACCAAAAGUAAAAUUUUAAAAAGUUUUGAAAAUUAUUAAAAAUACAAAAAUAAUAUUUCUAAUAUUUUGAAAAUAUUUUCGACAUUAUUAUCUUAAUACUAUUCAUCUAUUCGAUUAUAAUACUUGUUAGAGUUAAAAAUCUAAUGUUUGAAAAUUAAAAAAAAAUUAUUCUUGAUAAGAUUUGAACUCAUAUCCUCUUACAAUUUAAAAUUUUAAUCACUUUUUUUAUUAAAUUUCUCUUCUUAAAUUUUUGGAAAAAAAUUAUAUCAAAACACUUUUUAAAAUUUAAUAAAAUGAUAAAAACUAAAAUAAAAUAAAAUAUUCAAAAACAUAAAAUUGGCAACAAUACAAAACCACCCUGUUUCAAAAUUUCAACUUUUUUUUUUCCUUAAAGUAAAUGUAUUUGUGUCGAUUUGACAUAAGGGUAAAUCCAUUUCUACUAGCAAUUGGCUGAACAAAAAAAAAAAGGUAGACCAUAUAUCAGAAUUUUUUUCUUUUUAUCAAGCAAACUUUAAAAAUCUUUAAAAGGGUGAAAAUCUUUGAUCUACCAAUAGUAGCAAACAAAUUGGAACUCCGAAAUCUAAAAAAAAAAAACAAAACACUUUUUAUAGCAUUCUGUUAUUAAAUAUUUAAUCAGAAAUUUUAAAUUUCAAAAGUUUUUAUCUAACUUUUAAUUUUGAGUCCAAAUUAUUAUUUGUCUUUAAUUAUUUAUUUAGGGUUUCAAUUGAUUAAUAAGACUCAAACCAAUAGUUCAUUCUUCCUUCUUAUAAUAUACCAUGUUAUUUUAUUUCUCGUCUUAUUUCUUUUAUCAAAGUUUUAAAUAUUUUAUUAUUUUUAAACAAUUGGAACAAAAAUAAAAAUAAAAUAAAUACAAAAAAUAAAAAAAUAAUUAUGAAAAUCUGGAUAAACAAAAGUAGAUAAAUCAUAAAUUUUUUAAAGAAAUAUCCUAAAGGAAAAGAAUCAAAUUAAAUUCCUAUAAUGAUUAAAUUUUCGAGAUUAAGAUAAAAGUGCAAAGUAUUUUCUAGAGCAAUUUUUUUUCUAAUAUGGAAUUGCACUUCAAAGAAGACUAGUUCCAUAUUUAAACAAAUGAAAAGCAAUCACAAUACAGAAAAUGAACACAAAACAACAAGAAUCGUCAAAAGCAACAACAAUUAGCAAAAAAAAAAAAAAGGGCAAAACAUUUUUAGUCACUGAGUGUUUUCAGUUUUAGAUUUGAUUAAUUUUUAGGGUUUUUUUGGAGUUUCUAAGUUAAUAAGAAGAAAAAGAAAGUUUUUUGGAGGCCUGUUUUGGGUUGUAGAUGUAGACUUUUGGAUGAAUAUUUUGUGAAGUCUAACUUAAAAUAAGCAAAAAGGAGAUCAUAAGAAAUUAAAAAGAAGAUUUUUGAAAAAUUUUAUCACUAGUAUAAAAUGACAGACAACAUCACCGAUGAAGUUUUCAAUGACUUUUUUUGGAUUUUAUGAUUUGAGGGUAUUAUUUGACAGAUUGAAUUCUUGAACACCAAACAUUUAUACUGUUAGGAAAAUGGGGUCCAAUCCUAUGUAAGUGGUUUUGGACCAAGUAAAGGCCAUGGGCCUUGAUAUUUUAUUUUACACAGAGCCCUAGCUACUUAAUAAAAAAAGAGGUGGGGUUGUUUUAGGUGUGUGUCGAAAACCAAGCUAAAAAAGAAGAAAAGCCAGGAAAAACAGAGAGAGAAAAAAAAGAAGAGAGAGUUGGUUGAACGGAAGUCAAUCCGUGGUCCGAUUGAGUUGGAACCUUGUCAGGAGGUUUAUGAUUCAGAGUUCUACAUUCUAAACGGUGAAGAUCGGGUUUGAAGCUCUCUAGGAACAAAUCCAGGGUGUAUUUGUUGAGUCACUUAUUUGGUGAGAUUUCUUCAAUUAUUUCUCUAGUUGUUGAUUAGCUCUAGUUUUAGCUAGAGAAGAACUUUGUAUAACUAUUAUUUGAUAGUGAAGAUUUUUCUGGUGGCCCGUGGUUUUUUCCCUCUACACUGGAGGGUUUUUCACGUAAAUCUUGGUGUGCUUUAUUUUUCCUGCGUAUUUGAUUAUUGAUUGCUGUCUAUUGCUUCUGUAUUGUUGUGAUUAUUGCUUCAGGUGCAACAAGUGGUAUCAGAGCGAGGGUUAUUUUGAGACAUCGAUACAGAAGCAACCCAGGAUAGAAGUAAAUUCUAUUUAAGAUCAUGGAGGGUGAUACAGGUUUCAUGAUAAAAUUGACAGCAUCGAAUUAUUCAAUUUGGAAGCCUAUGAUAGAAGAUCAUCUAUACUGCAAAGAUUUGUAUGAGUCAGUAUUGGGAAGAUUCGGCUAAACUAGCGGAUAUGAAAGAUGAAAACUGAAAGAAGCUAGGUAGAAAAAUGCUGGCUACAAUCAGAAAAUGGGUUGAUAUCAGCGUGUUCCAUCAAGUAGUGCAGGAAUCAGAUGCUUACAUUGUUUGAGAAAAAUUGGCAGCAUUGUAUGAGAAAAAUAGGUAUGAAUAAAACUAUACUUGUUAAAAAGAUUGCAACUUUACAGUACAGGGAUGGACGAUCUGUUACAGAACACUUGAGUGAUUUUCAAGAUAUAUUUAAUCGAAUGACUACUAUGGAGCUUAAGAUGGAUGAUGAAAUGAAGGCAUUAUUUCUUUUGGGUUCAUUGCCAGACAGUUGGAAUACUCUAGUUGUGACUGUUCUUAAUUUAGCUCCUGAUUAUAAGAUGACAUUGGAGAUGGUAAAUGAUAGUAUGCUUAAUGAAGAAGCGAGGCGAAAAGAUGUAGACCUUGGGAAUCAAGCUCUAGUCAUAGAGAAUAGGGGUAAAAACAUCGACAGAGGUCAGGACUCAAAAAGUCGUGGUAAGUCUAAACAUAGAUCCAAAUCUAGAGGUAAAGUGAAGUGUUUCCAUUGUGGUAAGACGAUUCAUAUAAAACGAAACUGUAGAAUCUUAAAGCAAGAGCGAAAAAAUGAGAAAAGCAAGAGUUCAGAUGAUGGCAAUGUUGCAGCAGUGAAUUCAGAUAGUGAUUCAGUUACUUUGAUUUGUACACAUGGUGAUUGUAAUCAUGUUAGUGAUCCCGACAUUAAGUGGAUAGUUGACACAGGAACGGCAUAUCAUUGUGUUUCUAAGAGAGAGUUGUUUACAACUUACAAAGCAGGAGACUUUGGUUGUACCAAGAUGGGAAACAAGAGUGUGUCGUAGAUUGUUGGGAUUGAUGAUAUUAUUGUACAAACUAGUACAGGCUGCAUGUUGACUUUGAGGGAUGUCAGACACAUUUCAGAUAUGAGAAUAAACUUGCUUGCUAUUAAUGUCCUUGAUAAGGAGGGAUAUAAAAGCCGACAAAAGAAUGGACAGUGGAAGCUUCUCAAAGGAUCUAUGGUAGUUGCAAGGGAAAAACUAUGGUACACAAUGUAUAAGACAUGGAUGCAAUUGAACGAUAAUCAGGUAAAUACCGUUGAAAAUGAUGUUUCAGCAAACUUGUGGCACAGGAGGCUAGUACACAUGAGUGAAAAGAGGUUACAGGUUUUGGCAAUGCACUCUCUCAUUCCCUUGACCAAAGGUAUGUCUCUCGAUUCAUGUGAUUAUUGUUUGUUUGGUAAGCAUCAUAGAGUUUCUUUUCGUAAAAGUUCUCAGAGAAAAGAAAAUAGAUUGGAAUUAAUUUAUUCUGACGUAUGUGGUCACAUUGAGGUUGAGUCAUUAGGUGGUAGCAGAUAUUUUGUUACUUUUAUUGAUGAUGCUUCACGUAAGACUUGGGUGUAUAUGUUAAAAUACAAAAGUCAGGUACUACAGUAUUUUUAAAAAUUUUAUGCCAUGGUUGAAAGGAUGACAGGGUUACCCUUGAAGUGUAUUCGAACUGAUAAUGGUGAGGAAUACACAUCUAAAGAUUUUGAAGAGUAUUGCUGAAAGCAUGGGAUCAGGCAUGAGAGGACAUAACCUGGAACACCGCAGCAUAAUGGUAUAGCUAAAAGAAUGAAUCGCACCAUUGUGGAAAAAGUCAGAUGUAUGUUGAGGAUGGCAAAAUUACCAAAGCCAUUUUGGGGUGAAGCAGUCAAGACAACUUGUUAUUUACUUAACAGGUCACCAUCAGUUCUUUUGGGCUUUGACAUUCCAGAAAGAGUGUGGACAAGAAAAGAUACUUCAUACUCUCACUUGAAAGUUUUUGGGUGUAAAGCAUUCAUGCAUGUGCCAAAAGAACAGAGGUCAAAGCUUGACAGUAAAGCUACACAGUGUGUGUUUGUAGGAUAUGGUGAUGAAGAAUUUGGUUACAGGGUAUGGGAUCCAGUAAAGAGAAAGAUAGUCAGAAGCAAAGAUGUAGUCUUUCAUGACAAAGAAACCAUAGCAGAUCUUGAGAAAAAUGAGAAGACUACACGAGUUACUGUUGAGUGUGAUGUUUCAACACCGACAGAGAUUUCACAAGAAAGAGCCACAGAUGGUGAAAAUGAGCCAGAAACAGAACUUGGGGAUAUGAAUGAGCCAACCACAAUUGGUGAUGAGCUAGAUGCUAUUAUUUUUUAGCAGGGGGAGCAAUCCUCUCUACCUGAGAGUGUUGAGCAGGGGGAGCUACCUUCAGCAUCAAGUGAUGUAGAGUCUCAGCCCAGGAGAUUUACUAAAGAGCGCAGGCCAUCUACCAGGUAUCCAAGUUCAUAUUUUAUUUUAGUUACCAGUGAAGGGAAGCCAAAAAGCUUUCAAGAUGUGCAGGCUACUCCGGAUAGAAAGCACUAGUUAAAAGUAAUGAAAGAAGAGAUGGAGUCAUUACGAAAGAAUGGUACUUAUGAUCUUGUUAAACUUCCAACAGGGAAGAAGCCAUUAAAAAAUAAAUGGGUGUUCAAGUUGAAAAAAGAUGGUGACAAACUAGUAAGGUACAAAGCUCGAUUGGUAGUAAAAGAUUUUUCUCAGAAAUCAGGCAUCGAUUUUGAUGAGAUUUUUGCUCCAGUUGUAAAAAUGAGUUCUAUUCGAGUGGUAUUGAGAUUGGCAGCUAGUUUGAAUCUUGAACUUGAGCAACUUGAUGUUAAAACUGCUUUUUUGCAUGGUGAUUUAUAGGAAGACAUUUAUAUGAAUCAGCUUGAGGGUUUUGAAGUGAAAGGGAAAUAGCACUUAGUUUGCAAAUUGAAGAAAAGCUUGUAUGACUUGAAAUAAGCUCCGUGACAGUGGUACAAGAAGUUUGAUUCUUUUAUGGUGAGUCAUAACUAUAAAAGAACAGCAACGGAUUCUUGUGUGUAUGUUAAACAAUUUCUUAAUGGUAACUUCAUUAUCCUAUUAUUAUAUGUUGAUGAUAUGUUGAUUGUAGGACAAGAUGCUAGUAUGGUUUGCAGUUUAAAAGAACAAUUGUCUAAGUCCUUUGAUAUGAAAGAUUUAGGUCCAGCAAAGCAGAUUCUUGGUAUGGACAUUAUCCGGGAUAGGAGAGCUGAAAAGCUGUGAUUGUCACAGGAAAAGUAUGUUGAACGAGUGCUUGGUAGAUUCAACAUGCAACAUGCUAAAUCAGUUAGCAGUUCACUUGUCAACCAUUUUCAUCUAAGUAAGAAAUCUUGUCCAGUGUCUAAGGAAGAGCAACUAGCUAUGUCUAGCAUUCCUUAUUCUUCUGCAAUCGGUUCUUUAAUGUAUCUUAUGGUUUGUACAAGGCCUGACAUUGCUCAUGCAGUUGGUGUAGUGAGCAGAUUUCUUUCUAAUCCAGGGAAGGUUCACUGGGAAGCAGUGAAAUAGAUUUUUAGAUAUUUGAGGGGUACCUCAAAAAUGUGCUUGACUUAUGGAGUUUCACAACCAGUUCUAAAAGGGUUUACUGAUGCUGACAUGGCAGGCGAUCUUGAUGGUAAGAAAUCUACUUCAAGGUAUUUAUUUACUUUUACAAGAGGAGCUGUAUCUUGACAGUCUAAGUUACAGAAGUAUGUUGCUUUGUCAACUACAGAAGCUGAGUAUAUUGCAGCAACUGAAGCAUGUAAAGAAAUGCUUUGGAUGAAACGUUUUCUUCUUGAAUUGGGUUUGAAUCAGAAAGAGUAUGUGGUAUUUUGUGAUAGCCAGAGUGCUUUAGAUUUGAGUAAGAAUACCAUGUACCAUGCUAGAACAAAGCACAUUGAUGUUAGAUAUCAUUGGUUACAUUCAGUGAUUGAAGAACAGCAGAUGUUAUUGAAGAAAGUCCAUACUGAUAAGAAUGUAGCAGAUAUGUUGACGAAGAUACUUCUCAGGAAAAAGCUUGAGCUUUGCAGUAACUUGGCCGGAAUGAGUUCCCUAGCCAAGGUAAGUUCCAAAUGAAAUUGCUAUGGUGAUGAAUUUCCUUCUAAUGGGACUGGAGGGGGAGAUUGUUAGGAAAAUGGGGUCCAGUCCCAUGUAAGUGGUUUUGAACUAAGUAAAGGCCAUGGGCCUUGAUCUUUUAUUUUACACAGAGCCCUAGCUACUUAAAAAAAAAAAGAGGUGGGGUUGUUAUAGGUGUGUGUCGAAAACCAAGCAAAAAAAAAAAAAAAGCCAGGAAAAGCAGAGAGAGAAAAAAGAGAAGGGAGAGUUGGUUGAACGGAAGUCAAUCCGUGGUUUGAUUGAGUUGGAACCUUGUCAGGAGGUUUAUGAUUCAGAGUUCUACAUUCUGAACGGUGAAGAUCAGGUUUGAAGCUCUCUAGGAACAAAUUCAGGGUGUAUUUGUUGAGUCACUUAUUUGGUGAGAUUUCUCCAAUUGUUUCUCUAGUUGUUGAUUAGCUCUAGUUUUAGCUAGAGAAGAACUUUGUAUAACUAUUAUUUGAUAGUGAAGAUUUUUCUGGUGGCCCGUGAUUUUUUCCCUCUACACUGGAGGGUUUUUCACGUAAAUCUUAGUGUGCUUUAUUUUUCCUACGUAUUUGAUUAUUGAUUGCUGUCUAUUGCUUUUGUAUUGUUGUGAUUAUUGCUUCAGGCGCAACAUAUACUAUGGUCGAAAGUUGCAAACUAUUGAAGUUUUUUAUGCCAAAAUCUAUAAAAACUUUGAAGUUUUGGCAUCUUAUUCUUAAUGCCCUUGUAAAAAGUGAGUUUUAAAGAGAUAAAAAGAGAAAAAAAGAAAAAAAUAUUGAUGAAUUACAAAAAUUCUUUGCUUUUUACUAUCCAUACUAAAUAUUGAAUUAAGUCAUUUAAGAGGUGCCUACUCAUGACAACCCACGCCUCAACCCAGAGAGACUUGAAUCAUAAUUAACCCAAGUUGUGUAACAAGCCAAUUAAGCCAUUAACCAAGCCGAAUAAGCAAUUCAUGUAGUUUUUUUUUUCUCUUUUUUUUGUUAUUUAUUUUUAUGUAUAUUGAAAUUUUAAUUUUUAGAUAUAUAUUUUAAUUAUUUGAUAAAAAUAAAAUUUUAAAAUUUUAUUUUCAUAAUAUUAAAUAAUAUUAAAUAUAAAUUAAUAUUAUUUUUAAUAAUUUUAAAAUAAGUAAAAAUUGAACCAAUGAUUAAAUUUCAAAAAAUUUUAGGCAUGCAAUUUUUCUUGAAAGAUUUUGGGCGAGAACUUCUUUAAAUUCCACCAAAAUGAUUGAGAAAUUAAACAAUAAUUUCAAUAUCAAGUAUUUUCAUUUAUUUUAAAAAAUAUAUGAAAAGAUUUAAAUUAAUAGAAAAUUAAUCGUUAAAAUAGAAAAGGAUAAAAGGGUUAAAAAUGUAAUAGACAAUUGUAUAUAUAUUUUUACUCCAUAAUAGUUGAUAAAUUUUCAAAUAAAUCGGGAAUAUGACUAAUGAUGGAAUUCAAAAAAAAUUAACGGACUUGUAAAUUUUUAGAAAUUUCAAGGCAAAAAAACUUUUUAAAAUUUCAUCAAAAUAUUGGGGUAUUUAAAAAAUAAUAUUUUAUUUCUAAAAUAACAAAAUAAAAGAGAAAAAUAUUACAAUUAAUUUAAAAUAUUUUUAAAAUGAUAAAAUAAUUAUUUCUAAAAAUAUUUAAUUAAUUCAAUGAUGAAACUACUUUAAGAAAACAAUAAUGUUUUUUUUUUUUUUUCGCAUACUCUUGUGGUAAAAAAAUAAAACUAGUAAUUGUAGACACAUCAUUUAAUUUAAUGAUGAAAUUUUAAGAAAUUCAAAGGUGAGCAAUUUUCUAAAAUAUUUUUAAGUGAGAACUUCUCUAAAUUUUACCAAAGUAUUGGAGAAUUUAGAAAAUUAUUUCAAUAUUACGAAUUUUCAUUUCUUUCUAAAAAUAAAAAUGCAAAAAUUAAUUUGAUAGAAAAGUAAUCAACAAAAGAAUUUUCAUUUAUUUCUAAAAAUAAAUAUGACAAAAAUUAAAUUGAUAGAAAAUUAAUUGAUAAAAUAAAAAAGGAUAAAAGAGUCAAGAAUGUAAUAGAUAAUUGUAAAUGUAUUUUAUCACAUAAUGUUUAAUAAAUUUUGGAAUAAAUGGCAAAUUUGACCGAUUAUGGAAUUUUAAGAAAUUUAUGAGCAUGAAAUUUUCUUAAAAUUUUCUAUGUGAGUAAACUUCUUUAGAUUCUACCACAACAUUAAUCAAGUUAAAAACAAAUUAGAAAAUAAAAGGUUUCCACUCUAUUUUCAAGACAAUAAAAUUAAAAGAAAUAGUUAAAAUUAAUUUAAAAUAUUUUUAAAAAUGAAUUAUUUUUUAUAAAAUAUUUAAUUAAUCUAAUGACGAAACCUCUUGAAAAAAAAAACGGACGUAUUUUUUUUAAAACUAUUGAAGUGAAAAAAUUAUUUAGAUGUUCGACUAAAGUGUUGGAGAAAACCUAGUAAAAAUUUUUAUUUUUAAACAAUAAAAAAUGAAAAAUAUUAAGAAUAGAGAUCAUUUUCAUUAAGUCUAUUAAAGAUAAUAUAAGAUUAAUUGAUAUCAUCAUUUGAAUGUUCAUUGUGAGAAUGUUAAUACCAUCCCUAUAAACUUAGUUCUGCAACAUAAACCAAAAAUCUGUUCUUUUAAAGUCAUUUAAUCAAGCUUAAAACUAUUCUAAAAGGAUAAAUUUAUUUAAGUAACCAAUCACACCUAAGUAAAAAAUUUGUGAUAAUUACUUUAUUGAUAUUUAGUGGUCAAAUUCAUAGAUUCGCAUGUUAUAAAAGAUAUAAUCAUCAUUUCUUUAAUAAAUAUAAUAUUGAUUACUAAUAGAAAAUAGAAUUUAUUGAUACAAGAGAUGGUAUUAUUCCGAUCUUUAAUGAUUUUGAAAUAAGAAAAUUUGGAUCUCAUGAAUCACAUUGAGGUCAAUAGUUAUCAUUUCUCCAUUUCAUGGGUAAAAAUUCUAUCCAAUGAGUUUUAUUUCUUCAAAAUCAAUGUGUUUGUUAUGAUUCUCAUACUGAUUUUUCAAUCUUAAAAUUAACUUAUCCAGAGUGAAAAGAUUUGAAAGCCAUAAAUAUUUUUCUCCUUAAAGGUCACUCUUCAGUAGUCUAGUUCUCCAACCUUAAAAGGAUAUAAGGGAUUAUAAUGAUCAUCAAUUCCAUGACUCAAAUUUUUUUUCAAAAUUAUUUCUAAAAAUAUUUAAUUAAUCCAAUGCCAAAACUUCUUUAAAAAAACAAGAAUGUUUUUUGAAUACUCUUAUGAUGAAAAACUUUUUUAGGGAUUCAACCAAGGUGUUAAAAAAAAUCUAAGAAAAAUUUUUAAUAUUUAAAUAAUAAAAUAAUAAGAAAAAAGUAAUGAAAAAUGUUAAUUAUAGAUAUUAUUUUAACUCAGGCUAUUAAAGAUAAUAUAAACUAAUUCUAAUGAAAUAGUAAUUUCUAAAGAGAUAAUAGAAAAUACAAUUAAGAGUGAAAAACUUGAAAGAGAUGAGGCAAAAAAAGGUGUUGCAUCUAAAAAGAAAGAGAUGCUCAAUCAAUGAUUUGUGAAGGGCAACGGGUAGUAGGUUGUUACUCUACACCAUUCUUAUCAGAUAAACCAAUUUUACCAUCAAACCAUAUAUAACAUCUUUCAAAAGUCUUUAUCUUUAUCAACCAAUCCCACAAUUAACCUUUCAAGUAAACCCUUGCUUUCAAAUAAUUACACUUACUCUUAUCUCUUAAUCUAUUAUCCAAUCAGUGAGUAACUGAAGAUGACAAAGAAACAUUCAAGAAAAAUUUUCAAUUCCAAUUCCUAAUCUUUUGCCUUUACUAGUAAAACUUCAAUACCUUACGUUGUACCUUUGAAAAUAACUCUAAAUCCAUCAAUAAGUAUGAGCCAAAUAACAAAUGCAAUUAUCACAUUAGAAACAACCAAUUGAAAGAAAAGAUUAAAGCACCUAUUAAUAGUUGCGCCUUCACUCAGGGAACUUAUAAAACAAAGGAAAUUUGCCCUGAUGUAGAUUAAAUUUCCAUUAUGAAAUUUGAGGGUGUGGAUUAUCCUCUCAAACUUUCAAUUUGUAGGAACAUUCCAUAUUUUUUAAAGUUUGCAUUUUAAUGUUAUAGGCAAUAAAUCUUUAGUUCUCUUAAUUUUGUUUGCAAUUGUUUGAAUAUAAAUUCCUGCAUAAUUUAUUUCCCAAAUGAAUUCUAAGCCUAAGUCCUUCAAAUCUUCAUUCAACACACCUCAAGUAAUUCUCUUGUCCCUCUUUAAGAAAGUCAAUUCUAAACCUUCUUCAAAUUUUUUCUUAAAUUUUAGAGGAAAUCUCAUCAUCUCUCCCAUUUCGAACCUCCAAAACACUUUUCUUAUGAGUCCAUAGCCACCGGAGUAGCCUAAAACCGCGAUCAAAACUUCCAACUUAUUACAAACCUCCGUCUAACUUUUUGUGAAAACCUUGAAAAACCUAAUCUGUCAUAGUCAGUCAAUAAGCAUACCCUACUAUCACUCACCACAUCACCUUGCCUUCUCACCUAAAUUCACAUCACUUCCCACAUCACUAGGCAUAUCAUCCGACCACAUCAUCUCAACCAUAUCAUCUUUCCAAAUCCAACCAAAACUCUGUCUAAAUGGUCAAAGUCCAACCAAAACUUUGUCCAAAAAGCCCAAUCAAAUCAAAACUGUACUCAAAGAUCUUAAUCCAACCAAAACUCAACCUUAAAAGUUACUAUUUCACCAAAACGCUCUAAAGAGUCCCAACACCAAAAUUUUGUUCGAAAAGUCCAUGUUAGACUAAAAUUCUUUCAAAAGGCUUAAUCUAGCUAAAGCUCGAUCUUAACCUAGUCAAGAUGAAACAUAGCUACACUAAACCCAAUUCACAAGCCCAGACCUCUAGUUGCCCUAUUGGACUUUGUAUUAGGACAAUCUUCUAAGGUAUAAUUCCUAAAAUCUUUAGACAUCAUAGAGCUCUUAUUAAAUUAUGUGCAAGUGACAUAUCCUUUAUGAUCAAAUAUUAUGUAGUCUUAGGCAUGCGUAAUGUAUACCAUUUAGUUAUAAUUAGGACUUAUUUUCUUGUUAAAGGCGGUGACAAUUUUUGCAAUGUAAACUCAUAUCUAGAAUGUGUUGUAAAAUCUUGUCAUAUAGAUUAGGUAUAAAUAAAAAUCAUUUAUUUCUAUUACGAAUUUAGAAUUUUAAUAUUACGAAUAUUAAAUUGAUAGAAAAGUAAUCAACAAAAGAAUUUUAAUUUAUUUCUAAAAAUAAAAAAAUUUUAAUUGAUAGAAAAUUAAUUGAUAAAAUAAAAAAGGGAUAGAAGAGUUAAGAAUGUAAUAGAUAAUUGUAAAUGUACUUUAUCCCAUAAUGCUUAAUAAAUUUUGGAAUAAGUGGGGAAUUUGCCUGAUUAUGAAAUUUUAAGAAAUUUCUGAGCGUGAAAUUUUUUAAAAAUUUUUUAUUUCUUAAAAUUUUUUAUGUGACUAAACAAUUUAAAACAUUAGAAUAUCAAAGAUUUCCACUUUAUUUCCAAAAUAACAAAAUUAACGGAAAAAUAUUAAAAUUAAUUUAAAAUGUUUUAAAAAUAAAAAUGAAUUAUUUUGUAAAAUAUUUAAUUACUAUAAUGAUGAAGCCUUUUGAAAGAAACGGACGUAUUUUCUUGAAAACUAUUGAAGUGAAAAAAUUAUUUAGAGGUUCGAUCAAAAUGUUGGAGAAAAUAUAAGAAAAAUUUUUAUAUUUAAAUAAUAAAUAAAGUAAUGAGAAAUAUUAAGAAUAAAGACCAAUUUAAUUAAGGCUAUUAAACAUAAUAUAAGAUUAAUUAAUAUCAUUCUUUAAUGGUCACUAUGAGAAUGUUAACACCAUCCCUAUAAACUUAAUUCUAUAAUGUAAACCAAAACCUAUUCUUUUAAGAUCCCUUAGUCAAACUUAAAAUCAUUUUAAAAGAAUAGAUUUAUUUAAGUAAUCAAUCAUACCUAAUAAAAAAAUUCUUGAUAAUUACUUUAUUGAUAUUUGUGAUUAAAUUCACAAAUUCACAUGUUAUUACAGAUAUAAUCAUCAUUGGUUUAAUAAUUAUAAUAUUGCUUACUAAUAAAAAAGAGAAUUUCUCAAUAUAGAUGGAAAAAGUGAUUAUUCUGAUCUUUAAUGAUUUUGAAGCAAGAAGAUUUGGAUCUCAUGAAUGGGGUCAAUAGUUAUCGUUUCUCCAUUUUAUGGGUAAAAAUUUUAUCUAGUGAGUAUUUUUUUUCUUCAAAAUAAAUGUGUUUGAUAUGAUUCUCAUGCAGAUUUUUUAGUCUCAAAAUUAAUUUAUCCAAAGUGAAAAGAUUUGGAGGUGUUAAUAAGGUUAGCAUCAAUUUUUAUAAUAACCUCAUAAAUACUCUUCUCCUUAAAGGUCACUCUCUUAGUAAGCUAGUUCUCCAACCUUAAAAAGAUGUAAGGGGCUAAACUAAUCAUCAAUUCCAUGACUCAAAUAUUAAUGUCAACAAAAUGAUUUUAAUUUCUUCUAUCUCGCAAAUCUAACCUUUCCGUAAUUGGCUCAUUGUGAAUUCUAAAUAAAAACAUAUAGCAAACUAAAAUAAAAUUCUUCAAUUUAAAUCGAGAAGAACCAAAAAGAAAGAGAGAAGAAGAACCUGAUGAAGAGGAAAAAUAGCUUUUCAAACAAAAGAAAUUUUGCCGUCAACUCCUAAAUUUCUUGCUGCACGAGUUAAGUUCAAAAACUUAGAAGAUUGUAUUCCAAUAGCUCCUCUUCUGGUAGCAAUGAUACUUGAUGUAUACUAAAAAUUUAAACAUAAUAAUCAGAGAUAAGUAUUCAAAGCGUAAAGCAAAAUAUACGUUCAGCAAGCAUUACAAAAUAAAACAGUAACAAGAACUUGAUGAGGAGGAAAAAAGCUUCUCACAUAAAAGAAAUUCUGCCGUUAACUCCUAAAUCUCCUGCUAUAAUGAACCCUAAAACUCUUUCAGAGUUAAGUUCAAAAACUCAAAAGAUUGUGUUGCCAACGACUCUUCUUCUGGUUGUAAUAAUACCUAAUAUAAACUAGAAAUUGAAACAUAAUAGUCAGAGAUAGGUAUUCAAAGCAUGAAGCAAAAUAUAUGUUCAACAAGUAUUACAAAAUAAAAAAAUAACUAGACCUACUUACGUUAACAAUAUGGAAGUACCAUGCAAAUGGACAACAAAGCCAAUAUGAAUGAAAUAUAUAUUCAAAAAUAAAUUUAUAAGUAUUAAAAAUCAAAUAAAAUUUAUUGUUAUAAGGAAACCAAGUUUUAUUGUUGCUAAUUCAUUUGCUCUCAUGCUUCAUUGCAAGAUUUAUUGACUUCAAAAUUUUUAUAAGUAAAUAGGUAUAAGGAUUAAUAUACUAAAAUAAAGUAUAAUCGAUUUCUCUUUUGGCAUAUUGUCUAUUGUUUAGUUUUUUUUUCUUUCCCUAUAAUGGGCAACAACUUCAGUAUUAUGACAUAUUAUACAGUUUAAAACAGGAACACAAACAUGCAAUAAGGAUGAGAUACCACACAAACACGAAUAAGAUGGCAGAAUAAUUUAAAAAAAAAAAAAAGACAUGAAUAUGAUAAAACACAAUAAUAAUAAUUCUUUUAUAUAUUUUUACAUUAAAAUACUCAAUAUAUAUGUAAAUAUCAAUUUUUAAAUGUUUCAUUAUUUUUCAAUUUAAAAUUAUAUUUUCUAAUAUAUAAAAAUUCUUAAUUAUAUAAGAAAAAAAUUAUUUUUAAAUACAUACAAGAUAUUAAUUAUUUCAAAAUGAUGAAAUAACAAUAUAACUCAAAAAAUUACUUUCUAAUUUCUUUUUUUUGCUUGGUUUUUUUUUUUUUUUUACUUUUUGGUGUAUAAAAACAAAAAGCCAAAAAUCAUGUUUGGUCUACUAAAACAUGCCUACCCCUCCCAUGAGAGACCCACACUAUCCCUUAUUUUUCUUUUUCUUUUCUUCCCAUUCUUUUUUGCAUUUCUUUUUUUUUUUUUUUUGCUUUUUUUAUUUUCCUAUUUUCUUUCCCUAGCUCCUACCAGUUUUUGACAACCGCUUUGUCAUCAUAACCACUAUCGGCUAUUGCCCAUCGAUAUUGAAAAAUUAUUCAAAAACUAUCGGUAAAUGCAUCUAACCUUCUUUUUUCUUCUUAUCUAACAAGAUUUUCAAAAAAAAAAAAGCUAAAUCUAAAAAAAACCUGUCAAGAUGGUGUGCAACUAAAUUUUUUUUUUUUUUUAUCGUGUCCUAGCUUGGUAUGUAUGUAUUUUACUGUGUUGACAAUGUGUUCGUGUCAAACACGAAUACAACAUCGAUACAAAAAGAGUAGCCGCACGUCCAUGCUUUGUAGACAUACAGUGGGCGAAGCCAUGAGACGUGAGACCAGAUCGCUCCCUUCUCCUCUCUCUCCUCCUCUGCUAUGUCAUUGCAGGUGCUAUUGUUCUUUUAGCUCACAUAUCAAUUCUAAUGAGUUAGAGUCACCUAAUUGAUUAUCAAUUUUAAAUCUUUUUACAAACAUAUGAUUUCCAUUUUAAUAUUUUAUUCACUUCAACAAAAGCAGAACACCUCUUUAAAACAUUUUUAGAAAAUUUUGCAACAUUAAGAACUUUAAAGAAAUUAAACCUCUUCUUCAAGCAAAACUUUCAACCAUGAUAUGAUACCCAAUUUCUACUAAGUUGAUAAAGAAAACUGUAAAUAAGAAACGUUGCUAACUAGAAAAAUUCCAACGCACCAUAGAAAGGUAUCAAUUAAAUAACAAAAAAAAAAAUUAAUAACUAGCAAUUACCAUGUAAAUGGAAAGUAUCACAUGCUUUCAAGCAAGUUUUACUAUUAUACCUAGAAAAAUAUAUAUUAUUUUAAAAUAAAUUGUAAAACAAAAAAAUAAAACAUACAUGAAGCUAGAAAAAGAGAGAAGCAAUUACAGUUUCAAGAGACUUAAGAGAAAUUUUUUCUUACAAUUGCUAAUGAGAGUAGGUCGAACGAAGGGAAAAUGGUGAACUACGGAAGAAUGAGUAAAGGCUUUGGUUUAUGGAGGAUUUGGAUGGAGAAGGUAGAAAAAAGAAGAGCUAAGGAAAGAAAGAGUCAAAGCAAAGAAAGUACGGACAAGUUUAUCGUUCAAAGACUUGGACUGCGGUCUUUGCAAAUUAAUAAAAAGUUUUAAUAAAGUUUCAACAAAUUAGUUUGAAAAUAUUAUGGCAAAAAGAUUAGUCAGAAAGAAAAAGGUAUUUUCGAGCUCCUUGAACCACUCGUUUAUAAUGACAUAUAGCUGUGAAAAUAAGAGAGAAUCAAUUAUUUAAAUAUCUGAUGUAAGUAAUGAUGUAAAAAGUUAUUUUUAAACGAAAAUAUUAAUUUAAAAUUUAAUUUAAUUAAUUUAUAAAAUUAUUUUUAAAAAAUAAUACUUAUAAUAUUUUUUAUUUCAAACUACAACUUUGUUUAUAAAAAAAUCAUUGUUUAUAUUUUGAAUUUAUGCAGUUAAUUUUUUUGAUUGAAAAAAAAUUUAAGAAUAGAGAAAGUUAUUUUAUUUUUAACAUCAUGAUAAGUUGUUAAAUCGUAAAGAGACUUAUAAAUUUUUAAAAAAAUUUUGAAUUUAUUAAUUAUCUAUUUAUAAAAAAUUAUGAAAAUUUAAAUCUGAAUAUUUUAAGUUCAAAAUUUAAAUUUUAAUCACUUGUGUUAAUUUUAUUGACAUUUAUACACUUAAUUUAUAUUUACAUAUACCUCCAGUUGUAACAAUUUCAUUAAAAUAAUAUAACCAAAAUGUACUUCUAUCAGUUUUAUUUAUAGAAUCAAAAGAAAAGUUUCUGUCAACUGAAUUAAUUUAUAAUCAAUUAAUUACAUAUGGUCAUCCAAUUAAAAAUUGGUGAAAUUUAGGAGGUAGGCCAAUUGUAGUUUAUAUUCUAAAAUGCAGAAGACAAUUGAAUCUAAAAUAUAUUAUUAUUUUUUUAAAAAAUAACUAAUAAAUUUAAUAUUUAAUAUUUAUAAUUUUUUAUUUUUAUACUGUUAUUUUUUAUAUAAAAUAAAAUAAUCACACUGCAGCUGAUUGUGGAUUACCUGAAGUGUGACAACCCCAUUCUAAUACAAUAUAUUUAAAGGGUAUAUAAGAAAACUAAGGCAUGUAACAUCAUGAGAAAAAUCAUGGAUGGAAAACAGCUUAGACUGUGUUUUCUUGAAAAAUGGAAGAACGUGUGUUGACAAUAUAAUUGCUAUGAAUUGACCUUCUUUAAUUGUGAGUAGCUUCUUCACCUCUUCCUUAAGCAGUCCUUGACAGUUGGCACACCAAGAAUACCGAUAUUCUCUACGUUUUAUGCUACUUGAUUAAAAAGAAAAAAAAAAAAAAGAAAGAAAAACACUUUUACUUAGAACAUAUUAAUUUGAUAGUAAAAGUUGUUUAAUGGCAUAUAAAUUAUAUUAACCACACAGAGUGACAAGGCCCAUAGAUUUAAUUAUAUUUUUAUAUUCUAAUUGAAUUAUUGUGGAUGACUAACAAUGGAUUUUUAAAAUUUUAAAUUUAAUUCAUUUGAUUUUCUUUUAUGCAAUUAUUUUAUGAGAUUAAGUUUAAUAAAUCAAAUUCAAACUUUAAUAUUUAUACAUUUUUUAUUUUCAAACUGUAUUUUUUUUACUAAAAAAAUCACAUUAUUUGGCCUUUAGACUCCAACAACUCACCCUUAUAAAAAAUUUUAAAAAAAAUUAAUGGCAUAAUCAUUCAAGAAUUCAUUUUGAAGGUGCGAAACAAAAUUCACACUAAAAUUUGGUGCUACUUGAUAUUAAGAAGUCCAAGAAAUACCAAAACCAAUCCUUAUUUAAAUAACUUGUAAUAAUUAAUAGUGAAAAAGUAAAAAUAAAGUAAAUUCUUAUAUAAAUUCAUAAAUAUUCCCUCCAUCCCAAAUUGCUUUAUGGUAUUGAAUUUCCUGAAAAUUUAAAAAAAGAAAUUUGAUUUUAAUGUAUCUAAUAUUAAAAUAAAUUUUUUUAUAAAAUUAAAGUUUCAUGAUUUUUAAUAUUAAAAAGUAAAAAAGUAAAUUUUAAAUAUAAAAAAGGAAAUAUUUUAAAUAUUUUAAAAAUAGAAUAUAAUUUUAAGAUAUUACAAAAAGAAAAUAUGGAUAAAGAAAAUGAAACAGAAAAAGUAUGUAAUAAUUCUCAUAGAAAAUUUUUUACAUAUAAAAUAAUUGUUCUUUAAUAACUUGUAACUAUUAAUUAUUUUUAUUAAUUAAUAUAUAAAUAAUUAUGUUAUUAUUUUUAUUAAAAAACUUUAAAGUCUUUAAUGAUAUUUUUUUUCUUUCAUUUCACUGCCAUAAAUGUUUUUGACGAAGUUGCUCCAUCACUAGUUUGAAUCUUAUCCAUCAACUCUCAUAAUCAUCGUUGGAUGAUCAAUCUCAAUAUCACCACUGUUUUUAUUUUCUCUACAGUGAAUUUCAUUGCUAUGCUAAAUAGGACCUAAGGGGCUUUGGUUGUGACUCACCUACUCGCAACUAUUACCUUGGUUUUGUUGGUAGGUCGUAAAAAAAAAUGGAAAAUUGAUUGAAAUCAUCUUCUUUGACUCAAUUUAAAUGUUUAACUAUAUAAUUAAAAUCAAAUACUCAGCAUUAAAUAAUUUUAGUUCAACUAUUUAGAAUUGCUACAGAUUCUAUUUUUCUACCCCAAACUUUUAGUUUCUACUAAAUUAGUCUAUUUAUUUUAAACACAAAAUCAGACAUAUUUUUCACUUAAAAAUAAUUUUGCUUUUUUAAAAUUAUAGAAUUCGAUUAAAUAAAUAUGCAAGACUUAAUUAUGCUAAUUUUAUACCAAAAAAAUAGUAAUUAAUACAAUAUAAUAAACAUACUAAAGUUUUAAUCACUCUUAAAUAUGAAUCCCAAAGAUGACUGAUAGAAAUUGAUAAGUUAUAAAAAUAUUCAAAUUCAAUUAUUUACAUAAAAAUAAUAUAUGUUUUCUAGCGAAAAAAUUAAUUACAUUAAUUAUAUUAAUCUUAAUUAUAUAUUUGAAUAUAUAUGGCUUAUGGAAGAGAGGUUUGUACUUGUGUUUGUGUAUUAUCACUUUAUAAUUUAAUUGAUAGAUUAUAUGCAUUCACUUUGACAAAAUGAUAAAAUCCAAUCUUGGGGAAUGAUUGUAUUGUUAUAAUCAAAAUGAUAUUUAAUUAGAAAAUGAUUGAGUCCAUCUGUUUUAUGCAGCGUCUACUAACUAUGGUUGUCUUGAGAGGUCAUUUGGUCUUCCUCCAUAAAAGCAUGAUACAAUGGGAAAAGUUUAAGCUAGUAAGGGAUGGUCUUCCUCCAUAAAAGCAUGAUACAUGCUAGAAUUGUGAUCCACUGUGGCCAGUUGACAAAUACUGAUAUCCCGAGUUCAGUUGUUUGAACAUAGCAAUAAUUAUGGGUUGCAUUAGAAAUUCAAGCUCCAAAAAUUGCCUAAAAUAAGCUUUGAUGUUUUUGCGUUCAUUUUGAAGGAAGUAUUAUUGAGGGUUUGCAUAAUAUAUGAGACAGUUAUCGGAGUAGCAUUCUGAUUCAAUUUAGACUCCUUUGGAAACAGGCCUUUUUCGCAAGCUCCUUUCACUUGAAAUUGAGCUGAAAUUCUGCAGAAUAAAUUGAGAAUAGUUAUUUAUAAGCUUCUGCAGAAUAAAUGGAUGCUUGAGUUUGUGUUCUUUCAUGUCAAGACAAGACACACCCCUGAUUUGAUGAUUGAAAUGAGCUCCUCUUGAGAAUAAUGACUUAAAUCCUAUAAUAGAUUUUUUUUAGAUUGAUCAGAUAUUGUUUGAUUGAUAAUAAAACUUGCAAAAAAAAAAUUUUAAGAGAAAAAAUUUUUAAUCGGUAAGUUUGACUUGCAAGAGAAGAAUUUUAAGAGAAAAUAGAUUUUUAAUAAGCAAAUUUGUAUGAUUAUAAAUAAGUGAAGUCUUUACAGGGUUAAGUAUAAGAAAAAUAUGUAAGAGAGUUAUAGGAUUUUGUGAAAAAGACACCCCAAAUAAAUAUUAGGACUUUACGUCUUAUAAAUAUGUAUGUUUAUUUGUGAGUGGACUAAAAAAGACUGAAAAGAUCCACAUAAAUAUGAUGUAUGAGUACAUAUAGAUAUGUAUUUGAUUUUGUUAAAAAGAUACACAUGAAUAUGUGUUUAUUUAAGUUGAUAAUACUUCAUAAGAUCAAAGGAAAUUGAAAAUAUCUUAUGAGUAUUGAUUGCUGAGUGAGAUUAAAAAUUUGAUUUGUAUGUUUAUAAUUUUUUACAAUUAGUAAAUCUUAUUUUUCAUUCGUGAAUGUAAAUUAAUUAAACUGAAUCACGUUAAAUUAUUAUCUCUGUUUGAUUCAUUAUUUGAUUAUACUUCUACUGAUAUGAUUGGAUUGAAGCUUUUUAGCCUAAAAAGUGGUAUCAAAGCUGAGGUAAUUUUUCCAACACUCAAACCAAUACUCCAGCUCAGCAGCUGAAGCACUUUGUCUCAAUCGACGUAGAUGUUUCUUUAUGCCGAGCCAGAAUGCUUAUAAAGAUCUAAGAAGCAUAUCAAAAUGUGUAGUCACUAUUAUAAAUAGUUAAAACUUCAUACAUAAAGGCAAACAGUUUUCAAAGCAACUAUAAAAGAAAACGACAUGAAGCUGUGCUGCUUUACAUUGUUUAUCAUACAACCUCAGAUUCUUCAAAAGCUCAAUCCAGGCAAAGAUUUUAACUUGUGGCUACACCGAGCUGAAAGAUACAAUCAUCGGAAAAACAAGGGCUGUUGAUCAAUGCUUUAUGGAAAGGAUAUGUUAUGCAUCUAUAUGAAGAAUUGAGCUACAGUGGAAUGAAACUUCCAACAUUAUUGCACAACAGAAUAAUAUUAUAAAGAAUUUUAAUACUUACAUUUAGAAUAUCAAUUUGGCUUUUACACACGUUCCCAGCUCAGCUAAUUUUACCUGCUUGAUGCAGUUCUUACGCUAUCUUAUCAUUUCUGCUUGCACCCCUGACACGGAGGAGCAAAGAUUUCUGUUGUAGGAAAGGAGCUGCUGCCAGAACAACUUGGAAACCACCAAUGAAUUGAAGUUCUUUCGUCCUGUCAAACAAGUUCCACAACAUCAGAGUUUUGUUUUGAAGCAUUUGGGAUAAAAAAUGGUAGCACCAAAAAGGGGAGAAAAAAAAAAGGAGAAAGUAAUCCUAACAAGGCUGGAAGUUUUCAUUAUGCUAAGUACGAUGAUUUCUUAUAAUAUAUGGCUUCUGAUCAUAAACAAGGAAUCUAUAUACUCAAGAGUAUAACAUAUGGAUUAUGGAUGGUGGAACAUGAUUCACGGAUAUGGAAUGUUCAAGGCACUUAUUGCUGGUUCUGGAAGAGCACCUUAUUCAGUUUAAAAGACAUAAAUAUGGUACAUUAAACAUAAAAUAUAAUUGAUUUUGCUUAAAUAACUAUUUUUUCUUUGCAGCCUGUGUAUAGUAGUAAGAUUACCUCUUUCAUAGGAAACAAUGUUUCCCAUGGGGGAAUUUUAGCGCCACUGACACUGUCGUCACUCCUCAGUCCUCACUGCUAUUGCCGGCAAUAAAUCUUUAAUAUCUCAUCAUUCAUCAGAAAUUGAGUUCUCAAUGGAAUUGAGGCAGAGAUUUUGGUAUUGACCCAUUCAGGCUGCCAUAUGGUCAAUUUGACCGCAGUGAAGGCAAUGCAUACUUCAGCUAAGUAAACAGCAUUCUUCUUUUUCAGGUCUUUCCAUCUGCUUUUGCGAACCACUUUGUGUGCUCCUAUGAAGGCACUACUCACUAGCCUCUGCAACUUCCAACUGACUGAAGCCAAAAUUAGAUAUCAAAUUAAUCUUCACGCAUAUAAGAAGAUAACAAACAUUUAAUAAUUGAAACCAUUCUUGAAUGAUUCUGCAAAAAAAAAAAAACUCAGAAGUCAAUGAAACAAAAUGAUUAAUAGAUAUAAACAUUUAACACAUCUGUCCCGUUCUUGAAAUUGUCCUAUAGGGAAUUUUUACCAAACGACUGAAAGAAAUAUGUUUCAUAGAUUACAAAAAAGAAGUUUCUAAAUUUUCUAACUUUUAGUAAACAAUCCAAUGCCAUACUUACUCAGUCUUUUCUGUGAUCAAUCAUAGGCAAGGCAGAAAGGAAAUACACAUAAAGAACAGCCAAAGACAUAAGGAUAUCAUGAAUGAUUCAUGAACACAAGAUAAAAAUAUAUAUAGAAAUCAGCUAUAGGACCUACUCAUUCUGAAACUAUUCUGAAAUUUUCUUUUCAAAUGGUAGGAAAACAUUGAAUCUGUGUAUCAAACUUGGAGAGGACCAUCUGCAAGUUACAAUAACUUUUAAAUUAAACCAUUAUAUUCCAAGAUGGAAGGAAGAACCUCUUUCUCAAUUCUGCAAAUAUAGAUUACACUACAAUUAAAAGUUUUGCAUAAAAGAGAUUCAUCCGUUUCUAACAAAUGAGCUUCAAAAAUACCUGUCCCCAAUUUAACAAGCAGGAUUUUAUCAACGGUUAAACUUAAAAGGUCAAAGUCUGAAUUUGAUUCCUUUACUACCUCAAUCCUAUCGGUUUAGUCCAACUUCAAUUUUAAUGAAUUUAGUCCAUGUAUUUUUAUUAAAAAUAGAUUUUUUAUAUAUAUUUUCCAUUUCAUUGUUAAACAAAAAGCUAUGUAUGUAAUGGAUUGAACUAAUGAACAUUUUAUUAUGAAAUAUAAAAAAAAAAAUCAAGAAUAUAAAUCACUUGAGCACUUGAUUUAAUAGUGCCUUAAUGUUCUUCAAAUAAGUAGCAUAUAAUUGCAAAGUGACAUAUACCUGAUUUCUGGGCGUUUCUUCCGGUAACAAAUUAAAAAAUAUCAAUGCAAGGUAUGUGGGCUAUUUUGGGCCACUCUUGUCCUUCAUCCUUCCUGCAUCGUUCUCUUAGCAACGGACAGUCAGCAAUAUGAAGUUGAAAAAGUGAGUCAAACAUCUCCUUUUCCGGUUGGAAUUUGAGACCGGGGCAGUUUUUUAUUUCCAACGAUUCAAGAAAUUUAAGAUUUUGAAAGCCCUUGGAGGAUAGAGUUUCUAGGUUUGGAAAACCGUAGAUGGAGAGGAAGGUGAGAGUGAGGGGCAGAAGCAUAUCCUCACAUGGGAAUGACACCACAUCAAGAGAAGCACCGUCGAUGCACAAAUGUUUAAGGGAGGUGAGUUUGUGCAAACCCCGCUCGAUCACUGACUUGCAAAUAUUGGGUUGCGAGAUUGCAAGUGAAGUGAGAUUGGGAGGGAACCCCUCCUCUGGAAAUGAUAUCACACUUGGACAAUUAUAUAUGAACAAUUCUCGCAUCGAGACAGUGUUGUGGAUGCAGUUAGGUAAGGCAUGGAGUUUUUCACACUGAGAAAGGCUAAGCUUUCUGAGCUUGGUUAAUACACGAGGCAAAGAUCUCAAAUUAUCACAACUGCGGAUAGUUAUCAAUUCAAGGGAAGAGUUCUCUUCAAUUUCUUGAGCUAUGGACUCUACUGCUCCGCAACUACCAAUAUCGAGGUUUCUAAGCCCCAUAGGUAACUUGCCAUUGGAUGACAAGGAUGUCAACUUUUUACAAUCAUAAAUGUCAACAUGUUGAACCCUAAUAGGUAACUCGCCCCUUGAGGAUAAAGAUAUCAGAGACUUACAAUUUUUAAUAUCCAGGUGCUCUAGAAGAGGCGUGCUUUUGAUGUUGUUAUUUACUCCAUCCAGCAAAUACUGCAAACUCUCACACACUCUAAUGGUUAAACGUCUUAGAUUUGGACGCAAGUGCCCAUUUGAAAUUGAAAUCAAUCCUGGGCAUCUUUCAAUUCGUAGCACCGUAAGGGAUCUGUAGCUGUGUAGACUUUCUGAUAGCCUUUCUAGCCUUUCACAAUAUUUUACGCUCAAAUCUUCAAUAUUGCAAGGGAUUCCUAACUGCAUAUGCUCUUCCUUUUCGUCCUCUGCCCCUAUGGAAACAAGUCUUGAACAAUUGUCAAUUUCCAAAAAGCGAAUAGGCCUCAAAUGUGUUGAGGGUCCUUCCUCGUUCUGCCAUGAAGAAAUCAGCUCCUGGCAUCCACUUAUACAAAGACGUUCUGCUUUUAUCAACCCCUCCAUUGGAGAAGUGAAUUUUGAAAUGUCUGAAAGAGAGACACUUUUCAUGAAUGAGCCAGAAUUUGUACAAUUUGUAGACGCCACCUCUUGGCACCCAUAAAUUAUUAAGUCAGACAACUUUGGAAGGCUUGAUAGUGAAACUACCAACUGCUCACAUUCUUGAAUCACAAGUUCCUCCAAUGAAGGAAGACAACUAGGUAGAUUUCUCAGUUGGUAACACCACCAAAUCACUAGCUUCUUCAAUGAAGGAAGACAAUUAGGUAAACUUCUCAGUUUUUUACACCCAAUAAUCUCUAGCUUCUUCAAGGAAGGAAGACGAUUAGGUAAACUUCCUAACAACUUGGGGCAACCUUGAAUGAUGAGCUCCUGGAGGUGUUGCAAACUCCUUACAUUUUCAUCAACUUCACAGGGAUCCCAUUCCUCCCAUUCUGGCAUGUGCUCAAAAUGUAAUCUCUCUAGUGAGGGAAAUGCGUUAAUCGACAGAUCCUUUCCAAAAAAAUUAGCACCCACAUUUUUUACCUUACUCAUCCACCGCAUAGAAAGCGAUUUUAGCGACGGUAAUCUUCCAACAGCUGGUAAUAAUGUGCAAUUUGGACAGUAAUCCAGAUCCAGAAUCGAUAGGUUUUCAAAUGAAGGAUCUCCAAUCCAAUUUGGGAAUGUUUCACCUCCAUAAUAUUUGAUGGUGAGCCUUGCAAGCAUUUUAGGAGGUUGGAGUGAAUCCAACACGUCCUUGUGACUUUCUUCUCCUGCAGAAUUAUAACUCCACUCCAAAGCCAAAUCACGAAGGUUCGACUUAUAACAUAACCCAGCCACCCAUGCAUCUUGAGCUUGGACAACAUUCUGCAAUUCUGAAAUAACAAGUCUACCCUUAAGAUUAGACAAAGUUCCCAUCUCCCUUAUCUGACGGCCAGUGUUUUGACUCACAACAAAAUUUGUCAAUGUUUGGAGAUUGGUUAGUUCACUGAAUCCCAUUGGCAUCAUUUCUAUUGAAUCUGCACCUGUAAUGUCAAGAUGCGUUAGGUUAAUUAAAAAUCUCAUUUCAGAAGGAAACUCUUCAAGCAAAUAGCACCCCGGCAACAGCAAGGUCUCUAACUUGUAAAGCUUGCAUAUUGAAUCCGGUAGAGUUUUGAUUUUAGUGCCAGAAAAAUUUAGAUAACGCAGAUGCACCAAAUCUCCAAUAAUAUUGGGAACCUCCAUCAGGUAGCGCCCUUGUAAAGAUAACACCCUUAAGUGUUUAAAUUCUGGCAACAAAUCACUGAGAACUUGAUUAUAGAAAUUCGACCACCAUUCAGGCAUCUUCAACAGUAGGAAGGUUCUUAAACCCUUCUUUCCUUUGAAGACUUGGAAAUUUUUAAAUCUGUCUUUCCCACCACCAAUGUAAGAUGAAUGGCGGGCAUGACUGGAAACGUUCAAUGCCUUGUCACCCUCCACUCUGAAGCAUAUAUCUUUGGCAACUGAUUGAGCCAAAUCGUUAAUCACAUCAUGCAUUAUAUAUCGAGACUCAUCCUUGUUGGAUAUAUCAAAAAAUGACCUCCGUACAAGUUCUUGUAAGUACUCAUGACCCAAAUCUUCCUUUUUCUUUGUAGCUUCCACUCGCAGAAAGCCUUCUGCCAUCCACAAUAAGACAAUUUCUUCCUCGGUAAAUUCAUAGUCUUUGGGGAGUACGGCACAGUAAGCAAAACAUCGCUUCAGAUCUGCGGGAAGAUGAUGAUAGCUUAAUCGUAAAGCUGGAAUUAUGUUACUCCUCUCUUCUGAUAAAUUCCAAAUCUCACUUCCUAGUAUCUCUUCCCAUUUACCAAUUUCCACCUCAUUGCGCAAAAGGCCUCCGAUGGUCUUAGCUGCCAAAGGCAAACCCUUGCACCUUUUCGCAAUUUGUACACCAAAUUCUUCGAAGUUCGGAUGCUGACUAAAAUCUUUUGCUCCAAAUGCAUGUUGAGUUAAUAUAGAACAGCAAUCACCAUCUGACAACUCUGGCAGCUUGUAACCUGGGAUAGUACCCACCAUUAACGAAACCCUUUGACCACGUGUUGUCACAACAAUCGUAGCUCCUAUGCCAAAAGGGGACAUCACACGAGUCCAAUCAUCAUAGUUUUCAUGCCAAAGAUCAUCCAAAAUCAGAAGUAGUUUCUUUCCCUCCAGCUCCCUCUUCAAUUUUAUUUGAAGGUUAUUCAAAUCAUCUCUAACAUUAAAAGAUUCAGGACUAACUGAUUGCAAAAUUGAUUUCGUUAUCUCCUCCAUCUUAAAGUCGUCAGAAACGCAUACCCAUGCUUGAAAAUCAAAAUGCUUAACUACACGACUAUCAUUGUAGACAAGCUGAGCAAGCGUUGUUUUGCCAAUCCCUCCUUUGCCAAUGAUGGGAAUCACAGAAAAUUUAUUGCUAUCAUCACUCCCAAAAAUCAAGUCAAGGAUUGUUUCCUUGUCUUUUUCCCGACCGUAGACUUGAGUUUCAUUCACCAAACAAGUGGUUGAUCGCCAUUCCGAUGUUCUCUUGGGCCUCCCACCACCAUUUUUCGUCAAAGCCAAGAGACUUAUAUCUGCUUCUAAAUCUUGAAAUCUAGCAGUGAUCUCUUUUAUCUCGGACAUCAUUUCCUUAUUAAAUGAUAAAUUAUGACCCCUGAACCAGGUAAAGCAAGCAUCAACAAGCUUUUGUAACUUCCUUGGGCGGUGUUCUUGAUGUUCCCUCGUUAACUUGAGUCUCAAAGCUUCAGUAGCAAACUUAUCCAAUAUGUCAUCCACAUCGUAUGCCAAGUCUUGGAGCUGGCCCAGCCAACUCUUCACGUGCCCAUCAUUCAUUUCCUUCUCCUCGGCAUCAUGUAGCACUGCAUGAAUAUUGCGCAAUGUCUUUUCCAACUUGUUGAGCUCCCCGCAAACUUCCUUCUCAGUUACAAUGUUGAGAAAUUCCGAAGAGGCCAAAUUACUAAACAACCCUUCAAAGAACACAGAUAAAGCAGCUUCAACGACGGACAUGGCUUUUGACCUGCAGAAACAGAAAGACUAUGUGUAAAAAUGAUAUAGGGAUAAACUGAAAAAGAUUUGAACUAGAAGUAGAACACAACCAACAACCACACCAGUACUGAAUCUGAUCUUGGUAUAUUUCUAUGUGGCUUAUAUCUCCGCGGUAAUUUUUUCUAAUACUCCCAUUACUAAUUAAGAAAGUUAAUGGACUCCUUAAUAAGAUUAUUUUAUUAGUGAGUUGUUAAAGUUCACAUGGUUCUGCGAGAAAAAAUCAACAAAGGCUAGGCAAAUUUUAGAUUAUUUAUUUUUUGGUGACAUUCGUGACUAAUGUAUCCUAUGCUUGGUUUUUGUUCUGUAUUCAUAUUUAAUUCUGUAAGUUCUAGUUUUUUUAAUUGUGUGUACAAUAUAUAAUUCAAAAGCAUUAAUUGAUUUUUUUUUAUGCUAAUAAUUCCUUCUCAUUGAUAUGGUAAGUCUAUUCUGUUAAGAGUACAUGUUCCACAAGUAUACCUGGGUUUAUGGUUUUUUUUUUUUUUUGUUAUCAUUUUAUUCAAUAUAUUUUAAUAUACCUUCUAAACAUUUUAAUAUCUUUUUUAUAAAUUGAUUAAAUUGUUGGAUGUUGACAUAAGUACAUCACCCAUACUAAUGAUUUGCCUAAUCCUAUGAUGGUUGGAUUCCUAAAUUUUGCGCCGUUGUGUCGUUUGCCUUUAAGUUUUUAUUAUUAUUCCAAUCAGAUUAUUUGUUUGUCUACAGAUGAAAAUUGGAAUAUCAAAAAAGUUAGACAAUGUAUGUAUUUUUUUUCUAUAUUUAUCUUAAAUUAAAACCAAAACCGUAAUUUGCAACUUGCAAGUUGUUUUUAAAAACCAAAAAUAAAAUUUUAAAAAAUUUUGAAAACUAUUCAAAAUACCAAAAAAAUAUUUCUAAUAUUUUGAAAAUACUUUCAACAUUAUUAAGUACUAUUCAUCUAUUCGAUUAUAAUGCUCGGUAAAGUUAAAAAUAUGAUGUUUGAAAAUUAAAAAAAAAAUUAUUGUUGAUAAGAUUUGAACUCAUAUCUUCUUACAAAUUAAAAUUUUAAUCACUUUAUUUAAUAAAUUACUCUUCUCAAAUUUUUGGAAAAAAAUUAUAUCAAAACACGUUUUAAAAUUUAAUUAAAUGAUAAAAUUUAAUCAAAAACAUAAAAUUGGCAACUAUAAAAAACCACCCUGUACCAAAUUCCAACUUUGUUUUUCUUAAAGUAAAUGUAUCUGUGUUGAUUUGACAUAAGGGUAAAUCCAUUUCUACUAGCAAUUGGCUGAUAAAAAAAAAGGUAGACCAUAUAUCAGAAAAUUUUUUUUAUCAAGCAAAUUUUAAAAAUCAUUAAAAUGGUAAAAAUUUUGAUCUACCAGCAUACAACAAACAAAUCGGAACUCUGAAAUCUAAAAAGAAAAACCACUUUUUAUAACAUUCUAUUAUCAAAUAUUGUAAGUAUCCCAUUUAAUCUGAAAUUUUAAAUUUUAGAAGGUUUUGUCUAACUUUUAAUUGGACUAUAAACUAAUUAAUUUGAGUUUGAAUUAUUAUUUGUCUCUAAUUAUUAAUUUUGGGUUUUAGUCGAUUAAUAGGGCUAACCCAUAGCCCAUUCUCCCUUCUUAUGAUAAACCAUUUUAUUUUAUUUCCCCUCUUACUUCUUUUAUCAAAUUUUUUAUAUAUUUUAUUAUUUUUAAACAAUCGAAACAAAAAUAAAAAUAAAAUAAAUACAAAAAAAUAAAAAAUAAAAAAAAUAAUUAUGAAAAUCUGGAUAAACAAAAGUAUAUAAAUCAUAAAAUUUUUAAAGAAAUAUCCUAAAGGAAAAGAAUCAAAUUAAAUUCCUAUAAUGAUUAAAUUUUCGAGAUUGAGAUGAAAGUGCAAAGUAUUUUCUGGAGCAAUUUUUUUCUAACCUGGAAUUCCACUUCAAAGAAGACUAGUUCCAUAUUUAAACAAAUGACAAGCAAUCACAAUAUGGAUAAUGAACACAAAACAAUAAGAAUCAUCAAAAGAAACAAACAAUUAGCAAAAGAAAUAGGGCAAAACAUUUUCAGUCACCAAGUGUUUAGAGUUUUAGAUUUGAUUAAUUUUUAGGGUUUUUUUAGGGUUUCUAAGUUAAUAAAAAGAAAAGGAAAGGUUUUUUGGAGGCCUAUUUUGGGUUACAGAUUUAGACUUUUGGAUAAAUAUUUUGUAAAAUCUAACUUAAAAUAAGGAAAGAGGAGAUCAUAAGAAAUCAAGAGAGGAUUUUUGGGAAAUUUUAUCACUAGCGUACAAUGGCGGACAACGGCACCAAUCAAGUUUUCAAUGACUUGUUUUGGGUUUUAUGAUUUUGGGGUAUUUUUUAACAUUUUUGGUGAUUGAUUGAAUUUUUUAACACCAAACAUUUAUACUAUGGUCGAAAGUUGCAAACUAUUGAAGUUUUCGAUGCCGAAAUCUAUAAAAACUUUGAGUUUUCUGACGUCCUAUUUUUAUUGCCCUUGAAAAAAGAGAGCUUUAGAGAGAUAAAAACAGAAAAUAAAGAGAAAAGAGAAAAAAUAUUGAUGAAUUGACAAAAUUUUUUGCUUUUUACUAUCCAUACUAAAUGUUGAAUUGAGUCAUUUAAGAGGUGCCCAACUCAUGACAACCCACGCCUCAACCUAGAGAGACUUGGAUCAUAUGUAACCCGAGUUGUGUAACAAGCCAAUUAAGCCGUUAACUAAGCCGAAUAAGCAAUUCAUGUAGUUCUUUUAUUUUUUUUUUUUGUUAUUUUUUUGUUACUUAUUUAUUUUUAUGCAUAUUGAAAUUUUAAUUUUUAAAUAUAUAUUUUAAUUUUUUGACAAAAAUAAAAUUUUAAAAUUUUAUUUUCAUAAGAUUAAAUAAUGUUAAAUAUAAAUUAAUAUUAUUUUUAAUAGUUUUAAAAUAAAAUAAUUAUUUCUAAAAAAAUUUAAUUAAUUCAAUGACAAACUACUUUAACGAAACAAGCAUUUUUUUUGCAUACUCUUAUGGUGAAAAAAAAUAAAACUAGCAAUUAUAGACACAUCAUUUAAUCUAAUAAUGAAAUUUUAAGAAAUUCAAGGGUGAGCAAUUUUCUAAAAAAUUUUUAAGUGAGAAUUUUUCUAAAUUUCACCAAAAUAUUGUAGAAUUUAAAAAAUUAUUUCAAUAUUAUGAUUUUUCAUUUAUUUUUAAAAAUAUAAAUGAAAAAAUUAAUUUGAUAAAAAAUUAAUCAACAAAAGAAUUUUCAUUUAUUUCUAAAAAUUAAAUUGAUAGAAAAUUAAUUGAUAAAAUAAAAAAGGAUAAAAGAGUUAAGAAUGUAAUAGAUAAUUAUAAAUGUAUUUUAUCACAUAAUGUUUAAUAUAUUUGGGAAUAAGUAGCGAAUUUGACUGAUUAUUGAAUUUUAAGAAAUUUAUGAGCAUGAAUUUUUUAAAAAAUUUUCUAUGUGAGUAAACUUUUCUAAAUUUCACCAUAAUGUUAACGAAUUAAAAAAAAUUAGAAAAUAAAAAAUUUCCAACUUAUUUCCAUAACAAUAAAAUUAAAGGAAAUUGUUAAAAUUAAUUUAACUUGUUUUUAAAAAAUAAAUUAUUUUUAUAAAAUAAUUAAUUGAAUAUCGAAACCCUUUAAAAAAACGAACGUCUUUUCUUGAAAACUAUUGAAGUGAAAAAAUUAUUUAGAGGUUCGAUUAAAGUGUUGGAGAAAACCUAAUAAAAAUUUUUACAUUUAAAUAAUAAAAAAAUAAUGAAAAAUAUUAAGAAUAGAAAUCAUUUUAAUUAAGAUUAUUAAAGAUAAUAUAAAAUUAAUUGAUAUCAUCCUUUGAAUGGACACUGUGAGGAUGUUAAUACCAUCCUUAUAAACUUAGUUCUGUAACAUAAAUCAAAACCUACCUUUUUAAAGUCAUUUAAUCAAGCUUAAAACUAUUUUAAAAGGAUAGAUUUAUUUAAUUAACCAAUCACAUUUAAGCAAAAAAUUCAUGAUAAUUUCUUUAUUAAUAUUUAGUGGUUAAAUUCACAGAUUCACAUGUUAUAAAAGAUAAAAUUAUCAUUUGGUUUAAUAAUUAUAAUAUUACUUACUAAUAGAAAAGAGAAUUUCUCAAUACAAAAGAUGGAAAAAGUGAUUAUUCCAAUCUUAAAUGAUUUUGAAACAAGAAGAUUUGGAUCUCAUGAAUCACAUCGGGGUCAAUAGUUAUCGUUUCUCCAUUUCAUGGGUAAAAAUUCUACCCAAUGACUUUUAUUUCUUCAAAAUAAAUGUAUUUGUUAUGAUUUUCAUGCUAAUUUUUCAGUUUCAAAAUUAACUUAUCCGAAGUGAAGAGAUUUGGAAGUGUUAAUAAGGUUAGCAUCAAUAUUUAUAAUAAGUUCAUGAAUAUUGUUCUCCUUAAAGGUCACUCUAGUAGUCUAGUUCUCCAACCUUAAAAGGAUAUAAGGGAUUAUACCGAUCAUCAAUUCUACGACUCAAUUUUCUUUUCAAAAUUAUUUAUAAAAAUAUUUAAUUAAUAGAUUGUUGAAACUUUUUUAAGAAAACAAGAAUGUUUUUUGAAUACUCUUGUGAUGAAAAUUUUUUUUAAGGAUUCAACCAAAGUGUUAGAAAAAGUCUAUAAAAAAUUUCAAAUAUUUAAAUAGUAAAAUAAUAAGAAAAAACUAAGGAAAAAUGUUAAUUAUAGAUAUUAUUUUAACUAAGGCUAUUAAAGGUAAUAUAAACUAGUUCUACUGAUAUAAUAAUAUCCAAAGAGAUGAUAUAAAAUGCAAUUAAGAGUGAAAAACUUGAAAGAGAUGAAGCAAAUAAAGGUGUUACGUCUAAAAAGAAAGAGAUGCUCAAUCAAUGAUUUGUGAAGGGCAAGGGUAGUAGGCUUUUACUCUACGCCAUUCGUACCAAAUAAACCAAUUUUACUAUCUAACCAUAAAUAACAUCUUCCAAAAGUCCUUAUCUUUAUCAACCAAUCUCACAAUUAACCUUUCAAGUAAACCCUUGCCUUCAAACAAUUGCACUUACUCUUGUCUGUUAAUUUAUUAUCCAACCAGUCAGCAACUGAAGAUGACAAAGAAACAUUCAAGAAAAAUUUUCAAUUCCAAUUCCUAAUCUUUUACCUUUACUAGUAAAACAUCAAUACCUUACCCUAUGCCUUUGAAAAAUGCUUUAAAUCCAUCAGUAAGGAAUUAUGACCCAAAUGAUAAAUGCAAUUAUGACAUGAGAAACAACAAAAAGAUUUAAGCACAAAUUAAUAGUUGCCCCUUCACUCAAGGAACUUAUAAAAAAAGGAAAUUUGCUUUGAUGUAGAUUAAAUUUCCAUUAUGAAAUUUAAGGGUAUGGAUUGUCAUCUCAAACUUUCAAUUUGUAGGAACAUUCCAUAUUUUUUAAAGUUUGCAUUUUAAUGUUAUAGGCAAUAAAUCUUUAGUUCCCUUAAUUUUGUUUGCAAUUGUUCAAAUAUAAAUUCUCGCAUAACUUAUUUCACAAAUGAAUUCUAAGCCUAAAGCUUCCAAAUAUUCAUUUAACACACCUCAAGCAAUUCUCUUGUCCCUCUUUGAGAAAGUCCAUUCUAAACCUUUUCCAAAAUUUUUCUUAAAAUCUAGAGGAAAUCUCAUCAUCUCUCUCAUUUUAAACCUCCAAAACACCUUCCUUAUCUAUCCACAACCACUGGAGUAGUCUCAAGCCUAGGUCAAAGCUUCCAACUAAUUACAAACAUCUGUCUAACUUUUUGUGAAAACCUUGAAUAACCUAAUCUGUCACUAAGCAUACCCUACUGUCACUCACCACAUCACCUUGCCUUGUCACCUAAAUCCACAUCACUUGCCACAUCACUAGGCAUAUCAUCCAACCACAUCAUCUCAGGUAUAUCAUCUCUCCAAAUCCAACCAAAACUCUGUCUAAAUGAUCAAAGUCCAUCCAAAACUCUAUCUAAAAAGUCCAAUCAAAUCAAAACUUUACUCAAAGAGUCUUAGUCCAACCAAAACUCAACCUUAAAAGUUACUAUUUCACCAAAACACUCUAAAGAGUCCUAACACCAAAAUUUUGUUCGAAUAAUCCACAUCAAACUAAAAUUCUUUCAAAGGGCUAAAAUUCUUUCAAAAGGCUUAAUCUAGCUAAAGCUUAGUCUUAACCCAGGAAGUUUUAGUCAAGAUUAAACACAACUACACUAAACCCAACUCAAAAGCCUAGACCUAUAGUUGUCAUAUUGGAUCUUGUAUUAGGAAAAUCUGCAGAGGUAUAAGUCCUAAAAUCUUUAGACAUCUUAGACCUCUUAUUAAAUUAUGUGCAAGUGACAUAUCCUCCAAGAUGAAAUAUCAUGUAGUCUUCAGAAUGCGUAAUGUAUACCAUUUAGUUAUAAUUAGGACUUAUUUUCUUGUUAAAGGCGGGGAUAAUUUUUGCAAUGUAAACUCAUGUCUAGCAUGUGAUGUAAAAUCUUGUCAUAUAGAUUAGUUAUAAAUAAAAAUCAUUUAUUUCUAUUACAAAUUUAGAAUUUUAAUAUUAUGAAUAUUAAAUUGAUAGAAAAGCAAUCAACAAAAGAAUUUUAAUUUAUUUCUAAAACUAAAAAUAAAAAAAUUAAAUUGAUAGAAAAUUAAUUGAUAAAGUAAAAAAGGGAUAGAAGAGUUAAGAAUGUAAUAGAUAAUUGUAAAUGUAUUUUAUCAUAUAAUGCUUAAUAAAUUUUGGAAUAAGUGGAGAAUUUGACUGAUUAUGAAAUUUUAAGAAAUUUGUGAGCAUGAAAUUUUCUUAAAAUUUUUUAUGUGAGUAAACAAUUUAAAAAAUUAGAAUAUCAAAGAUUUUCACUUUAUUUCCAAAAUAACAAAAUUAAAGAAAUUUAUUAAAAUUAAUUUUAAAUGUUUUAAAAAUAAAAAUGAAUUAUUUGUGUAAAAUAUUUAAUUACUCUAAUGACAAAGCUUUUUGAAGAAAAAAAGGGACGUAUUUUCUUGAAAACUAUUGAAGUGAAAAAAUUAUUUAGAGGUUUGAUCAAAGUAUUGGAAAAAACAUAAAAAAAUUUUAUAUUUAAAUAAUAAAUAAAGUAAUGAAAAACAUUAAGAAUAGAGACCAAUUUAAUAAAGGCUAUUAAAGAUAAUAUAAUAUUAAUUGAUAUCAUCCUUUGAAUGGUCAUUGUUAGAAUGUUAAUACCAUUCCUAUAAACUUAAUUCUGUAAUGCAAAUCAAAAUCUAUUCUUUUAAGAUUUUUUAGUCAAACUUAAAAAUCAUUUGAAAAAAAUAAAUUUAUUUAAAUAAUCAAUCAUACCUAAUCAAAAAAUUCUUGAUAAUUACUUUAUUGAUAUUUAGUGGUCAAACUCACAUAUUCACACCUUAUAAGAGAUAUAAUCAUCAUUGGUUUAAUAAUUAUAAUAUUGCUUACUAAUAGAAAAGAGAAUUUCUCAAUAUAGAUGAGAAAAGUGAUUAUUCUGAUCUUUAAUGAUUUUGAAGCAAGAAGAUUUGGAUAUCAUGAGUCACAUUAGGAUCGAUAGUUAUCGUUUCUCCAUUUCAUGGGUAAAAAUUCUAUCCAGUGAGUUUUAUUUCUUCAAAAUAAAUGUGUUUGAUAUGAUUCUCAUGCUGAUUUUUUAGGCUCAAAAUUAACUUAUCCAAAGUGAAGAGAUUUGGAAGUGUUAAUAAAGUUAGCAUCAAUAUUUAUAAUAAGCUCAUAAAUACUCUUCUCCUUAAAGGUCACUCUCUAGUAGUCUAGUUCUCCAACCUUAAAAAGAUAUAAGGGACUAAACUAAUCAUCAAUUCCAUGACUCAAAUACUAAUAUCAACAAAAUGAUUUUAAUUUCUUCUGUCUCACAAAUCCAACCCUUCAGUCAUUGUCUCAUUGUGAAUUCUAAAUAAAAAUAUAUAGCAAACUAAAAUAAAAUUCUUCAAUUCAAAUCGAGAAGAACCAAAAAGAAAGAGAGAAGAAGAACCUGAUGAAGAGGAAAAAUAGCUUUUCAAACAAAAGAAAUCUUGCCUUUAACUCCUAAAUUUCUUGCUACACGAGUUAAGUCCGAAAACUUAAAAGAUUGUAGUCCAACAGCUCCUUUUCUUGUAGCAAUGAUACCUGAUGCAUGCUAAAAAUUUAAACGUAAUAGUCAGAUAUAAGUAUUCAAAGCAUAAAGCAAAAUAUAUGUUCAGCAAGCAUUACAAAAUAAAACAGUAACAAGAACUUGAUGAGGAGGAAAAAAGCUUCUCACACGAAAGAAGUUCUGUCGUUAUCUCUUAAAUCUCCUGCUAUAAUGAACCCUAAAACUCUUUCCAGUUAAAGUUCGAAAACUCAAAAGAUUGUGUUGCCAACAGUCGUUGCAAUAAUACCUGAUAUAAAUUAGAAAUUUACACGUAAUAGUCAAAGACAGGUAUAUAAAAGAUGAGGCAAAAUUAAAGUUUAGUAGGCUUACAAAAUAAAGCAGUAACAAGAACCUGAUAAUGAGGAAAAAGGAACUUUUCACCUAAAGGAAAUUCUGCCGUUAACUCCAAAAUCUCCUGCCAUAAUGGACCCUAAAACUUUUCCAAGUUAAUUCUUGAAACUCAGAAGAUCGUAUUGCCAACAGCUAUUCUUCUGGUUGUAAUAAUACCUAAUAUAAACUAGAAAUUGAAGCAUAAUAGUCAAAGAUAGGUACUCAAAGCAUGAAGCAAAAUAUAUGUUCAACAAGUAUUACAAAAUAACACAAUAACUAGACCUACUUGCGUUAACAAUAUGGAAGUACCAUGCAAAUGGACAACAUAGCCAAAUAUGGAUGAAAUAUAUAUUAUAAAAUAAAUUUAUAAGUAUUAAAAAACAAAAACAUUUUAUUGUUAUAAGGAAACCAAGUUUUAUUGUUACUAAUUCAUUUGCUCUCGUGCUUCAUUGCAAGAUUUAUUGAUUUCUAAAUUUUUAUAAGUAACUAGGUAUAAGGUUUAAUAUACUAAAAUAAAGUAUAAUUGAUUUCUCUUUUUGCAUAUUGUAUUUUGUUUAGGUUUUUUCCUUUCCCUAUAAUGGGCAACAACUUUAGUAUUAUGACAUAUUAUACCCUUUAAAACAAAAACACGAACAUGCAAUAAAGAUACGAUGCCACACAGACACGAAUAAGAUAAUAUAAUAAUUAAAAAAAAAAAGACAUGGAUAUGAUAAGGCACCAUAAUAAAAAAAAUUUUAUAUAUUUUUAUGUUAAAAUACUCAAUGUAUAUGUAAAUAUCAAUUUUUCAUUUUUCAUUUUUUUUUCAAUUUAAAUUUAUAUUUUAUAAUAUAAAAAAUAUUCUUAAUUAUAUAAGAAAAAAUUUAUUUUUAAAUUCAUGCAAGAUAUUAACUAUUUCAAAAUGAUGAAAUAACAAUAUAGCUCAAACAACGAAAUACUGCAUUUAAUUUUUUUAAGAAGUGCGACAAGUUAUAUUGCUUUCCAAUUUCUUUUUUUCUUUUUACUUUUUGGUGUAUAAAGAAAAGCCAAAAAUCAUGUUUGGUCUACUUAAACAUGCCUUCCCCACCCAUAAGAGACCCACACUAUCCUUUAUUUUUCUUUUUCUUUUCUUUCUAUUCUUUCUUUUUUGCAUUUUUUUUCCUGUUUUCUUUCCCUAGCUCCUACUGGUUUUUGACAACCCCUCUGUCAUCAUCACCACUAUCGGUCGUUGCCCAUCGAUAAUUGAAAAUUUAUUUAAAAAUUAUCAGUAAAUUCAUCUAACCUUUUUCUUUCUUCUUAUCUAACAAGAUUUUCAAAAAAAAAAAAAAAAAAAAAACCUGGAAAAUCCUAGAUCUAAAAAAAUCUGUUGAGAUGGUGUGGAACUAGAUUUUUUUUUUUAUCAUGUCCUAGCUUGGUAUGUAUGUAUUUUACUGUAUCGACGGUGUGUUCAUGUCGAACACGAAUACAACAUCGGUACAGAAAGAGUCGCCGCAUGUCCGUGAGUGAAGCCAUGAGACGUGAGACCAAAUCGCUCCCUUCUCCUCUCUCUCCUCCUCUUCUAUGUCAUUGCAGGUGCCAUUGUUCUUUUAGCUCACAUGUCACUUCUAAUGAGUAGAGUCACCUAAUUGAUUAUCAGUUUUAAAUCUUUUUACAAACAUAUGAUUUCCAUUUUAACAUUUUAUUCACUUCAACAAAAGCAGAACACCUCUUUAAAACAUUUUUAGAAAAUUUUGCAACAUUUAGAACUUUAAAGAAAUUAAACCUCUUCUUGAAGCAAAACUUUCAGCCAUGAUAUGAUACCCAAUCUACUAAGUUGAUAAAGAAAACCGUAAAUAAGAAAUGUUGCUAACUAGAAAAAUUCCAACGCACCAUAGAAAGGUAUCAAUUAAAUAAGAAAAAAAAAAUUAAUAACUAGCAAUUACCAUGUAAAUGGAAAGUAUCACAUGCUUUAAAGCAAGUUUUACUACUAUACCAAGAAAAAUAUAUAUUAUUUUAAAAUAAAUUGUAAAACAAGAAAAUAAAACAUACAUGAAGCUAGAAAAAGAGAGAAGCAAUUACAGUUUCAAGAGACUUGAGAGAAAAUUUUUCUCACGAUUGCCAAUAAGGGUAGGUCGAACGAAGGGAAAAUGGUGAACUACGGAAGCAUAAGCAAAGUCUUUGGUAUUUGGAGGAUUUGGAUGGAGAAGGUAGAAAAAAGAAGAGCUAAGGAAAGAAGAAGUCAAGGCAAAGAAAGCACGGGAAAGUUUAUUGUUCAAAGACUUGGAUUGCGGUAUUUGCAAAUUAAUAAAAAGUUUUAAUAAAGUAUCAACAAAAUAAUUUGAAAAUAUUAUGGUAAAAAGAUUAGUCAGAAAGAAAAAGGUGCUUUCGAGCUAUUUGAACCACUCAUUUAUAAUGACAUAUAGCUGUGAAAAUAAGAGAGAAUCAAUUAUUUAAAUAUCUAUGCAAGCAAUGAUGUAAAAAAUUCUUUUUAAACGAAAAUAUUAAUUCAAAAUUUAAUUUAAUUAAUUUAUUAAUUUAUUUUUAAAAAAUAAUGCUUAUAAUAUUUUUUAUUUCAAACUACAACUUUGUUUAUAAAAAAAUCACUGUUUAUAUUUUGAAUUUAUGCAGUUAAUUUUUUUUAUUGAAACAAAUUUAAGAAUAGAGAAAAUUAUUUUAUUUUUAAUAUCAAGAUAAGUUGUUAACUCAUAAAGAGGUUUAUAAAUUUUUAAAAAAUUUUAGAACUUAUUAAUUAUUUAUUAAUAAAAAUUAUAAAAAUUUAAAUCUGAAUACUUUAUAUUUAAAUUUUAAAUUUUAAUCACUUAUGCUAAUUUUAUUGACAUUUAUACACUUAAUUUAUAUUUACAUAAACCUCUAGUUGUAACAAUUUUAUUAAAAUAAUAAUAUCAAAAUGUACUUCUAUCCGUUUUAUUUAUAGAAUCAAAAGGAAAGUUUCUGUCAACCGAAUUAAUUUAUAAUCAAUUAAUUAUAUAUGGUCAUCCAAUUAAAAAUUGGUGAAAUUUAGGUAGGCCAAUUGUAGUUUAUAUUCUAAAAUGCAUAAGACAAUUGAAUCUAAAAUAUAUUAUUAUUUUUUUAAAAAAUAACUAAUAAAUUUAAUAUUUAAUAUUUAUAAUUUUUAUUUUUAUACUGUCAUUUCUUUUAUAUAAAAUAAAAUAAUCACACUGUAGCUGAUUUUGGAUUACUUGGAGUGUAGCAACCCCAUUCUAAUACAAUAUAUUUAAGGGGCAUAAUGUAACAUCAUGAGAAAAAUCAUGGAUGGAAAACAGCUUAGGCUGUGUUUUCUUGAAAAAUGGCAGAACGUGUGUUGACAUAUAAUUUUUAUGAAUUGACCUUGCUUUAAUUGUGAGCAGCUUCUUCGCUUCUUCCUUAAGCAGUCCUUGACAGUUGGCACACCAAGAAUACCGAUAUUCUCUACUUUUUACGCUACUUGAUUAAAAAGAAAAACAAUUUUACUUAGAACAUAUUAAUUUGAUAGUAAAAUUUGUUUAAUGGUGUCAUAAUGUUUAGAUCCAGGGAUCUAUCAUUAGAUAUUGAUUUUUGAGAGUCGUCACCAAUCUUUUUUUAUCUAGGUGUGAUUGGUCACCUAAAGAAUCUGUCCUUUUAAGGAACACCUAAGUUUAAGGGUCCCUAAAAGAAUAGGUUCAGCUCUACUAACUAGAACAGAGUUCAGGAGUUCGGUUACGUGUGAGGAAGGUUAUAGCACCUUCAUAACGCCUAUCAAAAGAUGGUACCAGCCGAAAUUUGUGAUAUCUAAUGAGCCUUAAAAUUUUACCAAGUAAUUAAUUAUUAGAAAUUAUUCUCAAUUGAUUCUAAUACUUUUAGCAGAAAAUUGAAAAAAUUCCCGCACCUCAAGAGUAUGCAAGAAAAACUACUGUUUCACUUGCAGAGGCUCCGUCGUCAGAUUAUUUAAAGAAAAAUCAAAAUCAAAAUCAAAAUAAAAAGGAAGAAAAGAAUGAUUGUUCUUAUGCGGGGAAAAUUGAUACUUUCAACUUUUCCCCAAAAAUAUUUUUUUUUUGAAAAUUUUGAUUUUUAAGGAAAAUUGAUACUUUCAACUUUUCCUCAAAAAUAAUUUUGGAAACUUUGAUUUUCAAGGAAAAUUGAUACUUUCAACUUUUCCUCCAAGACCUUUUUUUGAAAUUUUAUUUUUAAGGAAAAUUGAUACUUUCAACUUUUCUCCAAAAUAUUUUUUUUGAAAAUUCUGAUUUUCAAGGAAAAUUGAUACUUUCAACUUUUCCUCAAAAAUCAUUUUUUUUGAAAAUUUAUUUUUAAGAAAAAUUGAUACUUUCAACUUUUCCCCAAAAAUAUUUUUUUGAAAACUUUGAUUUUCAAAGAAAAUUGAUACUUUCAACUUUCCCUCAAAAAUCCUUUUUUGAAAAUUUAUUUUUAAGAAAAAUUGAUACUUUCAACUUUUCCCCAAAAAUAUUCUUUGGAAACUUUGAUUUUUAAGGAAAAUUGAUACUUUCAACUUUUUCUCAAAAAUAUUUUUUGAAACUUUGAUUUUCAAGGAAAAUUGAUACUUUCAACUUUUCUCCAAAAAUAUUUUUUUUGAUUUUUAUUUAAAGAAAAUAAAAUAAUAAAACAAAAUAAAAGUGAAAAUAAAAAAAAUAAAGAAAAGUAAAACAAAAAUAAAAAAUAAAAUAAAGGUAAAAAAAUACUAAAUAAACCUAAUCUAAUGAAAAAAAUAAAAAAUUUCAAAAAAAAUAAAAUAAAAUAAAAUAAAGAAAUAAAAAAAAUUCAAAAAAAAAACCUGGAGCGGCUCGGAGUACGGCUCGGAGUACGGCUCGGCUCGGCUCGGCUCAAGGAAGAGAAAACGGCUCGGAGAAAGGCUUGGGACCUCGGCUUGGAGGGGGGAAGACACGCCCGAGUCAAGAAGCGGGUCGACGCUCGGGUCAGGUCGGAUUUCGGUAAAACGCACGGAUCUUCUGGGUCACUUAAGGCAAAAACGACGUCGUUUUGGAAGGGUAUAUAAGGUAGUUCCCUUCAUUUUUUGGCAGAAACCUUCUCCCCUCUCUCUCUCUUCCUUCCCUUUUCUUUCCCUUCUCUCUAAACGAUCGAAGAACUCCGGUUGAAGAUUCACCGGAUUCUGGAAUUUUUCAUCAGAAUCUGGGUUUUUUCACCGGAAGUUCACUGGAAAUUGGUCGGUUUCUGGGAUUCUUCGCCGAAAACUUUAAAGUUGACCAAAAUCGUGGCCGAAAAAUGCAACUUUCGUCGAAAAAUUCAAUCGAAAUCUGGAAUUUUCCAAAAAUUUUCAGAAAAAAAAAUCUCCAAAAAAUUUCUGUUAAUUCCCAAAACCCUUCUAAACCUUUUCUUAACCUUCAAAAAUUUUUUACACGCCCCUUUUCUCUCAAAUCAGUAACUUUUGCUCACUGGUUUUCUGUGUAUCCUAUUCUGUUCCAGAGUGUCCUUUUUAUAGGGAUUGAUCAGGAGUUUUUGAUCAAUCCCAAUUCCUCUUUGAACGGAGAUUCAAUCUUUGAAUCGAAUCUGGACUCUAAUUAAUUGAAUCCCAAUCCAAGCCAGACAAAUCAAAAAUAAAUAAAUAAAUAAAUAAAUAAAAGAAAAAAUCAAACGAAAAUGAAUUAGAUAAAUAAAAAAACAGAUAAUUACAUAAAUAUUAACAGGAAAAAAAAGAAGAAAAAAAUAAUAAUAAAAUAAAAUAAUAAUAAUAAUAAUAAUAAUAAAGAUAUAUACAUAUUAAUAAAUACAUAAAUCCCUAAAAAAUAAUAAUAAAAGAAAAAAAUAUAUAUAUAUACAUAUAUAAAAUAAUAAUAAUAAAAAUAAAAUAAAAAUGUAAAAUACAAAAUAAAAAUAAAUUUAAAAAAAUAAAAAUAAAAUGAAGAGAAAAAGAAAAGAAAAAAAAUACAGACUUACCCAUUUGGACUAGGCCCAAUUGAUCCGGGCCUGGACUAAAUUAGGUGUCUACAGCUGCCCAUCUUUGCACAUUUUCUAUGAAACAGAAAUUGCGCAAAGACGUAGACACCCAAUCAAAUCUCAACUCGACCUUUUUACUUUUUGUGUUUUUUUUUUUUUUAUCAAACUCUCUAAACAGAGGCUCAACAACUUGAGAAACAUAAAUGGCUCCUCNNNNNNNNNNNNNNNNNNNNNNNNNNNNNNNNNNNNNNNNNNNNNNNNNNNNNNNNNNNNNNNNNNNNNNNNNNNNNNNNNNNNNNNNNNNNNNNNNNNNNNNNNNNNNNNNNNNNNNNNNNNNNNNNNNNNNNNNNNNNNNNNNNNNNNNNNNNNNNNNNNNNNNNNNNNNNNNNNNNNNNNNNNNNNNNNNNNNNNNNNNNNNNNNNNNNNNNNNNNNNNNNNNNNNNNNNNNNNNNNNNNNNNNNNNNNNNNNNNNNNNNNNNNNNNNNNNNNNNNNNNNNNNNNNNNNNNNNNNNNNNNNNNNNNNNNNNNNNNNNNNNNNNNNNNNNNNNNNNNNNNNNNNNNNNNNNNNNNNNNNNNNNNNNNNNNNNNNNNNNNNNNNNNNNNNNNNNNNNNNNNNNNNNNNNNNNNNNNNNNNNNNNNNNNNNNNNNNNNNNNNNNNNNNNNNNNNNNNNNNNNNNNNNNNNNNNNNNNNNNNNNNNNNNNNNNNNNNNNNNNNNNNNNNNNNNNNNNNNNNNNNNNNNNNNNNNNNNNNNNNNNNNNNNNNNNNNNNNNNNNNNNNNNNNNNNNNNNNNNNNNNNNNNNNNNNNNNNNNNNNNNNNNNNNNNNNNNNNNNNNNNNNNNNNNNNNNNNNNNNNNNNNNNNNNNNNNNNNNNNNNNNNNNNNNNNNNNNNNNNNNNNNNNNNNNNNNNNNNNNNNNNNNNNNNNNNNNNNNNNNNNNNNNNNNNNNNNNNNNNNNNNNNNNNNNNNNNNNNNNNNNNNNNNNNNNNNNNNNNNNNNNNNNNNNNNNNNNNNNNNNNNNNNNNNNNNNNNNNNNNNNNNNNNNNNNNNNNNNNNNNNNNNNNNNNNNNNNNNNNNNNNNNNNNNNNNNNNNNNNNNNNNNNNNNNNNNNNNNNNNNNNNNNNNNNNNNNNNNNNNNNNNNNNNNNNNNNNNNNNNNNNNNNNNNNNNNNNNNNNNNNNNNNNNNNNNNNNNNNNNNNNNNNNNNNNNNNNNNNNUGCUGUAUCUGGUCAAAUUCAACAGUAUUCCAACAUGUUCUGGUAUGUAUACCGGAAGUGUUAAAGUGUCGAACACGAAUACAAAAGGAGUACGCAAAAAGUUCAAAUGCAAGAGGUACAAAGUAUUAUUACCUUGCACAGUAAGAAGUUUGAGCGCUUCCUUUGUUUGCUGUCAAUUUAUUUUAUGUUCACUUGAUGAAAGUGAUAUGUUUUGGUUUACAGGCAUUCGGUUUAUAAAAAUGAUAUAUUUCGGUUCACAGGCAUUUGGAUAGGUUGCAUUAUUUGUGAGACAACAUAACUUUCCAGCAUUUAAAAUAUCUAUGGUUUCUUUUUGUUUCAAGUUUUGAUACUCAAUGACAUUUUGGAACCUAGUUCUGUACUGAAACAGAAUGUGAACAUGGAAAAAAAGAGAGAAAAUGAAAAUUACCAACAGAAAACAAAAGUUCUGAUACAAUGGGUAAAUUUUAAGCUUGUAAGGGAUGGUUUUCCUCCAUGAGAGCAUGACACAUGCUAGAAUUGUGAUCCCACUGUAGCCAGUUGACAAAUACUGAUAUCCCGAGUUCAGUUGUUUGAACAUAGCAAUAGUUAUGGGUUGCAUUAGAAAUUCAAGGUCCAAAAAUUGGCUAAAAGAAGCUUUGAUGUUUUUUGCGUUCAUUUUGAAGGAAGUAUUAUUCAGGGUUUGCAUAAGGUAUGAGACAGUUAUUGGAGUAGCAUACUAAUUCAAUUUAGACUCCUUUGGAAACAGGCCUUUUUCGCAAGCUCCUUUCAAAUUGAGCUGAAAUUCUGCAGAAUAAAUUGAGAAUAAUUAUUUAUAAGCUUCUGCAGAAUAAAAUGGAUGCUUGAGUUUGUGUUCUUUUAUGUCAAGAGAGGACAUACCCCUGAUUUGAUGAUUGAAAUGAGCUCCUCAAACCAAUACUCGAGCUUACCAGCUUAAGCACUUUGUCUCGAUCAACGUAGAUGUUUCUUUAUACCGAGCCAGAAUGCUUAUAAAGAUCUAAGAAGCAAUAACAAAAUGUUUAGUCACUAUUAUAAAGGGUUAAAACUUCAUACAUAAAGGCAAACAGUUUUCAAAGCAAGUAUAAAACAAAACCACAUGAAGCUGUGUUGCUUUACAUUGUUUAUCAUACAACCUCAAAUUCUUCAAAAGCUCAAUCAGGCAAAGAUUUUAACUUGUGGCUCCACCGAGCUGAAAGAAACGAUCAUCGGAAAAACAAAGGCUGCUGAUCAAUGUUUUAUGGAAAGGAUAUGUUAUGCAUCAAUAUGAAGAAUUGAGCUACAGUGGAAUGAAACUUCCAAACAUUAUUGCACAACAGAAUAAUAUUACAAAGAAUUUUAACACUUACAUUUAGAGUAUCAAUUUGGCUUUUACAGAAGGUCCCAGCUCAGCCAAUUUUACCUGCUUGAUAAAGUUGUUACCCUAUCUCAUCAUUUAUGCUUGGACCCCUGACACGGAGGAGGAAAGAUUUCUGUUGUAGGAAAGGAGCUGCUGCCCUAACAACUUCGAAACCACCAAUGAAUUGAAGUUAUUUCGUCCUGUCAGACAAGUUCCACUACAUCAGAUUUUUGUUUAGAAGCAUUUCGGAUAAAAAUGGUAGUACCAAAAAAGGGAGAAAAAAAAAAAGAGAAAGGAAUCCUAGCAAGGCUGGAAGUUUUCAUUAUGCUAAGUAUCAUGAUUUCUUAUAAUAUAUGGUUUCUAUCAUAAACAUGGAAUCUAUAUACUCGAGUAUGAUACAUGGAUUAUAGAUGGUAGAACAUGAUUCAAGGAUAUGGAAUGUUCAAUGCACUAAUUGCUGAUUCUGGAAGAGCACCUUAUUCAGAUUAAAAGACAAAAAUAUUGUACCUAAAACAUAAAAUACAAAUUAUUUUCCUUCGCCAUAAAAGGAGAACGUUUGAAAAAAUUUCAGAACCCCGGAAAUAAGUAAUAACUUACCACUUUCAUAGGAAACAAUGUUUCCUUUGGGGGAAUUUUUGCGCCACUGACACUGUCCUCACUCCCAAGUCUGGCAUAAAUCUUUAAUAUCUCAUCAUUUAUAAGAAAUUGAGUUCUCAAUGGGAUUGAGGCAGAGAUUUUGGUAUUGACUCAUUCAGGCGGCCAUAUGGUCAAUUUGACGGCAGUGAAGGCAAUCCAUACUUCUGCUAAGUAAACAGCAUUUAUCUUUUUCAGGUCUUUCCAUCUGCUUUUGCAAACCACUUUGUGUGCUCCUGUAAAGGCACUACCGACUGGCCUCUGCAACUUCCAACUGACUGAAACCAAAAUUAGAUAUCAAAUUAAUCUUCACGCGUAUAAGAAAAUAACAAGCAUUUAAUAACUGAAACCAUUCUUGAAUGAUUCGGCCAAAAAAAAAAAAAAAAUCAGAUGUCAAUGAGACAAAAUGAUUAAUAGAUAUAAACAUUUAACACAUCUGUUCUGCUCUUGAAAUUUGUCCCUCAACUAUCUCAAUCCUAUUGAUUUAGUCCAAUUUUAAUUUUAAUGAAUUUCAUUUUUAUUAAACAUAGAUUUUUUUUUUAUAUAUAUAUUUUCCAUUUCAUUGUAAAACAAAAAGCUGUGUAUAAGGGAUUGAACUAAUGAACCUUUUAUAGGGAAUCGAAAAAACAAUAAUCAUGAAAAUAAAUCACUUGAUCACUUGAUUUAAUAGUACGUUAAUGUUCUUCAAAUAAGUAGCUAUAAUUGCAAAGUGACAUGUACCUUAUUUCUUGGCGUUCCUUCCGUUAACAAAUUAACAUGAAGCUGCUUCAAACUUCAAUGCAAGGUAUGUGGGCUAUGUUAAGAAACAAGUAUUAAUUCCAAUGUAAGGUAUGUGGGCUAUUUUGGGCACUCUUGACCUCCAUCCUUCUUGCAUCGUUCUUCUAGCAAUGGACAUCUAGAAAUUUCGAGUUGCAAAAGUGAGUCAAACAUCUCCUUUUCCGGAAGGAAUUUGAGCUUGGGGCAACUAUGGAUGCCCAAUGAUUCAAGAGACUUGAGAUUUUGAAAGCCCUUGGAGGAUAGAGUUUCUAGGUUUUGAAAACCGCAGAUGGUGAGGGAGGUGAGAGUGCGGGGCAGAAGCAUUUCCUCACAUGGGAAUGACACUACAUCUAGAGAAGCACCAUUGAUGGACAAAUGUUUAAGGGAGGUUAGUUUGUGCAAAGCCCACUCGAUCACUGACUUGCAAAUAUUGGGUUGCCACAUUUGAAGUGCAGUGAGAUUGGGAGGAUGUUGGGCUAAAAGCCUCCAAUCCAAUCACACCAACGGAAGCGAAAUCAAACAAUAAAGCAAACACAUAAGAAACAACAAUUUAACGUGGUUCAGUCCAAUUGACCUACAUCCACGGAUGAGAAAAAAGAUCCACUAGUUGUAGAGAAUUACAAACAUACAUCAAAUCAUCAACCUCACUCAACAAUCAAUACUCAUAAGACACUCUCAAUCUCCUCUAGUCCUAUAGAGUAUUCUCAACCCAAACAAACACAAACCCAAACCCUUGUGCACCUUUUCAACACAACCAAACACAUACCCAUAUGUUCCCAUACAUCAUACCUAUGUGUACCCUCUCAAUCUCCUCUAGUCCACUCACAAACAAACAUACAUACCCAUAAGACGUAGAGCUCCAAUACUCCUAUGGGGUGUCUAUCCCCACAAAACCCUACAACUCUCUUACAUCUUUUUCUCAUACCUAACCCUGUAGAGACUUCACCUAUUUAUAACCAUACAAACUUGCCCAUUAAGAAUCCCUCUCCUCUUAGAAUUCUUCUCCUGUAAGUCAAACUUGCCUAUUAAGAAUCCAUUUCCUUUUAGAAUUCUUCUCUUGCAAGUUAAACUUACCUAUUAAGAAUCAUCUUUCUCUUGGAAUUCUUCUUUUGCAAGUCUUCUUGUCCAUCAAGCAAUAUCUGACAAAUUUCAAACAAAUCUUUAACAAAUCUCAAACAAAUCUCUUAUGGGAUUUGAGUCAUUAUUCCCAACAGAGGGAACCCCUCUUUUGGAAAUGAUAUCACACUUGGACAAUCAAAUAUGAACAAUUCUCGCAUAGAGACGAUGUUGUGGAUGCAGUUGGGUAAGGCCUGGAGUUUUUCACACCCGGAAAGGUGAAGCUUUCUGAGUUUGGUGGUUAAUAACACACUUCCUGGGAAUGAAAUCAAACUUGAACAACGCCCAAUAGGAAUCUCCCCAAGAUGGAUGAGCUUGUUUAAUCCACGAGGCAAAGAAUUCAAAUUAUCGCAACCGUCGAUAGUUAUCAAUUCAAGGGAAGAGUUCUCUUCAAUAUCUUGAGGUAUGGACUCUAGUGCUGGGCAAUAAUUAAUCCGGAGGUAUUUAAGCCCCAUAGGUAACUUGCCAUUGGCUGACAAGAAUGUCAACUUUUCACAAGAAUAAAUGUCAACAUGUUGAAGACUAAUAGGUAACUCGCCCCUUGAGGAUAAAGAUAUCAGAGACUUACAACCUCCAAUUACCAAGUGCUCUAGAAGACGCGUGCUGUUGAUGUUGUUAUUUACUCCAUCCAGCAAGUACAGAAAAUUCUCAUACAGCGUGAUAGUUAAACGUCUUACAUUUGGAGGCAAGUUUCCAUUUGAAAUUGAAAUCAAUCUUGGGCAUCCUUCAAUUCGUAGCACCGUCAGGGAUCUGCAGCUAUUUAUGCUUUCUGAUAGCCUUUCUAGCAUUUCACAAUAUUGUAUGGUCAAAUGUUCAAUAUGGCGAGGGAUUCCUAAUUGCAUAUGCUCUUCCUUUUCGUCCUCUGCACCUAUGGAAACAAGUCUUGAACAAUUGUGAAUUUCCAAAAAGCGAAGAGGCCUCAAAUAUGUUGAGAGUCCUUCGUUGUUCAGCCAUGAAGAAAUUAGUUCCUCAUAUCCACGUAUAAAAAGAUGUUCUACUUUUAUCAACCCUAACAUCAUCCCCUCCAUUGGAGAAGUGAAUUUUGAAACGUUUGAAAGAGAGACUGUUUCCAUGAAUGAGCCAGAAUUGGUACAAUUUGUAGACACCACCUCUUUGCACCCAUCAAUUUUUAAGUCAGACAACUUUGGAAGGCUUGAGAGUGAAACCACCAACUGCUCACAUUUUUGAAUCACAAGUUUCUCCAAUAAAGGAAGACAACUAGGUAGACUUCUCAGUUGUUGACACAAUUUAAUCUCUAGCUUAGUCAAGGAAGGAAGACGAUUAGGUAAACUUCCUAACAACUUGAGGCAAUUUGAAAUGAUGAGCUCAUGGAGGUGUUGGAAACUCCUUACAUUUUCAUCAACUUCAUAAGGAUCCCAUUCCUCCCAUUCUGGCAUGUCAUCAAAACAUAAUCUCCCUAAUGCCGGGAACGCAUUAAGCGACUGAUCCUUUCCAAAAAAAUUAGCACCCACAUUUUUUACCUUAUUCAUCCUCCGGAUAGAAAGCGAUUUUAGCGAUGGUAAUCUUCCAACAGCUGGUAAUAAUGUGCAAUUUGGACAGUAAUCCAGAUCCAGAAUCUAUAGGUUUUCAAAUGAAGGAUCUCCAAUCCAAUUUGGGAAUGUUUCACCUCCAUAACAUUCGAUGGUGAGCCUUUCAAGCAUUUUAGGAGGUAGGAGUGAAUUCAACACGUCCUUGUGAAUUUCUUCUCCUGCAAAAUUGUAACUCCACUUCAAAGCUAAAUCCGAAGGUUCGACUUAUAACAUAACCCAGCCACCCAUGCAUCUUGAGCUUUGACAACAUUCUGCAAUUCUGAAAUAACAAGUCCACCCUUAAGAUUAGACAAAUUCUCCAUCUCCCUUAUCUUACUGCCAUUGUCUUGACUCACAACAAAAUUUGUCAAUGUUUGAAGAUUGGUUAGUUCGCCGAUUCCCAUUGGCAUCAUUUUUAUUGAACGUGCACCUGUAAUGUCAAGAUGCCUUAGGUUAAUUAAAACUCUCAUUUCAGAAGGAAACUCUUCAAGACGAGAACACCCCCGCAACAGCAAGGUCUCUAAAUUGUAAAGCUUGCAUAUUGAAUCCGGCAGAAUUUCGAUUAGAGUGCCAGAAAAAUUUAGGUAACGCAGAUGCACCAAAUCUCCAAUAAUAUUGGAAAACUCCGUCAGGUAGCACCAUUGUAAAGACAACACCCUCAAGUAUUUAAAUUCUGGCAACAACUCACUGAGAACUUGAUUAGAGAAAUUCCACCACCCUCCAGGCAUCUUCAAAGGUAGGAAGGUUCUUAAACCCUUCUUUCCGUUAAAGACUUGGAAAUUUUUAAUUCCGUCUUUCCUACCACCAAUGUUAGAUGAACGGCGAGCAUGACUGGAAACUUUCAAUGCCUUGUCACCCUCCACUCUGAAGCAUAUAUCUUUGGCAACUGAUUGAGCCAAAUCAUUAAUCAGAUCAUGCAUUAUAUAUCGAGACUCAUCCUUGUUGGAUACUUCAAAAAAUGACCUCCGUACAAGUUCUUGAAAGUACUCAUGACCCGAAUCUUCAUUUUGCUUUGUAGCUUCCACUCGCAGAAAGCCUUCUGCCUUCCGUAAUAAGACUAUUUCUUCCUCGGUAAAUUCAUAGUUUUUGGGAAGUAUGGCACAGUAAGCAAAACAUCGCUUUAGAUCUGCAGGAAGAUGAUUAUAGCUUAAUCGUAAAGAUGUAAUUAUGUUACUCCUCCCUGCUGGUAAAUUCCAAAUCUCACUUUUUAGUAUCUUUUCCCAUUCACCGAUAUCCACCUUAUUGCGGAAAAGGCCUCCAAUGGUCUUAGCUGCCAAGGGCAAUCCCUUGCACCUCUUCACAAUCUGUACACCAAAUUCUUUUUAAGUUCGGAUGCCCACUGAAAUCUUUUGCUAAUGCAUGUUGAGUUAAUAUAGAAAUGCAAUCACCAUCUGACAACUCCGGCAGCUUGUAACCUCGGAUAGUACCCACCAUUAAUGAAACACUUUGACCACGUGUUGUCACAACAAUCGUAGCUCCCAUGCCAAAGGGGAUAUUAGACGAGUCCAAUCAUCAUAGUUUUCAUGCCAAAGAUCAUCCAAAAUCAGAAAUAGUUUUUUUCCCUCCAGCUUCUUCUUCAGUUUUUUUUGAAGGUUAUUCAAAUCAUCUCCAACAUUAAAAGAUUCAGGACUAACUGAUUGCAAAAUUUGAUUUCGUUAUCUCCUCCAUCGUAAAAUCGUCAGAAACACAUACCCAUGCUUGAAAAUCGAAAUGCUUAACUACACGCCUAUCAUUGUAGACAAGCUGAGCAAGCGUUGUUUUGCCAAUCCCUCCUUUGCCAAUGAUGGGAAUCACAGAAAAUUUAUUGCGCUCAUCACUCCCAAAAAUCAAGUCAAGGAUUGUUUCCUUGUCUUUUUCCCGACGGUAGACUUGAGUUUCAUUCACCAAACAAGUGGUUGAUCGCCAUUCCAAUGUUCUCUUGGGCCUUCCACCACCAUUUUUCGUCAAAGCCAAGAGACUUAUAUCUGCUUCUAAAUCUAGAAAUCUAGCAGUGAUCUCUUGUAUCUCGGACAUCAUUUCCUUAUUAAAUGAUAAAUUAUGACCCCUUAACCAGGGAAAGCAAGCAUCAACAAGCUUUUGUAACUUCCUUGGGCGGUGAUCUUGAUGUUCCCUCGUUAACUUGAGUCUCAAAGCUUCUGUAGCAAACAACAUGUCAUCCGCAUCGUAUGCCAAGUCUUGGAGCUGGACCAACCAACUCUUCACACCCCCAUCAUUCAUUUCCUUCUCUUCGGCGUCAUUUAGCACUGCAUGAAUAUUGCGCAAUGUCUUUUCCAACUUCUUGAGCUCCUCGCAAACUUCCUUCUCAGUUACAAAGUUGAGAAACUCAGAAGAGGCCAAAUUACUAAACAACCCUUCAAAGAACACAGAUAAAGCAGCUUCAACGACGGACAUGGCUUUUGACCUUUGACCUGCAAAAACAGAGAGAUUAUGUGCAAAAAUGAUAUAGGGAUAAACUCAAAAAAACUUGAACUAAAAGUGGAACACAACCAACAACCCCACCAGUACUGAAUCUGAUCUUGGUAUAUUUCUCUGUGGCUUAUAUCUCCGUGGUAAUUUUUUUCUAAUACGCAUAUUACUAAUUAAGAAAGUUAAUGGACUCCUUAAUAGGAUUAUUUUAUUAGUGAGUUGUUAAAGUUCACAAGGUUCUACAAUUAAAAAAUCAACAAAGGUUAGGCAAAUUGUUAGUGUGUUAGUGGUUGAAGCAACUAGGUAUGGCAUUUCUACUGGCACUUUUGUAAUAGGUUCUGCCAUCUGAUCAGUUUAGGUAACAUGAUGGAUCUGUGCAUGGUGAUCCAUACUGUUAGGCAAACAACUCUUGUAGUAGUUAAACAAACUUUUGUAUGUUUAAAACCUAUAUAUUAAUGAAAUGAAGCUCAUGAUCUGAUGAGCCAAUUUACUUCAAGUGACAAAUUAGUUUUUGCUAUUUUUUGUUCUUCCUCUGCUCUAAAUCCUUCAAUUGGUAUCAGAGCAUUCUUUAAGGUCUUAGAGGACCUGUGAGUUCCAAAAAAUUGAGUGAAAAGCCAUCAAACACUUACUAGCCAGCUUUUGUCAACCUUAAAUGGCCUCAAGCAAUUGCUCCAUACCUCCACCUCUUAUUUUUCUGGUGAGAACUACCAUAUAUGGGCUGUCAAAAUGAAGACUUGUUUGAGUGCUUUUGAUUUGUGGGAAGUGGUGAAAAAUGAGAAGGAACCACCACAACUUCCUGCAAAUCCAACAGUAACUCAAAUGAAAAAUUAUAGUGAAGAAAAAGCAAAGAGGUACAAGGCUAAAAGCUGUAUAGAGUCUUCAGUUUCUGAUGACAUAUUCAUUAGAAUCAUGACUUGUGAAACUGCAAAACAAGCUUGGGAUGUGCUCAAGGAAGAGUUUCAAGGUAGUGACAAGACAAAACAAAUGCAAAUGUUGAAUCUUAGAAGAGAGUUUGAAGUCUUAAAGAUGAAGGAGUUUAAAAAUUUAAAGAAGUACAAUGACAGACUUAUGAAGAUAGUAAACAAGAUUAGAUUACUUGGUGAAGAGCUGUCAGAUAAAAGAAUUGUAGAGAAGGUUCUUGUCAGCUUGCCAGAGAGGUUUGAGUCAAAAAUCUCAUCCCUUGAAGACUCCAAGGACCUGACCAAGAUAACUCCAGUAGAAUUGUUCAAUAUUUUACAAGCUCAAAAGCAAAGAAGGGCUAUCAGACAAGAGGAUUCAACAGAAAGUGCUUUUACAGCCAAGGAAAAAGGCAAGAUGCAAACAGAAAGCAAAGGCAGAAAACAAGGAGAUCGAAGAAACAAAGGUUCUAGAAACAAUGAAAAGAAAAGAAAAUUCCCACCUUGCUCUCAUUGUAAAAAGACCACUCACUUGGAGAAAUAUUACUGGUACAGACCUGACAUACAAUGUAGGUACUGUAAGUAGCUUAGUCACAUGGAGAAGGUAUGUAAAAACAAAAAACAGCAGCAGUCAGAUCAACAAGUUAGAGUUGCUGACAAUCAACAAUAGCUAGAAGAGCAAGUUUUUGUUGCAACUUGCUAUGGAACCAGAACCUCCUCAAGUGCAUGGCUCAUUGACAGUGGUUGCACACACCAUAUGGCAUCUGAUAUCAACAUGUUCAAAGAACUAGACAAGACCUGUACCUCUAAAGUCAGAAUAGGUAAUGGUGAUUUUAUAGAAGUCAAAGAAAAAUGAGUAGUGACAGUUGAGACACCAACAGGUACCAAACUCAUUUCAGAUGUGUUAUUUGUGCCUAAAAUAGAUCAAAACCUGUUAAGUGUAGGACAGUUGCUAGAAAAUAACUACUCUUUAGUUUUCAAAGACAAGGCAUGCAUAAUUCAUGAUCCCACUGGCCAUGAACUCUUUACUGUUAAUAUGAAAGGAAAAUGUUUUUCCUUGAAUUGGCAUGAAGCAAACUCCUCUGCGUAUGCUACUUCACAUGAUGAAUCUUCUUUAUGGCAUAAAAGGAUGAGACAUUUCAAUUACAAUGCAUUGAAUUUCAUGCAUAAAAAUGAUCUUGUAUUAAACAUGCCUACGUUGAAGUCAGUGCUGGAGUGUGUGAAGUUUGUCAGCUAGAAAAAUAAAGUAAGUUGCCAUUUGCAAUUAACAAAGCAUGGAGGGCAAUUGAAAAACUAUAACUUGUUCAUACUGAUGUUUGUGGUCCUAUGAGAACCUUAUCUUUGAAUGGCAGUAGAUAUUUCAUUGCUUUUAUAGAUGAUUUUACCAGAAUGUGUUGGAUUUACUUCAUGAAACAAAAGUCUGAAGUUGCAAAUGUAUUUUGAAAGUUCAAGGCUUGGAUUGAGAAUCAAAGUGGCUGUAAAAUCAAGAUCAUAAGGUCAGACAAUGGUACUGAAUACACAUCUGACAAAUUUAAUGAGUUUUGUCAAGUUGUAGGAAUUGAACACCAACUGACAGCAACUUACACUCCACAACAAAAUGGAGUCAAUGAAAGGAAGAAUAGAACAAUCAUGGAGAUGGCAAGAUGCAUGCUGUUUGAGAAGAAUCUUUCAAAGAAAUUUUGGGCAGAGGCAGUCAAUACCUCUGUCUACUUGCUCAACAGGCUACCCACAAAAGCUUUGAAGGGAAACACUCCUUUCGAAGCCUGGUAUGGAAGCAAACCAUCAGUGCACCACCUCAGAGUUUUUGGCAGCAUCUGUUAUGUGUUCGUUCCUGAUAUCAAAAGGGACAAGCUUGAUCAAAAAGCAGAAAUAUGUAUUUUUUUGGGCUAUAGCAACAUCACCAAAGGCUAUAGGACUUACAAUCCACUUACAGGCAAGAUGAUUGUAAGUAAGAAUGUGAGAUUUAAUGAGCAAGCUGCCUGGAAUUGGGAAAAGUUAAAGAGAGAAUCAGUCAAGCAAACUGCUGCAGACAUGAUAAGCUUUCAAGAUCAAGAAGAUUAUAUAUUUGAAAAUGAAAUCAUUGAUCAUGAACCAGUGAGAGGAAUCAGACCACUCAUAGAUAUUUAUCAAAGAUCAAAUGUUGUUAUUCUUGAACCUGCAAGCUUUGAAGAAGCUGUCAAAAUUUCAGAGCGGAAAAAUGCCAUGAAGGAGGAGAUUCAAAUGAUUGAGAAAAAUUAAACAUGGAUGCUGGUUGACAGACCAAGCAACAAAAACAUCAUUGGUGUUAAAUGGAUUUUCAGAACAAAGUUGAAUGCUGAUGGUUCCAUCAACAAACUUAAAGCUAGAUUGGUAGCUAAAGGCUAUUCCCAGCAGCUUAGUGUUGAUUUUUCAGAGACAUUUGCUCCAGUUGCAAGGUUGGACACCAUAAGGCUGCUAUUAGCCUUAGCAACUCAGCAAAGUUGGAAAAUAUACCAACUUGAUGUCAAAUUUGCCUUCUUGAAUGGUUAUCUUGAAAAGGAGAUUUACAUUGAACAACAUGAUGGUUUUGUUGCCAAGGGACAUGAAGGCAAAGUCUAUCUACUCAAUAAGGCUUUGUAUGAAUUAAAACAAGCUCCAAGAGUGUGGAAUUCCAGAAUUGAUGAUCAUUUACUGAAGUUAAGAUUCAAGAAAAGCCUCAGUGAAGCAACAUUGUACAUUAAAGUUUUUAACAGUAAUGAUCUGUUGAUUGUUUCUUUGUAUGUUGAUGAUCUUUUGGUGACAGGUAGCAAAUCUGCUCUUGUGGAAGAUUUUAAGCUCCAAAUGCAGGAAAUUUUUGAGAUGACAGAUAUGGGAGAAAUGUCUUAUUUUCUUGGAAUGGAGAUUCAUCAAGACCAACAAGGAAUCUUCAUUUGUCAAAGAAAAUAUGCAAAUGAAAUCUUGAAUAAGUUUGGGAUGGAAAAUUGCAAACCAGUCAACACUCCUUUGGCUCAAAAUGAGAAACUUAUUAAGGAAGAUGGAGAUAACAAAGUUGAUGAUUCUAUUUAUAGAAGCUUGGUUGGUUGCUUAUUGUAUUUGACAGCAACAAGGCCAGACAUCAUGUAUGCUGCAAAUUUACUCUCUAGGUUCAUGCAAAAUCCUAGUGAGUUACAUUUUAAGGCUGCAAAAAAAGUAUUGAGAUAUGUCAAAGGAACUAGUGAACUUGGAAUUUGGUUCAAGAAGAAUGAAAGUUCAAGAUUGGUUGGAUUCACAGACAGUGACUGAGCUGGCUCUCAUGAAGACAUGAAAAGCACUUCAGGCUAUGUGUUUUUCAUUGGAUUAAAUGUGUUCAGCUGGAAUUCAAAGAAACAAGGAACUGUGGCUUAAUCAACAGCAGAAGCAGAGUAUAUAGCUGCUACAGCUGCUGUUAAUCAAGCAAUUUGGCUAAGAAAAAUUCUGAUGGAUUUGAGUCAAAAGCAAGAUGAUCCAACAGAAAUUUUUUGUGAUAAUCAAUCAGCAAUUGCAAUGGUUAAGAACCAUGUGUUUCAUGGAAGAACUAAGCAUAUUAAGAUCAAGUAUCACUUUAUUAGAGAAGUUGAAGCUGAGAAUGAAGUGAAACUGGUGCAUUGCAAGUCAGAAGAUCAAAUUACAGAUAUUCUGACCAAAGCCUUACCAAAGGCAAGGUUUGAAACAUUGAGGAAAAGUCUUGAUGUUUCCAGCAGAAAUGCCAAGGAGGAGUGUUAGUGUGUUAGUGGUUGAAGCAACUAGGUAUGACAUUUCUACUGGCACUUUUGUAAUAGGUUCUGCCAUCUGAUCAGUUUAGGUAACAUGAUGGAUCUGUGCAUGGUGAUCCAUACUGUUAGGCAAACAACCCUUGUAGUAGUUAAACAAACUUUUGUAUGUUUAAAGCCUAUAUAUUAAUGAAAUGAAGCUCAUGAUCUGAUGAGCCAAUUCACUUCAAGUGACAGAUUAGUUUGUGCUAUUUUUUGUUCUUCCUCUACUCUAAAUCCUUCACAAAUUUUAGAUAAAAUAUUUUUUGGGUGAAAUUCGUGACUAAUGUAUCCUAUGUAAAGUUUUCGUUCUAUAUUUAUAUUUAUUUCUAUAAGUUCUAGCUUUUCUUUUUAAUUUUAUACAUAUAUAAUUCAAAAGCAUUAAUUGAUUUUUUUUAUGGCUAAUAAUUCCUUCUCAUUAAUAGGGUAAUUCUACACUGUUAGAGUACAUGUUCCACAAGUAUAUCUGGAUUUUUUUUUUUUUUGGUGGCAUCAACUUCUUCAAUAUAUUUUAAUAUACCUUCUAAAUAUUUUAAUAUCUUUUUUAUAAAUUGAUUAAAUUGUUGGAUGUUGACAUAAGUACAUCACCCACACUAAUGAUUUGCCUAAUCCUAUGAUAGUUGGAUUCCUAAAUUUUGCGCCCCACUUGUUGUGUCGAUUGCCUUAAAGUUUUGAUUUUUUUUUCCAAUCAGACAAUUUGUUCGUUAAUGGAUUAAAACAUUUAUACCAAGGUCGAAAGUCGCAAACAGUUGAAGUUUUCGAUGCCAAAAUCUAUAAAAACUUUGAAUUUUCUGACGUCUUUUUCUUAUUGCCUUAAAAAAAAAAAAGAGUUUUAGGGAGAUAGAAAGAGAAAAUAAAGAGAAAAGAGAAAAAAAAUUGAUGAAUUGAAAAAAUUCUUUGCUUUUUACUAUUCAUACUAAAUAUUGAAUUAAGUCAUCUAAGAGAUGCCCAACUCAUGUCAACCCACGCCUCCACCUAGAGAGAGACCAGGAUCAUAUGUAACCUAAGUUGUGUAACAAGCCAAUUAAGCCGCUAACCAAGCCAAAUAAGCAAUUCAUGCAGUGUUUUUUUUUUUUUUUUUUGGUUAUUUAUUUUUAUGUAUAUUGAAAUUUUAAUUUUUAGAUAUAUAUUUUAAUUAUUUGAUAAAAACAAAAUUUUAAAAUUUUAUUUUCAUAAGAUUAAAUAAUGUUAAAUAUAAAUUAAUAUUAUUUUUAAUAAUUUUAAAAUAAGUAAAAAUUCAACCAAUGAUUAAAUUUCAAAAAAUUUGUAGGCAUGCAACUUUUCUUGAAAAUUUUUAAAUGAGAACUUCUUUAAAUUCCACCAAAAUGAUAGAGAAAUUAAAUAAUUAUUUCAAUAUCAAUUAUUUUCAUUUAUUUUUAAAAAUAAAUGAAAAAAUUUAAAUUAAUAGAAAAUUAAUCGGUAAAAUAGACAAGGAUAAAAAGAUUAAAAAUGUAAUAGAUAAUUGUAUAUAUAUUUUUACCACAUAAUACUUGAUAAAUUUUCAAAUAAAUGGGGAUAAAUUUUCAAAUAAAUGGGGAACAUGACUAAUGAUGGAGUUCAAAAAAAUUAGCAGACUUGUAAAUUUUUAGAAAUUUCAAGGCAAAAAACUUUUUUAAAUUUUACCAAAAUAUUAGGCUAUUUAAAAAAUAAUAUUUUAUUUCUAAAAUAACAAAAUAAAAAAGAAAAAUAUCAAAAUUAAUUUAAAAUGUUUUAAAAAUGAUAAAAUAAUUAUUUCUAAAAAUAUUUAAUUAAUUCAAUGACGUAACUACUUUAAGAACACAAGCUUUCUUUUGCAUAUUCUUGUGGUGAAAAUAUAAAACUAACAAUUGUAGAAACAUCAUCUAAUCUAAUGAUAAAAUUUUUAAAAAAUUCAUGGGUGAGCAAUUUUCUAAAAAAUUUCUAAGUGACAAUUUUUUUAAAUUUCACUAAAUUUUAGAGAAUUUAAAAAAUUAUUUCAAUGUUACGAAUUUUCAUUUAUUUCUAAAAAUAAAAAUGAAAGAAAUUAAAUUGAUAGAAAGUUAAUUGAUAAAAUAAAAAAGGAUAAAAGAGUUAAGAAUGUAAUAGAUAAUUGUAAACAUAUUUUAUCACAUAAUUUGUAACAAAUUUUGGAAUAAGUGAUGAAUUUAACUAAUUAUGGAAUUUUAAGAAAUUUAAGAGCGUGAAAUUUUCUUAAAAUUUUCUACGUGAGUAAACUUUUUUAAAUUCCACCAUAACGUUAAUGAAUUUAAAAACAAAUUAGAAAAUAAAAAAUUUCGCUUUAUUUCCAAACAAUAAAAUUAAAGGAAAUUGUUAAAAUUUAUUUAAAAAGUUUUUAAAAAAUGACUUUUUUUUAUAAAAUAUUUAAUUAAUCUUAUGACAAAGCCUCUGCAAAAUACCAAACACAUUUUUUUGAAAACUAUUGAAGUAAAAAAUUUAUUUAGAUGUUCAACUAAAGUGUUGGAGAAAACCUAAUAAAAAUUUUAUAUUUAAAUUAUAAAAAAAUAAUGAAAAACAUUAAGAAUAGAGAUCAUUUUAAUUAAGAUUAUUAAAGAUAAUAUAAGAUUAAUUGAUAUCAUCCUUUGAAUUGUCACAGUGAAAAUGUUAAUACCAUCCUUAUAAAUUAAAUUUUGUAACAUAAACCAAAAUCUAUUCUUUUAAAGUCAUUUAAUCAAGCUUAAAACCAUUUUAAAAGGAUGAAUUUAUUUAUGUAACCAAUCACAUCAAAACAAAAACUUCUUGAUAAUUACUUUAUUGAUAUUUAGUGGUCAAAUUCACAUAUUUGCACAUUAUAAAAGAUAUAAUCAUCAUUGGUUUAAUAAUUAUAACAUUGCUUAUUAAUAGAAAACAGAAUUUCUCAAUGCAAGAGAUGGGAAAAGUGAUUAUUCUAAUCUUUAAUGAUUUUGAAACAAGAAGAUUUGGAUCUUAUUAAUCACAUUGGGGUCAAUAGUUAUCGUUUCUUCAUUUCUUGGGUAAAAAUUCUAUCCAACGAGUUUUAUUUCUUCAAACUAAAUGUGUUUGUUAUGAUUCUCAUGUUGAUUUUUCAGUCUCAAAAUUAACUUAUCCGCAGUAAAGAGAUUUGAAAGUAUUAAUAAGGUUAGCAUCAAUUUUUAAAAUAAGCUAUAAAUAUUGUUCUCCAACCUUAAAAGGAUAUAAGGGACUAUACUGAUCAUCAAUUCCAUGACUCGAUUUUUUUUUUCAAAUUUAUUUCUAAAAAUAUUUAAUCAAUCCAAUGCCGAAACUUCUUUAAGAAAAUAAGAAUGUUUUUUGAAUACUCUUACGAUGAAAAUUUUUUUUAAGGAUUCAACCAAAGUGUUAAAAAAAAUCUAAGAAAAAUUUUUAAUAUUUAAAUAAUAAAAUAAUAAAAAAAUAAUGAAAAAUGUUUAUUAUAGAUAUUAUUUCAAGGCUAUUAAAGAUAAUAUAAACUAAUUCUAUUGAUAAAAUAAUUUCCAAAGAGAUAAUAAAAAAUGCAAUUAAGAUGAAAAACUUGAAAGAAAUGAGGGAAAAAAAAGUGUUGCAUCUAAAAAGAAAGAGAUGCUCAAUCAAUGAGUUGUGAAGAGAAACAGGCAGUAGGCUUUUACUCUACACCAUUCUUAUCAGAUAAACCAAUUUUACUAUCUAACCAUAUAUAGCAUCUUCCAAAAGUUCUUGUCUUUAUCAACCAAUCCCACAAUUAACCUUUCAAGUAAACCCUUGCCUUCAAACAAUUGCACUUAUUCUUGUCCCUUAAUCUAUUAUCCAAUCAGUGACUAAUUGAAGAUGACCAAGAAACAUUCAAGAAAAAAUUUCAAUUCUAAUUCCUAAUCUUUUAUCUUUACUCGUAAAACAUCAAUAUCUUAUCCUGUGCGUUUGAAAAUAGCUCUAAAUCCAGUAAUGAAUUAUAAGCCAAAUAAUAAAUGCAAUUAUCACAUGAAAAACAACCAAUUGAAAGAAAAGAUUUAAAUACCUAUUAAUAGUUACCUCUUGACUCAAGCAACUUAUAGAACAAUGACAUACAGCAGUACCUAUUGUCAGAAAGAAAAUGGAGUUUCGAGCUACAUGAAUCACUCAUUUAUAAUGACAUACAGCUGUUAAGAUAAAAGAGAAUCAAUUAUUUAAAAAUGUGAUGUAAGCAAUGAUGUAAAAAGUUUUUUUUUUAAACGACGAUAUUAAUUUAAAUUUAAAUUUAAUUAAUUUAUAAAAUUAUUUUUAAAAAAUAAAACUUAUAACAUUUUUUUUAUUUCAAACUACAACUUUGUUUAUAAAGAAAUCACUGUUUAUAUUUUGAAUUAAUACAGUUAAUUUUUUUGUUGAAAAAAAUUAAAAAUAAAAAAGAUUAAUUUAUCUUUAAAAUUAAGAUAAAUCAUCAAUUUAUAAAAAAAUUUAUAAAAUUUAUAAAAUCUUUUAAAUUUACAUAUUAUCUAUCAAUAUAUCAUAAAAUUUCAAUUUGAAUAUUUUAUAUUCAAACCUUAAAUUUUAAUUAUUUUCACCAAUUUUUAUUGAAAUUUAUUCAAUUAAUUUAUAUUUACAUAUAAUCAAAAUGUAUUUCUUUCAAUUUUAUUUAUAGAAUCAAAAGGAAAGUUUCUACCAACUGAAUUAAUUUUUAAUCAGUUUUUAAGUCCCUUCAAACUCUUUCUUAUGAUCCAUCCUCGGUCAUAAUUUUUAUAUAUAGAAUAAAAGUGAAUAUUAAAGAAUUUCAAUAAAAAAGUUAGAAGUGAAAAAAAUUAAAAAAUUUAAAAUUAAUUUAAAAUUUUAGUAGUUAGUUUGAUUUGAAUUGAAUUUUGUAAUUUUAUUUAGUUUAAUUUUAAAUAUUGAAUAUAUAUUUAAUUUGAACCGAAUUUAAAAUUUAAAUGUAAAAAAUUGAAAAAAAAUAAUCAAAUCAAAUUAUAUAUUUUUAUUAAUUUUAUAUAUUUUUUAAAUUUUUAUAAAAUAAAAAUAAUUAUUUUAUAUAUAAAUUUACUUAAAUAUAUUAAAAAAUAUUCACACAAAUUUUAAUAUCUUUCACAUAAAUCCUUAAAAUAAGAAGUGAGUGUGUGAAAUGAUUGUAUAAGAUGAGUGGCUUUAUAGCACUGUCAUAACAUUUUAUAUUAUCUUGAAUCGGUUGCUUAUAAUUAGUCAUUUGAUCUCUCGCAACCAUAAAAGAAAGGCAUGUUUUCGUUAAAGCAUCCUUUGCCGAAGCUCCAAUGGCUCGUCUUGGCAACAUCUAUGGUAUCAGCUGUAGUAGCUGUGGAAGAACAACCCAAGGCGCCUAAACACUGCAGUUCCAGUUGUGGGCAUCUUAAAAUUCCUUACCCUUUUGGCGUAGAAAAGGGAAGCUAUCUAAAGGGAUUUCGCAUUACUUGCAACACUUCCCAAAACCCAGCAAAAGCAUUUUUAGAUGCUACGAAAUAUGAGGUAGUAAACAUUUCUUUAGCUGAAAAUCGGGUACGAGUAAGGAAUUCUGUCCCUGCAUCUGUGACUCACACCUGCUUGGCACUCAAUGGAUCCGAAACUCAUGGACAGACAACCAUGAUUAAUUUGACUGAUACUCCGUUCGCACUGUCUCAAAACAAGUUCGUUGUAACUGGAUGUAACUCUCUGGGCAUCAUCAAACUUGGAAAGAGAGAGCUUCUCACUGGGUGCCUCUCUUUGUGUCACGUUAAGCGCGAGGACAAGACUAACGGAUCUUGCUCUGGGAUUGGGUGCUGCGAGGUCCCUAUUACUGAUCGUCUUAAAAUAGUCGAAACGAUUGUGAGUAACAUUUUCAAUGAAUCAAAAAUAAAGGAAGUGCUUAAUGAAACAAAGAUCUCGAUGCCCUAUCGUUGUGGAUCUGCUUUCUUAGUGGACCAACACAACUAUAGUUUCGAGGCAUCUGAUCUUGAUGAUGAGCAUAAAAUUUUUACUAAGAUACAGCAUUCUACAGUGGUUCUUGAUUGGACUGUGAGCAACCACACUUGCAAAGAAGCUAAAAGAGACUCGAACACUUAUGCCUGCAAGGGGAAUAGCGACUGUGUGGAUUACAAAGUAAAGGAUAGUCAAGGCUAUAGCUGCAGUUGCAAAAAAGGUUACCAAGGGAACCCUUAUUGUAGUCCGGGAUGCCAAGGUAUGGCUUACUUAUUAUUCCCUAUAUACUACUCAACUCUUUCAUCACCCUUGUUCAACAUCGUCUAUAAUUAAUCUUUUUAAUAUUCUAAAUGUUGUUGAAGUUUGAGCAUAUAAACAGUACAUCAUGUUUCUGUCAAUUUUUUUUUAAUUUCCCCUAUAAAUUAGUGCUCAUGUUUUCCCCAUAAUACUACUCUAUGUAAGUCAGUAACCUAUAUAUAUAUAUAUGUAUAUACUGAUGUCAUUUGUUCUAUUUGGCGAAAGACAUCGAUGAGUGCAUUAACAAUCCAUGUGAAGGCAAUCAUAAGUGUAUUAAUACACCGGGAAGUUAUCAUUGCAAGCAAUUUCUUUCUCAGCUGCUCCUGCUUGUUCUAGGUAACUAUAUAACUCAACACACGGUUUUGCUUUAUUUCUUUUUUGUUUCUUUUCGAGGAAGAGCUCUUAAUAUAUAUAUAUAUAUAUAUAUAUAUAUGAUUAAUUCAUGCAGCUUUCGUCAGUGUUUUGGUUCUGCUUCCGUUAGUGUUUUCCACUUACUUCUUCUUAAAGAGAAGAAGACUAAUCAAGCUCAGAGAAAAGUUCUUUCUUGAAAAUGGGGGACUAUUAUUGCAGCAGAAAAAUUCUUCCGGUCAAAGUGCUGUUGAGACAACAAAAAUUUUUACGGCCAAGGAGUUGGCAAAGGCCACCGACAAUUAUUCUAAGAGUCGAAUCCUCGGCGAAGGAGGGAAUGGAACGGUCUAUAAAGCUAUCAUAGGAGACAAUCAAAUAGUUGCUGUCAAGAAAUCGAAAAUAGAGACUCGUUCCCAAAUUGAACAAUUUAUCAAUGAAGUUGUUGUUGUUAGCCAAAUCAACCACCGCAACGUAGUCAAGCUCUUGGGAUGUUGUUUGGAGACUGAAGUCCCUUUACUGGUCUACGAAUUUGUCCCCAACGGAAGCCUUCACUAUCACAUUCACAAUUCCGAAAAGGCAGGCGCAAUAUCCUGGGACAUUCGUCUAAGGAUCGCCACAGAAACUGCUAGCGCACUUGCUUACCUUCACUCUGCAGCCUCGAUUCCAAUCAUCCAUCGAGAUGUCAAAUCUGCCAACAUAUUACUCGAUGAAAAUUACAUUGCCAAAGUGUCAGAUUUCGGAGCUUCAAGGUUGAUUCCUAUCGAUAAAACUCAAAUUACUACAUUAGUCCAAGGUACAUUUGGUUACUUGGACCCCCAAUAUUUCCAGACAAGCAAGUUGACAGAAAAGAGUGAUGUUUAUAGCUAUGGGGUUGUGUUAGUGGAACUACUCACUGGUGAGAUACCAGUAUCUUUUGCAAGACCAGAGCCUGAAAGAAACCUAUCUUCUUACUUCAUUUUAUCAAUGCAACAGGAUCGUCUCCUCCAGAUCCUAGAGCCCGAACUUGCAAACGAGGAGAAUAGAGAAGAACUGAUAGCAGUUGCUCACCUGGCUAUGAGAUGUCUGAUGUUGAGGGCGGAUGAAAGACCUUCAAUGAAAGAAGUGCUUAUAGAGCUGAUAGAGUUGAGAAAACUUGAGAAACAUCCAUGGGGUCAAGCUAACUGUGGGCAGGCUUUGAGCUUGUUGCAUGAACAAGCAGAAUUAUACCGGCUCACAGUUCAUCAUCAAAUACUAAAUACAGUGGCACACCAACAAACCUGUCACUUUCAUUAGACACCCCAGGACGAUGAGCAUCCAAAAGAUAUAGAUUUUUUGUACGUUCUGUUUGCUUUGUAAAAUUUGGUGAACCUAUGCUAUUUUUUAUGAUACCUAAUCCUUGUUGUUGUUGUCUACUGAGUUUGCUUAAGUGUUUCAGACUUAACCAUUUGGUAUUAAUUAUUUAAGACAAGUUCAUAAAGGUUUCUAACAAGUUUAAAACAAUCGGUAGCCGUUUUCAUAAGAAUACUAUUACAUAUAUAUACGGUUGCAUCAAAUAUAGCAACACAAACCUAAUGGUAGUUGGAUUAAUCCUAAUACCGAUUAACAGAAUACUCAGAUUAUCAAAACACAGUAGCAUAAUCAGAGUAUCAAAACACAGUAGUAUAAGUAAGAUGUGAAGCUGACCACCUUCCAUGAGGAAAAUUUGUGUUUCUGUACAAUGUAAGAUAUUCAUAACUCCAGUAGUCCUAUCAAAGAAAAAGGCCAAACCAUGCAGCUUUCUGCUACAGCUGGACUAACAUUAUGAAACUGAAUUGAUACUUUACAACAUGCUAGAAAGAAGAAAACCAAUAACCUAGAUGUACAAGCCACAACAACCAGUGAAAUUAAAUAUGGGUUUUUCCAUUUGGAUCCCCAUGCUCCUUGUCCAACUCCCCAUUCCCUAUAGAACUUCUAAUUCAUCUUGUUGGUUUGUCCUGCAAAAGAUAUAAAUAAGAAUGUUAUCUUUUAGACAAAGAUAGUUGUAAAACUUGAAGCAAAUACAAAUCUUUAUACCACAAUGAAAACAAUUAACAAAAACAACAUUUAGGACAUUAAAUUCAUUCAUCUAGUUUCUGCCAUUUAGUUUCAAUGAAUUCAUUGAUUGAGAAUAAAUCCAAUUCAUCAAGGUCAGUCCCAUCGCAAUAAGUACAUUUGAGCCACAAAUGCCUUGAAUUUUUCAAUUUGUACAGUCUCAACCAGAAAACAGCCAGUGGGAAUGAGCACUCAAUUUGUUACAAGCUUACAUAAGAAUGUAGAGCAGUACAUACAUAAUAAUAUAUACUGACAGGGUAACUUAAAAUGGGUAUUAUUAGAGAGCUUAUCCAUCAUAAAGCAGCAGCAAUUACUCAACAAACUAAAAAAUAGCCCAAGGAAACCAUGGCUGAUUUAGACUAUGCAUCAGACACAAACUUCAGCCCAUCAUACAUUACCUAGAUUGUACAACUAGGAUGACAAACCAUUCAGACCUAAGAAAUAUCAGAUUAGUAGAUAACUCAAGAAAAAAAAUGAAAGAAGACUAGAAUCUUACAGCUAGAUAACAGCUGACGAAUAUUAGAUAGAUAUGUUAGCUUCCUACAGGUGUAGUUUGAAAGUUUCAAAUAUGUAAUAUUUGGCCCAAAAAGAAGGAACAGUCAAGAAUCAUUUUGAUUGGUGAGCAAUAAACUCGUCCAACUUUAUAAAAGGGGUUUUCUUUUAUAUACUUCUAUGUGUUAGGCUAAAAAGCUUUGAUCCAAUCACAUCAAUGGAAAUAUAAUCAAAUAAUCAAUCAAUCACAUAAAAGAUAAUAAUUUAACAUGAUUCGAUCCAACCGACCUACGUUCACGGAUGAAAAAUAAGAUCCACUAGUUAUAGAGAAUUAUAAACAUACAUCAAAAUAUAUCAAUCACUCAACAAUCAAUACUUGUAGACAUUCUUACAUUACAAGAAAAUGAAAGAUUAGUUGCAGUUUUGUAGUGACAUUUCACUUACAAACGCUGCUAACUUUUGUGUUUUUAUAAAACUUGAAGCGUUUAUUAUCAAAACGCCAUUAAAUAUUCAAAUAGCGGUGUUGUUACUUAUAAAUGACAUUAAAGACAAAAAUUAGCGGCAUUUAUUGAUUAAAACACCUUGAAUAAUCCUUUCUAAAAAAUUGAAGUGAUUAUUGAAGAUAUUUUUUUACAAAAAAUGCUUUGAAUAAUCCUCUCAUAAAAAAUAAAAGCAAUUAUUGAAGGCAUUUUCUACAAAAAAAAUGCCUUCAAUAAUUCUUUUAAAAAAUUAUAGAGGAUUAUUGAAAGUAUUUUUUAUCAAAAAAAACCUUCAAUAAUCUCCUUUAUUUUUUAUGAGAAGAUUAUUAAAGGCGUUUUGUACAAAAAACACCUUCAAUAAUCCCUUCCAAUUUUUUUAUGAGGGAUUAUUGAAAGCGUUUCAAACAAAAACAUCUUAAAUAAUCUACUCAUAAAGAAUAGAAGUGAUUAUUGAAGAUGUUUUUUACAAAAUAACAUCUUUAAUAAUUCCUCUAAAAAAUUGUUAAUAAAUUUAUCAAAAAUAGAGUGACGUUAUCGGUUAGAGUAUACGAUAAUUAAUUAUAAGAUCGUAGGUUCAAUUUCUCUCUUCAAUAUUUUUUGAAUUUUUUAAGGGAUUAUUGAAGGCGUUUUUGGCACCUACAAAAUGCUAAAAAGAAAGAUCGAAUCUACAAUCUUAUGAUUAACGACUGUAUGUUUUAACCGACAAUGCUACCCCAUUUUUGGUAGAUUCAUUGACGAAAGAUUUAUUGAAGGCAUUUUGACAAAAAAUGCUUUCAAUAAACCUCUACAACUUUUUAGGCAAAUUAUUCAAGGCGUUUUAAUGCCUUCAAUAAUCGCCUUUAUUUUUUAUGAGUAGAUUAUUUAAGGCAUUUUUUGCUUGAAACACCUUCAAUAAUCUCUCAUAAAAAAUUCGAAGGGAUUAUUGAAGGCGUAAUCCCCUUAUAAAAAAAUGAAAAGGAUUAUUGAAAGUAUUUUUUGCAGAAAACACCUUCAAUAGUCCCCUCUAAAAAAUUGGAGGGAAUUAUUGAAUGAGUUUUUGACCAAAAAACACUAUCAAUAAUCCCCUCUAAAAAAUUGAAAGGAAUUAUCGAAGGUAUUUUUGAUCAAAAAUACUUUUAAUAGUUCCAAAGAAAGGGUAAUCGACUGCUAUGCAAUAGCAGUAGAUUGCUUUUUCUUUCUUUUCAUUAAUUAAGCUCUAAAUAGGUCUAAAAGCUGUCAAUUUUGCUUACUUUUCCUUUUAAUUGUUAAAAAUUAAUCAUAUAAAUUAAUUAUCUAUUAUAUUUAAUUUUUAUUAUUAUUAAAUUUAUUAUAGUUAUAUUUUAAUUAUAAACUUGUGUGAAAAUUAAUUAAUUUAUUUAAUAUUUAUAUACCAAUAAUUAUAUAUAAAUUAAAUUAUAUAUAAUUAAAUUAUAAAUAUUAUUAAACUAAUUUAAACAUUUAUGAAAUUUAGAUAAUAAUUCAUUAAUUCAGUAUAAUUUAUAAAAAACCUAUAAUGAUAUGAAUUUUAAUAAUUAAAGUUAUUAGAUAUUAUAAAUUAAUAUUAUUAGUAUUAGAAUAACUAUGCAAUGCAAAUGAUAAUAUGUUAAUGCACAUAUUUUAUUUUUUUAUUUUUUUAUUUAGAAAUUUUAUUAAUUUUUUUAUUUUUAAUUUAAAUUUUGAAGAAAAAAUUUUUUAUUAUAUUAAAGAUUUUUUAUAAAUAUUCCAACACACUGGUAAUAUUUAAAAAAAUCUUCUCACCUAGGGAUUUCGUAAAGCAUCAUUACUUGGAAUACUUUUAGAAUCCCAUCAUUGGAUAAAAUUUUCUUUUUCCUUAUUUAUAUUACUGAUUCUUAAUUUAUUAAUUAAUUUUUAUUAUUUUAUUAAAGAAAAGAAAACUUAUCUUCUCAUCAAAAUUUAAGGGAAUUAUUAAAGGUAUUUUUUACCUGAAACACCUUCAAUAAUCCCCUCAUAAAAAAUAAAAGGGAUUACUAAAAUAUUUUUUUGCAGAAAACACCUUCAAUAAUCCAUUCUAAAACACUAUAGGGGAUUAUUGAAGGCAUAUUUGGCCAAAAACGCCUUCAAUAAUCUCUUUAUCAAAAUUUAAGCUGAUUAUUGAAGGUGUUUUCUGCAAUAAUCCCCUCUAAAAAAUUUAAGAAGAUUAUUGAAUGCGGUUUUUUGCCUGAAAUAUCUUCAAUAAUCCUUUUUGCAAAUAGUGACAUUUUUUUUAAGUAAACGCCACUAUCGUGAAAAAAUGGCACGACUAAAAUUUUUUUUCAAAAUUUAAACCCCCUCUUUCUUCUCUGUAAUUUCUUUUUUUUCCUAGCUUUUUUCUUAGAAGAGAAUGGUGAGAAAGAAAAUUCAAGUCAAGAAAAUUGACAACUUAGCAAUGAGGCAAGUGACUUUCUCAAAGAGGAGAUGAGGACUUUUUAAGAAAGCUCAUGAGUUUUUCACUUUUUGCAAUACUGAGAUAGCUCUUUUAAUCUUUUUAGUCACUGAAAAACUCUUUAAAUACUCAAGCAUAAGGUUGCUCUCACUUAUCUCAUAUAUAUAUAUAUAUAUAUGUAAAUGCUUUGUCUUGAUUUUUGCUCUAUUUCUGUUGGUUUAAUAUAGAAAUCUUUGCUUACUGUUUGAUUUAAUAUGUUGAAUGUGCUUGGGUGAGUGUGAGAAGAAGUGAGAAACGUAAUUGUUUUAAAAGAAAAUCUUUCGAAUCAAGAGAAUUGUAUAAAAGUAUAAAUUUAUGAUAAUUGAAGGUACUUGAAUCUUGUAUUCUAUUACAAAAAGAACUUCUUUUAAUAAUUUGUCAGAAGCUAAGGGGUUUUGGGGUAAGAGGCCAUGGUUUCACAUAAAUGUUUGUAUGAUAUUUAUUGAUGCUUAUUCAUACUUUCCUGAACCUUGUUUAAGUCAUAUUUUAUGACUAACCAGCUGCCUUAUAAGAAUUUUAUGCUUUCCAUAUAUCUUUCCUGAUGCAAAUUACAGCAUAAACUGAUAUUUUACCUUUCACUUUUCUUAUCAGAACCUGAUCUGCUGUCAUUUUCAUUUUCUCUCCAACCAAACUGCUUUUAAUUUCAGUUUUCUUAAUUGAAACUUGUUAGAAUUUUAGGUUUGCUACACUCUUUUUGAAUGUUCUUUAAGGUUUUCAUAAUAAAAUUUACAAAUUCUCAUGAUUUCCUUUUCAAAUUCUAUAAAAUUCAUGUUGAACUCAAAUCUGGUUUCAAAACUGCAUACCUAACCUAUCUUCAGUCUUUUGAUCAAAACUCAGUGAAUUCUAGGUUGAUUUACUUCAAAUUUGUUUCCUAGAUUCCUAGUUCAUAAGGCUAUAAUCCAGUAAAAAUUCAGCCUCAAAUUCCAUUCCUACAAGUACAAUUAAUUCUUCAAAGUUAAGGUUGAAUCCAGAAGACAAAAAUGAUCCAUACAUGAUGAUCCUCUCUCUUUCUAGGUGUUCGAUUUGAUUCUCUCAUACUUUACAUUCUUAGUUUUACAUGUUUACUCGUUAUUUUUUAAUUGAUUGCAUUUAUUUUUAUGAAUUCAUUUGGUGUUUAGAUAGAUUUAGUUGUUAAUGCUCUAUUUUUCUCUGUUUUGAGUGUCCUCGAAUUGUUAGUUCAUUAAGCUGGUUUUUCUCUAUUUUGCUACCAUUUUCUUGUUGAAUUUUGUAGCAAACUUGAUUGAUGAAUUGUUUCUUAGCUCAUUUCAAGUUCAUUUUCAUUAUAAGCUUCUAGAUCUAAUUUUUUUCGUUCAACAACUUAGUGAGUUUUGAUUAAAUUUCACUUUAUAUUUUAGUGGUUUCUAGUUAAUUCUUGUAUUUUCUUGCACUUUUUGUUCUUCAAAUCAGUUUUCCUUUUAGUUCUUUAAUUGAUAUUUUCAAUUCCAGUUUAUGAUCACUUGUUUUAGCAUCAAUUAGAUGUUGAUUAAUUAAUUCAUGUUUGGUUACAAGUUAGUUGUUAGUUGCAGUUUUGUGUUCUUUCAUUACAUUGUACGAUUUUUCUUCAACUUUUGCUUUUCAAAUUGAUUUCUCAUGAUGUUUUUUUAUAGAUCUUUAAAAUUUCAUCUUGUUUUGAAGCAAAUUUAAAGGAACAAAAAUGAAAAUUCAGAUUUAAUAUACUGGUUUUGAGAUGUAUUCUAUUUCAAUUAUAUGUGUGUGUUUAGGGUUGGAGUUGGAUUUCUUUUGAACCAAUUGCUUUAAAGUUUGGGCUAUUGCACAUGCAAUGUUGAUAACUUAUUUGUAGAAUAAUUUCCUUUAUUUAAUGUAUCCUAAAGUUGAUAUGUGUUAAGAUACUCUUAUUUAUUUGAAUAAAGAUCUAAAUGUGGCCAAAGGGCUAUUUUAUCCCAAAAGUCAAGGAAUUUGGGCUUUUUCCAUAAAUUGGUAUGAUUGAAAAAGGUAAAAAAAGGAUGUUCUGGCUUCAAGCUUUUAAUGUUGAAACAAGAAAUUAAGUUAAUUGUUUUAGUAUGACCUAUUCUAAAAAAUUUAGUUUUAGGGUUCAAUCUAAUUAUUUUGUCACACCUAUAAAUCACAAUCAUCUUGCUAUUAACUAUUGAGUUUGGGAGUUUUAUGCAAUAUGCCCUUUGUGUUUAUAUCUCUUUCAAUCAGAAACUUUUUUGUUGAUGUCAUCCCCUUGAAUCUUAUUCUUCUUCUACUUUUGUAUCAUAAAACAACAUGGCUAGCAAUAUUUUACAUAUGUAUACCAAUUGGAUAUGCACUCGGAUGUGUAUAGGGUGGAAUAGUAAGUUUUCUUUUCUAGCUUUUUUAUAGGUAUUUGUUAAACUGAUCUCCUUAAUUCCUUCAUAGUUUAAGAAUAAAAGAACCAUACUUAUCUCAAAUAUGUCAAGUUUUAUUAUUGUCCAUAUUUUAUGACGCUCUAUGCUUUGCCCAUACGUUAAUCUAAGAUAACUAGCUGAUAGGUUAACAGUCAUUUAAAAUGGCAUUUCGCAUUUUGGGUGGAAACCAUUGUGAUGCUUCUAUUUGCUAUUCUAGAUUUUAUUAUGAAGCCUUUGCAGUUGAAAGGUGCAUAUUGUAGACCUAUCAACUUGGAUUGAUCCUCUAUACUUUUUCUAAUUACUUUUUAAUGAUUCCAUGAUACAGUUUUUGCUGCUGCUAAGUUUAAAAAAGCAUUGAUCUCUAUAGACACAACUAUACCAUCAGUUCAAGGUGCAGCAUAGUUGAUUUAACUAUUACAAAAUUUGUAUUUUUCUCUUGAAACUUUGUUGCAUGGUCAUUUUAGUUUGAAGGAUUGGUUUAUUUCCCUCUUGAAGCAUUUGAAUCCAUUUAUUUUUAUGAAUUUAUUUACGAGCUGAAAAUAUGAUUUGAAAUGGUUUAUCUUAUAAACUUCAUGGAAUCAAAUAAUCUUUAUCUUUUUCCAAUACAAUCAAACGUGAACUUGAUUGAAGAUCUAUCUCUUAGCCUUUUGUAUAUUCUCAUUCUUUCAAAUUAUAUGGCACUGCAUUUCAAGUCUAGCAAUUUCAUAAUGAAAUAUGCAAAAGGGAAUAACUAUGAUUAUGAAAGGCAUUUUCAUGAAAUGCAUUCAGAGAGGGAAUGUACAUCAUUUUGCCUUGUGCAUUUAUCUUGAUCAUUGGCCAAAAAAUAUAUCUUAGUUUGUUGCUUUGGUUAAAUCUAUUUCUUUGUUAUUUUUGCAUGUAUGUAACAAUGAGAUCUUAUAUAUCUUCUUUGAUUUUAUCUUGCAUUACAAAUUUUAUGGUACUUUUUAUAGCUUACCUAGUGACAUUUUUCAAUUAGGAUGAAAUAUAAAGUUGUGGAGAAGAUAAAUGAAAUAUAAUGUGAUACAUUUCUAACAGCACAUUUUGAGGUUCUUGGAGAACUAUUCUCUUUAGCAAUAAAAGCCAAGAUGAGGAAUGGGUGUUGUAAAGCUCUACUCAAAGCAAGUACAAUUCCUUCCAUGGAGUCUGUUGAUGGGCAAAAGGAAAACAAAUGCAAAGUGAAAUAUUAUUGUAUGUAUUAAACUUUGUGUUACAUAUAUAUUGGAACAAAUUAUGUAUUUAGAUAUUUAAAUAUUUAUAAUAUUCAGUUCAUGAAUUUAAAUUCAUUUUUAUUUCUUUUAACAAUUUUUAUUUAAUUAUAAUAAAUAUUAAAAGAAAAUUAAAAAAAAAGUAAAAGUUUUGAUUUAGCGGCAUUUAUAUUUAAAAAUGCCACUAAAUGUUGAAUUUAGUAAUGUUUGUAUUAGAAAAUGCCAUUAAAUUUAGUGAUGUUUUUAUUACAAAUGUUGUUAUUUUUAGCAUUUAACGAUAUUUUUAAACACAAAUGUUGCUAAAUUAGCAACAUUUUUUUUUGCUACAAAUGCUACCAAAUUAAUGAUGUUUUUUAUGAUAAAAACGUCAUUAAAUUACUGGCAUCUCAAAUAUACAAAUAUCGCUAAAACAGUGACGUUUUUUAGAUACAAACGUUGCUAAUAUAGCGGUAUUUUAUAAAAAAUGCUAAUAUUUUUCGCGACGUGUGUAUAGCCAGCACUCUGACUAGCGUUUUUCGUAAACACACUUGAUAGUCUUAUGGGGUGCUACCCAUAAAAUCCUACAACUUUCUUACAUCUUUUUUAUACCUAAACCUGUAGAGACUUUACCUAUUUAUAACCAUACAAACUUACUUAUUAAGAAUCUCUUUUCUUUUAGAAUUCUUCUUCUGCAAGUCAAACUUGCCUAUUAAGAAUCCAUUUCCUUUUAAAAUUCUUAAGAAUUUAUUUCCUUUUAGAAUUUUUUUUUUUGUAAAUCUUCUUGUCUAUUAAGUAAUAUCUAACAAAUCUCAAACAAAUCUCUUAUGAUAUUUGAGUAAUUAUUCCUAACAAUCUCUAUCUUAACUUAAAUUUCAUUAAAUCAUCUGUCUUCAUGCUAGAUAUAUUUAGCUCUAUCUACAAUAAAAGUUUUACAAAUAUUUUUUCUUACGUGCCUUUAUGCUUCAUGCAAAUCGAUCUUUAAAAUGCGAACUUGAACUUUUUCUUUGAAUCGAGCUCCUCUAAGUUUACCUCUUCUCAUGUCUUGAACCAUGCUCUAUUCUUUCCACGAACCUCAAUCCUUGAACCUUACUCAUUUUUUUCCACGAACCUUGCUCUGAUACUACUUGUUAGGCUAAAAAGCUCCAAUUUAAUCACAUUAGCGAAAGCAUAAUCAAAUAAUCAAUCAAUCACACAAGAGACAAUAAUUUAAUGUGAUUCAAUCUAACCGACCUACAUUCAUGGAUAAGAAACAAGAUCCACUAAUUAUAAAGAAUUACAAACAUACAUCAAAAUACAUCAACCACUUAAUAAUUAAUAACCAUAAACCCCCUCAAUCUCUUCUAGUCCUAUGGAGUAUUCUCAAUCCAAACAAACACAUAUUCAUAUGUAUCUUUUCAACACAACUAAAUACAUACCCAUAUACACUUUUACAUCAUACUUAUAUAAACCUUCUUAGUCUCUUCUAAUCCACUUACAAACAAAUAUGCACACUCAUAAAACGUAAAUCUUCAAUAGUCUUAUGGGGUGUCUACCCAUAAAACACUACAACUUUUUUAUAUCUUUUUCUCAUAUUUAACCCUGCAGAGACUUCACAUAUUUAUAAUCAUACAAACUUAUCCAUUAAGAAUCCAUUUCCUUUUAGAAUUCUUCUUCUACAAGUUUUCUUAUCCAUCAAGUAAUAUCUAAUAAAUCUCAAAUAAAUAACUUACAGAAUUUGAGUCAUUAUUUUCAACACUAUGUAAAAUGAAAGCUAUCAACGAUUAGCUUUCUAGUACAUCUUUGGUGCAAAUUUCAGAAUAAAUACCUUUGCAGUAAGAUUGCACACAAUUUGCUGUAGAUGGGGACUCAUCCCAACCUCAUCUCGAAUGCUAUCCAUUCCUAUCCCUACUAUAUCCUCUAUAGUUUAUUUAUUAAUUAAAUUUGUAAGUUUCCCAGGCUGAAUUAAGCAGAUAAUUUAGUCACAAAUUAUGCUUAAAAAUUUUAUGUUGUUAGAAAGAAAACUAAAAGGAUUAAAUGGGACGAAAUGAAUGAAGUUUCUCUUCAACAUACAAACUAUAAGCACAAUAACAAUACAAUUACAAAAACCAAGUAGUAUUUCAGCAUCUUAUGAAGAAUAUAAGCACGGAAGAAACCAGAGCAACAAUCAAAUAAAGAUAAAAUAGAAACACGAACAUGCAAUAAGAAUGCGACGCCACAUAGACAUAAAUAAGAUAGCAUAAUAAAUUUAAAAAAAAGACAUGGAUAUGAUAAAACACGAUAAUAAAAAAAUUUUUAUAUAUUUUUAUGUUAAAAUAUUCAAUGUAUAUGUAAAUAUCAAUUUUUAAUUUUUUUCAAUUUAAAAUUAUAUUUUAUAAUAUAUACAAUAUUCUUAAUUAUAUAAAAAAAUUAUUUUUAAAUACAUACAAGAUAUUAAUUAUUUCAAAAUAAUGAAAUAACAAUAUAGCUCAAACAAUGAAAUAAUGUAUUUAAUUUUUUUGGAAGUGCGACAAGUUAUAUUACUUUCUAAUUUCAUUUUUUUUUUUUACUUUUUAGUGUAAAAAAAAAAGCCAAAAAUCAUGUUUGGUCUACUAAAACAUGCCUACCCCACCCAUAAGACACCCAUACAAUCCGUUAUAUUUCUUUUUCCUUUCUUUCCAUCUUUCUUUUUCUUGCUUUUUUUCUUUAUUAUUAUUUUCUUGUUUUCUUUCCUUAGGUCCUACCGGUUUUUGACAACCUCUAUGUCAUAUCAUCACUAUCGGCCGUUGCCCAUCGAUAUUGAAAAUUUAUUUAAAAAUUGUCAAUAAAUUCAUCCAACCUUUUUCUUUCUUCUUAUCUAACAAGAUUAAAAAAAAAAAAAUUGGAAAAGCAUAGAUCUAAAAAAACUUGUCAAGAUGGUGUGUAACUAAAUUUUUAUUUUUUUAUCAUUUCCUAGCUUGGUCGGUAUUUAUUUUACUGUUUCGAUUGUGUGUUUGUGUCGAACACGAGUACAGCAUCGGCACAAAAAGCGUAGCCGCAUGUCCGUGCUUUGUAGACAUACAGUAGGUGAAGCCAUAAGGCGUGAGACCAGAUCGCUCCCUUCUCCUCUCUCUCCUCCUCUGCUAUGUCAUUGUAGGUGCUAUUGUUCUUUUAGCUCACAUAUCACUUCUAAUGAGUUGAAGUCACCUAAUUUAUUCUCAGUUUUAAUUCUUUUUACAAACAUACGAUUUCCAUUUUAACAUUUUAUUCGCUUCAACAAAAGCAAAACACCUCUUUAAAACAUUUUUAGAAAAUUUUGCAAAAAUUUAGAACUUUAAAGAAAUUACACCUCUUCUUGAAUCAAAACUUUCAACCAUGAUAUGACACUCAAUUUCUUCUAAGUUGAUAAAGAAAACCGUAAAUAAGAGAAGUUGCUAACUAGAAAAAUUCCAACGCACCAUAGAAAGGUAUAAAUUAAAUAACAAAAAAAAAUUAAUAACUAGCAAUUACCAUGUAAAUGGAAAGUAUCACAUGCUUUCAAGCAAGUUUUACUAUUAUACCAAGAAAUCUAUAUAUAUUAUUUUAAAAUAAAUUGUAAAACCAAAAAAAAAUAAAAUAAAACAUACAUGAAGCUCGAAAAAGAGAGAAGCAAUUAAAGUUUCAAGAGACUUAAGAGAAAAUUUUCCCACGAUUAAUUUUAAGAUCAAUUUUAGCAUUUCAUAUCUAGCUAGAACCCUAAUUAAUUUUAAUACAAGUAUCUAUGGUUUUUUUAAAAUGUUUAACUAUAUAAUUAAAAUCACAUACUCACUAUUAAACCAUGAUUUUAGUUCAACUAUUUAGAAUUGCUAUAGAAUCUAUUUUUCUACCCCUAACUUUUAGUUUCUACAAAAUUAGUCUUUUUAUUUUAAACACAAAAUGAGACAUAUUUUUAACUUAAAAAUAAUUUUGCUUUUUUAAAAUUAUAGAAUUCGAUUAAAUAAAUACUCAAGACUUAAUUAUGCUAAUUCUAUACUAAAAAAAAAAAUAGAAACUAAUACAAUAUAAUAAACAUACUAAAGUUUUAAUCACUCUUAAAUAUGAAUCCUAAAGAUGACUGAUAGAAAUUGAUAAUUUAUAAAAAUAUUCAAAUCCAAUUAAAUACAUAUCAAUAAUAUAUGUUUCCUAGCAAAAAAAUUACUUACAUUAAUUACAUUAAUCUUAAUUAUAUAUUUGAAUUUAUAUGGCUUAUGGAAUAGAGGUUUCUACUUGUGUUGGUGUAUUAUCACUUUAUGAUUUAAUUGAUAGAUUAUAUGCACUCACUUUGACAAAAUGAUAAAAUCCAAUCUUGGGGUAUGAUUGUAUUGUUACAAUCAAAAUGAUAAUUAAUUAGAAAAUGAUUGCGUCAUCUGUUUUAUGCAGCAUCUAUCAACUAUCAGGACGGAUCUACAAUGAGGGCAGUGGGGGCAGCUGCCCCCACUGAGAUCCUAAUUUUCCUUAAAAAUUAUUACAAAAAUUCUUAAAAAUUUUAAUUCUUGUAUAGUUUGACGCUACUAAAAAUGAAAAAAUAUAUAUGACACUUUUAUAAAUAUUUAAAAGAAUUAAAUUAUAAUUGUAAUAUAAAUGACUUAGUUUAUAAAAAUAAUAGGUCACAUGUAUAAAUAUAAAUAAAAUAAAUAUUUAAAAACAAUUUUUUAUUUAAAGACCAUCAUUUCAUUUAAAAAAACAAUAAAAGUCAAAUAAAAAGUGAUCUUUCUACUCCAUUUAUAAUUUUUUCCUUCGUCCAAACCCAUAAAAAUUACAGUAGAUAGAGAACAGAAGCAGAGAAAUAACAAGAAGACAAAGAAAAGCCAAUAAACCAAAAAAACAAAUUAAGGAGUGAAUACUUUUUUUUCUUCCAUCAAUAUAUUUGAGUAAGUAAUUACUUUUUUUUGGAUUUAUUUUUGUGUUUAUUAUCAUUUAUUUAUGUGAUAGAAUAUUUGUUUACUAUUUAAAUUUUUAAUAUUGUCAAAAUAAUUUGAUUUGGGGCUUAAUUUAUAAUUUAUUUAUAUUUAUAUUUUUAUAUUAUAAGUGGAUUAAGGUCGAAGAAUAUUGUACUUUCUUAAAUUAAUCAGUGAAAUAAUUUAAUUUUUAUGAAAUUAUUUUUUAUUUAUAAAAUUAUAUUAUUUAAUUAAAAUUCAAAAUACAUAAUAAACUAUGCAUGUUGAUUUUGUUUGCAUAAUUACAUUUCAAUAUCUAAUAUAAACUAUAAUAUUAUCUUCUUAUUUCUUAGAAAUUAUAUAAACUAAAUUAUCUAAUUUAAUUAAUUGAGAAAAAAUAUCUUAUUAAAAAAAAAUCAAUUUUAAAUGAAUCAUUCGAAAUCAAUAAUAGAGACAACAUUUUACAAACAAAUUCAUGCUUAAUUAGAUUUAGAUGAUUUUCAUCGGAUCCAAAGUUAUGAAAAAAAAAAUUUAGACUAUCAUCUCGAUAAAAUAGAUAAUGUUUGAAAAGUUUAUUUUCACAUUGAGAAACCUAUAAAAAAUAAUUAUAAUGUGUUAUCUUUGUAUAUAAACAAAAUGAUUUUUUAUGCAUUUGAGUUCAUUAUAUUUUUAUAAUUUUAUAGUUAAUAUUAUUUAUAUUAAUUAUCUCCACUGAACGUAAAUUUUAAAUUCGUCCCUGCCAACUAUGGUUGUCUUGAGAGGUUAUUUGAUCUGAUAGGCAAUAGUUGUGGUAGUAAAAUGAUGAAAUUGCUUUGUGUCCUGAAAUUGAACUUCACUUAUAUCAUCCAGACUAGUAUAAUUAACUGUUCCAUCAUCUUUCUAAUCGGUAAAAAUCCGUACACUUGUUCUUGAUUUUUUUAAGGUGUUCUUAUGAUUUAUUUUGCGGGCAAUGCUUGGAAUCCAAUGAAGCAUGGACUCGGACAUGUUUACGACAAGAUACGGAUAUGGCAACAUCAUGACAAUUUCUAAAAAAUAAGAACAGGAAUACAGCAAGACACGAUAAUAAAAAAUAUAUUUUAUAUAUUAUAGUCAUCAGUUAAGAAUAUAUGAUAGAUAUUGGGCUGAUUUUUAAAAAACAAUUACCUUUUGUAAAGAAAAACUAAUGUAAAUAUGGCAAUAAAAGAACAUAGGAUGUCGUUACCCGCAUGACAAUUUUCCAACAUGUUCUGUAUGUAUGUCGGAAGCGUUAAAGUGUCAAGAACACGAAUACAACAAGGGUACGCAGGAAGUUCAAACGUAAGAGGUACAAAAUAUUACCUUGUAUAUUUAGAAGCUUGAGUGCUUCCUGUGUUUCCUCUGAAUUUAUUUUAUGUUCACUUGAUAAAAGUGAUAUGUUUCGGCUCACACGCAUUCGGUUAAUAAAAAUGAUAUAUUUCCGUUCACGGGCAUUCGGAUAGGUUGCAUGAUUUGUGAGACAACAUAACUUUCCAGCAUUUAAAUAUUUAUGGUGUCUUUUUGUUUCAAGUUUUGAUACUCAAGGACAUUUUAGAACCCAGUUCUGUACUGAAACAGAAUGUGAACAUGGAAAAUAAAGAAAGAAAAUGAAAAUUACCAACAGAAAACAAAAGUUCUGAUACAAUGGGAAAAUUUUUAAGCUUGUAAGGGAUGGUUUUCCUCCGUAAGAGCAUGAUACAUGCUAGAAUUGUGAUCCACUGUAGCCAGUUGACAAAUACUGAUAUCCCCAGUUCAGUUGUUUGAACGUAGCAAUAACUAUGGGUUGCAUAAAAAAUUCAAGCUCCAAAAAUUGCCUAAAAUAAGCUCUGAUGUUUUUUGCGUUCAUUUUGAAGGAAGUAUUAUGCAGGGUUUGCAUAAUAUAUUAGACAGUUAUUGGAGUAGCAUACUGAUUCAAUUUAGACUCCUUUGGAAACAGGCCUUUUUCGCAAGCUCCUUUCACAUGAAAUUGAGCUGAAAUUCUGCAGAAUAAAUUGAGAAUAGUUAUUAUAAGCUUCUUGUGUUCUUUUUUGUCAAGACAGGACAUACCCCUGAUUUGAUGAUUGAAAUGAGCUCCUCAAACCAAUACUUGAGCUCAGCAGCUGAAGCACUUUGUCUCCAUCAACGUAGAUGUUUCUUUAUGCGGAGCCAGAAUAAUAAUAAAGAUCUAAGAAGCAUAUCAAAAUGUUUAGUCACUAUUAUAAAUAGUUAAAACUUCAUACAUAAAGGCAAACAGUUUUCAAAGCAAGUAUAAAAGAAAACCACAUGAAGCUGUGUUGCUUUACAUUGUUUAUCAUACAACCUCAGAUUCUUCAAAAGCUCAAUCCAGGCAAAGAUUUUAACUCGUAGCUCCACCAAUCUGAAAGAAACGAUCAUCGAAAAAACAAAGGCUGCUGAUCAAUGCUUUAAGGAAAGGAUAUUUUAUGCAUCAAUAUGAAGAAUUGAGCUACAGUGGAAUGAAACUUCCAAACAUUAUUGCACAACAGAACAAUAUUACAAAGAAUUUUAACUUUUACAUUUAGAAUAUCAAUUUGGCCUUUACAGAAGGUCUCAGCUCAGCCAAUUUUACCUCCUUGAUAAAGUUCUUACCCUAUCUCAUCAUUUAUGCUUGCACCCCUGACACGGAGGAGGAAAGAUUUCUGUUGUAGGAAAGGAGCUGCUGCACUAACAACUUCGAAACCACCAAUGGAUUGAAGUUAUUUCGUCCUGUCAGACUAGUUGCACAACAACAGAUUUUUGUUUAGAAGCAUUUGGGAUAAAAAUGGAAGUACCAAAAAAGGGGAGAAAAAAAAAAAGCGAAAGGAAUCCUAGCAAGGCUGGAAGUUUUCAUUAUGCUAAGUAUCAUGAUUUCUUAUAAUUUAUGGUUUCUGAUCAUAAACAUGGAAUCUAUAUACUCAAGAGUAUGAUACAUGGAUUAUGGAUGGUGGAACAUGAUUCAAGGAUAUGAAAUGUUCAAGGCACUAAUUGCUGGUUCUGGAGGAGCACCUUUUUCAGAUUAAAAGACAAAAAUAUUGUACAUAAAACAUAAAGUACAAAUGAUUUUCCUUUGCUAUAAAAGGAGAACGUUUUAAAAAGAUUUCAGAACCCUGGAAAUAAGUAAUAACUAAGUAAUAACUUACCACUUUCAUAGGAAACAAUGUUUCCCUUGGGGAAUUUUUGCGCCACUGACACUGUCCUCACUCACAAGUCUGGCAAUAAAUCUUUAAUAUCUCAUCAUUUAUAACAAAUUGAGUUCUCAAUGGGAUUGAGGCAGAGAUUUUGGUACUGACUCAUUCAGGCGGCCAUAUGGUCAAUUUGACAGCAGUGAAGGCAAUCCAUACUUCUGCUAAGUAAACAGCAUUCAUCUUUUUCAGGUCUUUCCAUCUGCUUUUGCAAACCACUUUGUGUGCUCCUAUAAAGGCACUACUCACUGGCCUCUGCAACUUCCAACUGACUGAAACUAAAAUUAGAUAUCAAAUUAAUCUUCACGCAUAUAAGAACAUAACAAGCAUUUAAUAAUUGAAACCAUUCUUGAAUGAUUCUGCAAAAAAAAUCAGAUGUCAAUGAGACAAAAUGAUUAAUAGAUAUAAACAUUUAACAUAUCUGUUCUGCUCUUGAAAUUGUCCCUCUACUAUAUUUAGUCCAAUUUUAAUUUUAAUGAAUUUCUAUUUUUAUUAAACAUGGUUUUUUUUUAUAUAUAUAUAUUUUCCAUUUCAAUGUAAAACAAAAAGCUGUGUGUAUAAGGGAUUGAACUAAUGAACCUUUAAUUAUGGAAUCGAAAAAACAAUAAUCAUGAAAAUAAAUCACUUGAGCACUUUAUUUAAUAGUACGUUAAAGUUCUUCAAAUAAGUAUCAUAUAAUUGCAAAGUGACAUGUACCUUAUUUCUUGGCGUUCCUUCCGUUAACAAAUUAACAUGAAGCUGCUUCAAACUUCAAUGUAAGGUAUGUGGGCUAUGUUAAGAAACAAGUAUUAAUUCCAAUGUAAGGUAUGUGGGCUAUUUUGGGCCACUCUUGACCUCCAUCUUUCUUGCAUCGUUCUUCUAGCAAUGGACAUCUAGAAAUUUCGAGUUGCAAAAGUGAGUCAAACAUCUCCUUUUCCGGAAGGAAUUUGAGCUUGGGACAACUAUGGAUGCCCAAUGAUUCAAGAGACUUGAGAUUUUGAAAGCCCUUGGAGGAUAGAGUUUCUAGGUUUGGAAAACCGCAGAUGGUGAGGGAGGUGAGAGUGCGGGGCAGAAGCAUUUCCUCACAUGGGAAUGACACCACAUCUAGAGAAGCACCGUCGAUGGACAAAUGUUUAAGGGAGGUUAGUUUGUGCAAACCCCACUCGAUCACUGAUUUGCAAAUAUUGGGUUGCCAGAUUUGAAGUGCAGUGAGAUUGGGAGGGAACCCCUCUUGUGGAAAUUAUAUCACACUUGGACACUCAAAUAUGAACAAUUCUCGCAUAGAGACGAUGUUGUGGAUGCAGUUGGGUAAGGCCUGGAGUUUUUCACACCCAGAAAGAUGAAGCUUUCUGAGUUUGGUGGUUAAUAACACACUUCCUGGGAAUGAAAUCAAACUCGAACAACGCCCAAUAAGAAUCUCCCCAAGAUGGUUGAGCUUGUUUAAUCCACGAGGCAAAGAAUUCAAAUGAUCGCAACCGUCGAUAGUUAUCAAUUCAAGGGAAGAGUUCUGUUCAAUAUCUUGAGCUAUGGACUCUAGUGCUGGGCAAUAAUUAAUCCGGAGGGAUUUAAGCCCCAUGGGUAACUUGCCAUUGGCUGACAAGGAUGUCAACUUUUCACAAGAAUAAAUGUCAACAUGUUGAAGACUAACAGGUAACUCGCCCCUUGAGGAUAAAGAUAUCAGAGACUUGCAACCUCCAAUUACCAAGUGCUCUAGAAGACGCGUGCAGUAGAUGUUGUUGUUUACUCCAUCCAGCAAUUACAGCAAAUUCUCACACAGCAUAAUGGUUAAACGUCUUACAUUUGGUGGCAAGUUUCCAUUUGAAAUUGAAAUCAAUCUUGGGCAUCCUUCAAUUCGUAGCUUCGUAAGGGAUCUGCAGCUAUGUAUGCUUUCUGAUAGCCUUUCUAGCCUUUCACAAUAUUGUAUGGUCAAAUGUUCAAUAUGACGAGGGAUUCCUAAUUGCAUAUGCUCUUCCUUCUCGUCCUCUGCACCUAUGGAAACAAGUCUUGAACAAUUGUGAAUUUCCAAAAAGCGAAGAGGCCUCAAAUGUGUUGAGAGUCUUUCCUGGUUCAGCCAUGAAGAAAUUAGCUCCUCAUAUCCACUUAUAAAAAGAUGUUCUACUUUUAUCAACCCUAACAUCAUCCCCUCCAUUGGAGAAGUGAAUUUUGAAAUGUUUGAAAGAGGGACUGUUUCCAUGAAUGAGCCAGAAUUUGUACAAUUAGUAGACACCACCUCUUGGCAACCAUCAAUUUUUAAGUCAGACAACUUCGGAAGGCUUGAGAGUGAAACUGCCAACUGCUCACAUUGUUGAAUCACAAGUUUCUCCAAUGAAGGAAGACAACUAGGUAGACUUCUCAGUUGUUGACACAAUUUAAUCUCUAGCUUAGUCAAGGAAGGAAGACGAUUAGGUAAACUUCCUAACAACUUGGGGCAAUUUGAAAUGAUGAGCUCAUGGAGGUGUUGGAAACUCCUUACAUUUUCAUCAACUUCACAGGGAUCCCAUUCCUCCCAUUCUGGCAUGCCAUCAAAACAUAAUCUCUCUAGUGACGGAAAUGCAUUAAUCGACAGAUCCUUUCCAAAAAAAUUAGCACCCACAUUUUUUACCUUACUCAUCCUCCGGAUAGAAAGCGAUUUUAGCGACAGUAAUCUUCCAACAGCUGGUAAUAAUGUGCAAUUUGGACAGUAAUCCAGAUCCAGAAUCGAUAGGUUUUCAAAUGAAGGAUCUCCAAUCCAAUUUGGGAAUGUUUCACCUCCAUAACAUUCGAUGGUGAGCCUUUCAAGCAUUUUAGCAGGUUGGAGUGAAUCCAACACGUCCUUGUGAAUUUCUUCUCCUGCAAAAUUAUAACUCCACUUCAAACCUAAAUCACGAAGGUUCGACUUACGACAUAACCCAGCCACCCAUGCAUCUUGAGUUUUGACAACAUUCUGCAAUUCUGAAAUAACAAGUCCACCCUUAAGAUUAGACAAAUUCUCCAUCUCCCUUAUCUUACGGCCAUUGUCUUGACUCACAACAAAAUUUGUCAAUGUUUGAAGAUUGGUUAGUUCACCGAUUCCCAUUGGCAUCAUUUUUAUCGAACGUGCACCUGUAAUGUCAAGAUGCCUUAGGUUAAUUAAAAAUCUCAUUUCAGAAGGAAACUCUUGAAGACGAGAACACCCCCGCAACAGCAAGGUCUCUAAAUUGUAAAGCUUGCAUAUUGAAUCCGGCAGAGUUUCGAUUAGAGUGAGAGAAAAAUUUAGAUAACGCAGAUGCACCAAAUCUCCAAUAAUAUUGGGAGACUCCGUUAGGUAGCACCCUUGUAAAGAUAACACCCUCAAGUAUUUAAAUUCUGGCAACAACUUACUGACAACUUGAUUAGAGAAAUUCCACCAACCUCCAGGCAUCUUCAACGGUAGGAAGGUUCUUAAACCCUUCUUUCCGUUAAAGACUUUUAAAUUUUUAAUUCCGUCUUUCCUGCCACCAAUGUAAGAUGAAUGCCGAGCAUGACUGGAAACGUUCAAUGCCUUGUCACCCUCCACUCUGAAGCAUAUAUCUUUGGCAACUGAUUGAGCCAAAUCAUUAAUCAGAUCAUACAUUAUAAAUCGAGACUCAUCCUUGUUGGAUACUUCAAAAAAUGACCUCCGUACAAGUUCUUGAAAGUACUCAUGACCCAAAUCUUCAUUUUGCUUUGUAGCUUCCACUCGCAGAAAGCCUUCUGCCAUCCAUAAUAAGACUAUUUCUUCCUCGGUAAAUUCAUAAUCUUUGGGAAGUAUGGCACAGUAAGCAAAACAUCGCUUUAGAUCUGCAGGAAGAUGAUGAUAGCUUAAUCGUAAAGAUGGAAUUAUGUUACUCCUCCCUUCUGGUAAAUUCCAAAUCUCACUUUUUAGUAUCUUUCCCAUUCACCGAAUUCCACCUUAUUGCGCAAAAGGCCUCCAAUGGUCUUAGCUGCCAAGGGCAAUCCCUUGCACCUCUUCACAAUCUGUACACCAAAUUCUUUUAAGUUCGGAUGCCCACUAAAAUCUUUUGCUCCUAAUGCAUGUUGAGUUAAUAUAGAAAAGCAAUCACCAUCUGACAACUCUGGCAGCUUGUAACCUGGGAUAGUACCCACCAUUAAUGAAACACUGUCACCACGUGUUGUCACAACAAUCGUAGCUCCUAUGCCAAAAGGGGAUAUUAGACGAGUCCAGUCAUCAUAGUUUUCAUGCCAAAGAUCAUCCAAAAUCAGAAGUAGUUUUUUUCCCUCCAGCUUCUUCUUCAGUUUUAUUUGAAGGUUAUUCAAAUCAUCUCCAACAUUAAAAGAUUCAGGACUAACUGAUUGCAAAAUUGAUUUCGUUAUCUCCUCCAUCUUAAACUCGUCAGAAACACAUACCCAUGCUUGAAAAUCAAAAUGCUUAACUACACGCCUAUCAUUGUGGACAAGCUGAGCAAGCGUUGUUUUGCCAGUCCCUCCUUUGCCAAUGAUCGGAAUCACAGAAAAUUUAUUGCUAUCAUCACUCCCAAAAAUCAAGUCAAGGAUUGUUUCCUUGUCUUUUUCCCGACCGUAGACUUGAGUUUCAUUCACCAAACAAGUGGUUGAUCGCCAUCCCAAUGUUCUCUUGGGCCUCCCACCACCAUUUUUCGCCAAAGCCAAGAGACUUAUAUCUACUUCUAAAUCUUGAAAUCUAGCAGUGAUCUCUUUUAUCUCGGUCAUCAUUUCCUUAUUAAAUGAUAAAUUGUUACCCCUGAACCAGGUAAAGAUAGCAUCAACAAGCUUUUGUAACUUCCAUGGGCGGUGAUCUUGAUUUUCCCUCGUUAACUUGAGUCUCAAAGCUUCAGUAACAUACUUAUCCAAUAUGUCAUCCACAUCGUAUGCCAAGUCUUGGAGCUGGACCAACCAACUCUUCACAUGCCCAUCAUUCAUUUCCUUCUCCUCAGCAUCAUUUAGCACUGCAUGAAUAUUGCGCAAUGUCUUUUCCAGCUUCUUGAGCUCCCCGCAAACUUCCUUCUCAGUUACAAAGUUGAGAAACUCAGAAGAGGCCAAAUUACUAAACAACCCUUCAAAGAAAACAGAUAAAGCAGCUUCAACGACGGACAUGGCUUUUGACCUGCAAAAACAGAGAGAUUAUGUGUAAAAAUCAUAUAGGGAUAAACUCAAAAAGACUUGAACUAGAAGUAGAACACAACCAACAACCCCACCAAUACUGAAUCUGAUCUUGGUAUAUUUCUCUGUGGCUUAUAUCUUCGCGGCAAUUUUUUCUAAUACUCCUAUUACUAAUUAAGAAAGUUAAUGGACUCCUUAAUAAGAUUAUUUUGUUAGUGAGUUGUUACGGUUCACAUGGUUCUACGAUAAAAAAAUCAACAAAGGUUAGGCAAAUUUUAGAUAAAAUUUUUUUUGGUGAAAUUCGUGACUAAUGUAUCCUCUGUUAGGUUUUUGUUCUGUAUUCAUAUUUAUUUCUAUAUAUUCUAGUUUUUCUAAUUGUAUGCACAAUAUAUAAUUCAAAAGCAUUAUUUGAUUUUUUUUUUAUGACUAAUAAUUCCUUCUCAUUAAUAUGGUAAUUCUGUUCUUUUAGAGUACAUGUUCCACAAGUAUAUCUGGGUAUCAUCUUCUUCAAUAUAUUUUAAUAUACCUUCUAAAAUUUUAAUAUCUUUUUUAUAAAUUGAUUAAAUUGUUGGAUGUUGACAUAAGUACAUCACCCACACUAAUGAUUUGCCUAAUCCUAUGAUGGUUGGAUUCCUAAAUUUUGUGCCCCCACGUGUUGUGUAGUUUGCCUUAAAGUUUUGAUUAUUAUUCCAAUCAGACUAUUUAUUCGUUUAUAGAUUAAAAUUGAAAUAUCAAGAACGUUAGGUAAUGUAUUUAUUUUUUUUCAAAUUUUUUUUUAGAAAUUAAAACCAAAAUCGUGAUUUGUAACUUGCAAGGUGUUUUCAAAAACUAAAAAUAAAAUUUAAAAUUUUUUUGAAAAUUAUUAAAAGUACAAAAAUAAUAUUUCUAAUAUUUUGAAAAUAUUUUUGACAUUAUUAUCAUAAAUAUUAUUUAUCUGUUCGAUUAUAAUGCUCGUUAGAGUGAAAUUUUUGAUGUUUGAAAAUUAAAAAAUAUAUAUUAUUAAUAAGAUUUAAGCUUACAAUUUAAAAUUUUAAUCACUUUCUUUAAUAAAUUUCUCUUCUCAAAUUUUUGGAAAAAAAUUAUAUCAAAACACGUUUUAAAAUUUAAUAAAAUGAUAAAAACUAAAAUAAAAUAUUCAAAAACAAAAAAUUGGCAACUAUACAAAACCACCCUAUAUCAAAAUUCCAACUUUUUUUUCCUUAAAGUAAAUGUACUUGUGUUGAUUUGACAUAAGGGUAAAUCCAUUUUUACUAGCAAUUGGCUGACAAAGAAAAAAGUAGACCAUAUAUCAGAAAAAAAAAAUGUAUCAAGCAAACUUUAAAAAGCUUUAAAAGGGUGAAAAUCUUUGAUCUACCAAUAAUAGCAAACAAAUUGGAACUCUGAAAUCUGAAAAGAAAAACCACUUUUUAUAACACUCUGUUAUCAAAUGUUGAAAGUACCCAUUUAAUCUGAGAUUUUAAAUUUCAAAAGUUUUUGUUUAACUUUUAAUUGGACUAUAAACUGAUCAAUUUAAGUCCGAAUUAUUAUUUGUCUCUAAUUAGUAACUUUGGGUUUUAGUCGAUUAAUAGGGCUAACCAAUAGUCCAUUCUCCCUUCUUAUAAUAAACCAUUUUAUUUUAUUUCCCCUCUUAUAUCUUUUAUCAAAUUUUUAUAUAUUUUAUUAUUUUUAAACAAUUGAAACAAAAAUAAAAAUAAAAUAAAUACAAAAAAUUGAAAAAUAAAAAAAUAAUUAUGAAAAUCUGGAUAAACAAAAGUAGAUAAAUCAUAAAAUUUUUAAAGAAAUAUCCUAAAAAACAAGAAUCAAAUCAUUGAUUGGGCAUCUCUUUCUUUUUAGAUGCAACACUUUUUUUUGCCUCAUUUCUUUCAAGUUUUUCAUCUUAAUUGCAUUUUUUGUUAUCUCUUUGGAAAUUAUUUUAUCGGUAGAAUUAGUUUAUAUUAUCUUUAAUAGCCUUAAAAUAAUAUCUAUAAUAAACAUUUUUCAUUACUUUUUUAUUAUUUUAUUAUUUAAAUAUUAAAAAUUUUUAAUUUUUCAUUUUAAUAGCCUUAAAAUUUGAUUCUUGUUUGUCCCUCUUUGAGAAAGUCAAUUCUAAACCUCCUCCAAAAUUUUUCUUAAAAUCUAGAGGAAAUCUCAUCAUCUCUCUCAUUUCGAACCUCCAAAACACCUUCCUUAUCCAUCCAUAACCACCGAAGUAGCCUAAAACCCUGGUCAAAGCUUCCGACUUAUUACAAACCUCUAACUUUUGUGAAAACCUUGAAAAAUCUAAUCUGUCAUAGUCUGUCAAUAAGCAUACCCUACUGUCACUCACCACAUCACCUUGCCUUGUCACCUAAAUCCACAUCACUAGGCAUAUCAUCCAACCACAUCAUCUCAGCUAUAUCACCUUUCCAAAUCCAACCAAAACUCUAUCUAUGGUCAAAGUCCAACCAAAACUCUGUCCAAAAAGUCCAAUCAAAUCAAAACUCUACUCAAAGAGUCUUAAUCCAAUCAAAACUCAACCUUAAAAGCUACUGUUUUACCAAAACACUCUAAAAGAGUCCCGACACCCAAAUUUUGUUCGAAGAGUACAUGUCAGACUAAAAUUCUUUCAAAGGGCUAAGAUUCUUUCAAAAGGCUUAAUCUACCUCAAGCUCGAUCUUAACCCAUAAAGUUAUAGUCAAGAUGAAACACAGCUACACUAAACCCAACUCACAACCCCAGACCUAUAGUUGUCCUAUUGGAUCUUGUAUUAGGACAAUCUUCUCAGGUAUAAUUCUUAAAAUCUUUAGACAUCUUAGACCUCUUAUUAAAUUACGUGCAAGUGACAUCCUCCAUGACCAAAUAUCAUCUAGUCUUAGGCACACAUAACGCAAACCAUUUAGUUAUAAUUAGGACUUAUUUUCUAGUUAAAGACAGUGAAAAUUUUUGCAACGGAAACUCAUGUCUAGCAUGUGAUGUAAAAUCUUGUCACAUAGAUUAGAAAUAAAACGAUAUGUUCUAAAUAUGCCCUUGAGGCAUCUUAUUGAACUAUCAUCUAAGUAUGUCAUUUAUAAAAGAUCACAUUACAUGUUUCUUUGGUUAGUCUUUAUUGUCUUUGCAAUAGAACGGAAUGAACUACUUGAUUUUAAUACAAUUGUUUGACAACACAUUGUUUGCAUCAUUUAAUGAUUGAUAAAAAACUCAAGGUUGUCAUCCUACAAGUAUUUUUCUAGAUGCAUACGUGACAACACGAAACAUAUAAAUAGUUUAUACAAAUUGCUUGUCAUCAAGAAUAAAAAGGAAAGGCAUGCUCUUUAAUCCAUAAGCAAGUCAAGAUGUUGGUUUGACAUGGAUAAGUAAAGGCUAGGCUUAUCUCUAACAAGGUUUAGAGCAUUGAUUCCUCUAAUAUCUUGUUUACUAUUUUUGAAUUAAAUUUUUUGAUUAAAAUGAUUGUUACCUUGAAAUCAGUAUUGAUUCCUAAAAUAUAAAUAAAUUGAUUGACAAUUCAUAAUCAAAUCUUAGUUCUCAACAUUGAAAAGAGGUGAAACCCGCAUCGCUCACAUCUUUGUUUAAAAGAGCAUUUAAAAUAAUGAAAAAAUAAAUAAAGUUUUAAAGUUCUUCAGACAAACGUAAUAAUUGUCUAUGUUUUCACACAAUUUCUGUUUCAUAAAAAAUAUGCAAUGAUAAGCAAUUAUAGACACACAAUUUAAUCCAAUGAUUAAAUUUUAAGAAAUUCAAAAGUGUUCAAUUUUUUAAAAAAAUUUCUAAGUGAAAACUUUUCUAAAUUUCAUCAAAAUGUUGGAGAAUUUAGAAUAUUAUUUCAAUAUUACGAAUUUUCAUUUAUUUCUAUAAAUAAAAAUGAACAAAUUAAAUUGAUAGAAAAUUAAUUGAUAAAAUAAAAAAGGGAUAGAAGAGCUAAAAAUGUAAUAGAUAAUUGUAAAUGUAUUUUAUCACAUAAUACUUAAUAAAUUUUGGAGUAAGUGGGGAAUUUAACUGGUUAUGAAAUUUUAAGAAAGUUAGAGCAUGAAAUUUUUUUAAAAUUUUUUAUGUGAGUAAACAAUUUAAAAAGAUUAGAAUAUCAAAGAUUUCCACUUUAUUUCCAAAAUAACAAAAUUAAAGGAAAAAUGAUGAAACCUCUUAUAAGAAACGAACAUAUUUUCUUAAGAUCUAUUGAAGUGAAAAAACUAUUUAGAGGUUCGAUCAAAGUGUUAAAGAAAACAUAAGAAAAAUUUUAUAUUUAAAUAAUAAAUAAAGUAAUGAGAAAUAUAAGAAUAGAUACCAAUUUAAUUAAGACUAUUAAAGACAAUAUAAGAUUAAUUGAUAUCAUCUUUUGAAUGGUCACUGUGAGAAUGUUAAUUACAUCCCUAUAAACUUAAUUCUGUAAUGUAAACCAAAACUUAUUCUUUUAAGAUCUUUUAGUCAAACUUAAAAUCAUUUUAAAAGAAUAAAUUUAUUUAAGUAAUCAAUCACACCUAAUCAAAAAAAUUUUGAUAAUUACUUUAUUAAUAUUUAGUGAUCAAAUUCACAAAUUCUCAUGUUAUAACAGAUAUAAUCAUCAUUGGUUUAAUAAUUAUAAUAUUGCUUACUAAUUGAAAAGAGAAUUUCUCAAUAUAGACAGGGAAAAAUGAUUAUUCUGAUCUUUAAUGAUUUUGAAGCAAGAAGACUUGGAUCUUAUGAAUUACAUUGGGGUCGAUAGUUAUCGUUUCUCCAUUUCAUGGGUAAAAAUUCCAUCAAGUGAGUUUUAUUUCUUCAAAAUAAAUGUGUUUGAUAUGAUUCUCAUGCUGAUUUUUUACUCUCAAAAUUAAUUUAUCCAAAGUGAAGAGAUUUGGAAGCGUUAAUAUAGUUAGCAUCAAUUUUUAUAAUACGCUCAUAACCUGAAGAAGAGGAAAAAUAGCUCUUCGAUCAAAAGAAAUUUUGCCGUUAACUCCUAAAUUUCUUGCUACACGAGUUAAGUCCGAAAAUUUAGAAGAAUGAAUUCCAAUAGCUCCUCUUCUGGUAGCAAUGAUACCUGAUGUAUACUAAAAAUUUAAACGUAAUAGUCAGAGAUAAGUAUUCAAAAUUUCAAAGCAUAAAGCAAAAUAUGUGUUCAGCAAGCAUUACAAAAUAAAACAGUAACAAGAACUUGAUGAAGAGGAAAAAAGCUUCUCGCAUAAAAGAAAUUAUGUCGUUAACUCCUAAAUCUCCUCGUCCAAAAUUUAGGUCAGAAUAGAUAUUGCCGACUCGUGAAGAAAGUAGAAUUUCACGGUCGUACGUACUCAGAAAGAAAAUGAAGUUUGCCGCUCAUUUAUAAUGACAUACAGCUGUUAAGAUAAGGGAAAAUCGAUUAUUUAAAUAUCUUAUGUAAGCAAUGAUGUAAAAAGUUCUAUUUUAAAUGGCUAUAUUAAUUUAAAAUUUAAUUUAAUUAAUUUAUAAAACUAUUUUUAAAAAAUAACACUCAAAACAUUUUUUUAAUUUCAAACGACAACUUUUUUUAUAAAAAAUUUUGUUUAUAUUUGGAAUUUAUACAGUUAAUUUUUUUGUGAAAAAAAUUUUAAAAAUAAGAGAAAUUAUUUAAAGUUAGCCGAUAAUCUAUAAAAAAAAUUACGAAUCAUUUAAGAUUUUUUGAAUUUACAAACUAUCUAUCAAUAAAAGAUUAUAAAAAUUAAAUUUUAAAUAUUUUAUAUUUAUAUUUUAAAUUUUAAUCACUUAUAUGAAUCUCUAUUUUAUAUUAAUACAGUUAAUUUAUAUUUACAUAAACUCGAUUGUGACAAUUUCAUUAAAAUAAUAUAAUCAAAAUAUAAAAUCAAAAGAAAAGUUUUUUGCCAAUUAAAUUAAUUUUUAAUCAAUUUUUAACACCUUAAUAUUCAUUUAAAUUUUAUCAUAUUUUUAAUAUAAUUAAUUAAAUUUAUCGUAUCAUUAAUUAAAUUUAAAUAUUAAUUUUAAUAAAAUUCAUUUAAUAUAAAUUUUUAAUUAAAUUUUUUAUUCACAAUUAUAAUAAUUUUUUUAAUUAUAAUUAUAAUAAUUUUUAUUUUUAUUUUUAUUAUAAUAAAUCUCAUUAUCCAUCCAAAUAAAAAUUUUAUUUUCUUUAUAUCAUAACGUCACUUUUUUUAAUAACUUAUUUUAAAAGUCAAGUCCUUUCAGGCUCUUUCCUAUGAUCCAUCACGGAUCACAAUUUUCUAUAUGUAGAAUAAAAGUGAAUAUGCAAUAAUUACAAUAAAAAGUUAAAGGUGAAAAAAAUUAAAAAUUGAUUUAAAAUUAUGAUGUUAAAUUUAGUUUAGAUCAUUUUUUUAUUAAAUUUAGAUCAAAUUUAAAUAUUAAAUAUAUAUAUUAAAUUUAGAUCAAAUUUAAAAUUUGAAUAUGAAAAACGAAAAAAAAAUCAAAUCAAAUUAUAUAUAUUUAAAAUUUUUAUAAAAUAAAAAUAAUUCUUUUUUAGAAAUCUAUUUAAAUAUAUUAAAAAUUAGAUUAAAAUAAUAUACAAAAAUUUUAGAUUUAAAAAUUAAUAAACCAAAUCGAAUUAGUAAAAUUCAGUUUUGAUCAGAUUAAUUCAAAAAAAAAAUCAAUUAAAAUUCAGAUCAAAUUUUAAAAAUUCUUAAUAUUAUACAUUCUAAAAAAAUGAACUAAAACCAAUCAAAUCUAAAUCGUUAUCACUCCUAAAAAAAAUUAUUAUUACCAAAAAAAAAUUUCACGCUAUUGCUAUAUAUAAAAUCCUUUAUUUGAAAUUGAAGUGCACGUUUGGUCAAAUUACCAGCUACUUUAUUUCUUAUCCUUUGAGAAAUUUACUAAGUGUAGAGUGAAAAUUUUCAAGUAAUUUCGACCACAAAAACCUUUUUUUCAAGUAAUUCCUUAAUUUGUCUCUUUUAAAGAAUGUUUAUGUUUGGUUUAGUCUCUUUAGGAUAUGAUCAUUUGUAAUAUUCCACGAUGAUAAAGCUUGACAUGAAAAAGUACUUGUAAACUAAACUAGUUCCUGUACUUCAGAAGUUUACUAGGUAUUGAGUAAAAUUUUCCAAGUUGCUUCUUUGUCUCCUUUGAAGAAUACUUGUCUUGUUCUUAAUCUCCUUAAAUAAAUACCUUUUGCAAUAUUCCAAGCUGAUAUAUAGAAUUUGAUACCGAAAAAUACUUCUAAACGACUACAGGAAAUGAAAUUUUCACCACAUAUGUUGACAAAAAAAUGCUGGAAUUAAAGAAUAUAUUAAAGUCUGUGCAAAGGGCAAUAAAAUAAUUGAGGACAAGAGUACAAACUGAUGAGUCACCACAAAAAGGAGGUACCAAAGGCAUCCAAUGCCAAAGAUAACAGACGUCUCAGCAAGUCCAUCCACGGCGAGGACAAAGCAAGUAAAGUUUCUCAGAUUUACAAGAUAAUAUUUAUGUAAAAAACAAAAGUAGUCUGGAUAAAAACAAUCCCUCAGUGCAAAUUUAACUCAGAAGAGAUAUUGCCAACUAAUGAGGAAAGUAGAAUUUCACAGUCGUACCUAUCGUCAGAAAGAAAAAGGUUGUUUCGAGCUAUUUGAACCAUUCAUUUAUAAUGACAUACAACUGUGAAGAUAAGAGAAUUAAUUAUUUAAAUAUCUGAUGUAAGUAAUGAUAUAAAAAAUUUUCUUUUAAACGAGGAUAUUAAUUCAAAAUUUAAUUUAAUUAAUUUAUAAAAUUAUUUAAAAAAUAAUAUUUAUAACAUUUUUUAGUUCAAACUUAAACUUUGCUUACAAAAAAACCACUGUUUGUAUUUUGAAUUUAUGCAGUUACUUUUUUUUUGUUGAAAAAAAAUUAAAAAUUAAAAAGAUUAAUUUAUUUUUAAAAUUAAGAUAAAUCAUCCAUUUAUAAGAAAAUUUAUAAAAUUUGUAAAUUUUUUUAAAUUUACAUAUUAUCUAUCAAUAUAUCAUAAAAAUUUCAAUUUGAAUAUUUUAUAUUCAAACCUUAAAUUUUAAUUAAUUAAACCAAUUUUUAUCGAAAUUUAUUCAAUUAAUUUAUAUUUACAUAUGCCUCCGGUUAUAACAAUUUGAAUAAAACAAUAUAAUCAAAAUGUACUUCUUUCAAUUUUAUUUACAGAAUCAAAAGGAAAGUUUUUGCCAACUGAAUUAAUUUUUAAUCAAUUUUUAACACCUUACUUUCUUAAAAUCGUAAUGUUAUUGUUUUUAAUAAUUUAUUUUGGAAGGCAAGUCCCUUUAAACUCUUUCCCAUGAUUCGUCCUUGGUCACAAUUUUUAUAUGUAAAAUAAAAGUGAAUACUUAAGAAUUACAAUAAAAAAGUUUGGGGUGAGAAAAUUAAAAAUUAAUUUAAAAUUAUAGUAUUUAAAUUGAUUUAGAUUAUUUUUUAUUUAAUUUAAAUCAAAUUUAAUUAUUAAAU
rnacentral:lncRNA from 1 species